UUCUCUCUUCCUCCAAACACAAAUGGCACCACCACCCUGGUAAUAAAACCAUGAAGAUCAGCUUUAUCACUACUACAGAGAACCUGCUUAACCCAUUUGAAAUACUUGAUGAAUUAAAUUGUAUUCCACUGGCUUUGUACAAGCUGCUCUUUAUACUAUAAGACGAAUCAACACACUCGAUCUUAUGAUUGUUGUUGCUGUAGUAGCAGAUCGAUUUAAUUUACUGUUGUCUUUUACAAUGAAAACGUUGAGAAAGUGUUCGUUCAUGAAUUGUAAUAAACAGCCCACUUGUAUGGCACUGGAAUUCAAUUCCACGCUAUCGAUCCUGUGGUUUGGAUGGAAUUGGUCGUCGUCAUCACAUGAUUUUCCAUAUGUAAUAAAGUCUCCUUUAUUUGGCUUAUUGUCCCAUUGAUUCUUCGAGGAAAUUCCCAAGUUUUUGCUUUACAUCAAUAUUAAUUCAAUGGCUGGUAACACACAUGACUCUCGUCUCUCUGUUUCGUUCCUUUUACUUUUCACCAUGGUUUUUGAACCCUAUCCAAGGUUGAUCUGGAGCAAAUCCUGGAUUGUGGGUUAGGUGAAACUUGAGAAGGUUAUUUAUCAAGAAAUUCUCAAAUCCUACCAAUGUCUAUUCUAACUUAGCAACAUCGUCUUUUUAUUUGUUAAUAAUAUAUUUAAAUACAAAACAAGAUUCAAAUUAAUUUAAAUAAUAUAGUUAAAUGAAAACAAGAUUUCAAUUAAUUUCACUCUUUCUUUCAUUUUUAUUUUCAAAACCUUCACCAUUCUAAUCCUUCUCAGCUAUCAUGUCUCCCUUCUUUGAUAUUGUUAUCAAAUAGCAAAAGUGCAAAUAAUCAUGCUCUUGGAGAUAUCAAAAUUAUCCUACAAAUCAACAAUUCCAUUCAUAUAGGAUUUUAAAUUUUCUUGUUUCAAGAUUUGUUAGAUUAGUGUUAGAUUUGUUAUUGGACGGUAUGAAACAUUAGUUUAGUCAAACUUGAACCGAUUCAUAAUAAAAUUUUUAAAAAGCAUUCACUGUGGCUAUUAAAAACAUGUUUGUUUUUGUAUUUUUUUUUUUUAAAAAAACAGAGAGACCAAUUUGCCAACAAGCUAUAAUAAUAGAACCCACAGGUUGAUUGAUGAAACCCUGACCCCAAGAUCUGGGGACAGCUGAAGAACACCUUGAAAAAUCUUGCAUUUUACUCAUACUUUUUACAAGAGACAAAUGAACUGGUCAUCACGCGCGACAUGUUCCCUACGGCUGAAAAUUGGAUUUCAAUAAAUAUCUUCCCUUAUAUAGUAAUAACAACAACUAAAACAUAUAUAACAUUCACUAUUUUAAAAAAUAGUUAUUAUGGAUUGCGUUGUUUAUUUUGAAUAAUGAUUCUUUUCCAGAGCAUUCACACAAAAUAAAUUCCAGAGCUACUCUGUUACAAUUGACAUUUCCUCGAAUUAUAACACGGGGUAAAUGAAAACUUUUCCAUUUUCUGCCUUGUUCAACAGAUACUCCUACAAAUAAACUACACUAAGUUGCAUGCCUUGGGUUUGUCUUAGGUAUAUCCAAACUACAUUUAUUUAUACCAAAGGCUUCCAAACUCUGAUUCUGAAUGGCUUAAGAAGAUUGUCCGCAACAAAGUAGUAGCAAGUGUUGAUGCUCUUCUCAAUGAAAUAAAACCAUGCUCGCCGCCAGUCUGGGUCUACGUACAAAACUGCAGCUAUUCCCAAUAGCACCAUGAUGUACGUCAAAACAAAGCUCACACAGAAAACUUGUGCAUCAAUGAUGACGCUACUCUCUUCUUUCUCAUCAGUAGAAGGCCCAGGUGGUGGUACUUCUUUGGUGCAGCUGUUAAGCAGUGGUGGUCCACAAAGUAAGGGAUUUCCCUCGUAGCUGCUCUUAUCGAAUGUUGAGAAUGCUGCAACCAUCUCAGGAGUCUUACCAAAGAGGUUAUUGUUGGCUACAGUAAAAUAGACAAGAUAAUGCAAUUGUACAAGUUGAGGAGGGAUUUCCCCAUUCAAACUGUUAUUGGAAAGGUCCAUGCUCUCAACAUCACUCAAAUUUGAAAGAGUUUGUGGGAUUGAGCCUCUUAAAUGAUUGUUGGACAGGUUCAAUACAAGAAUGUGGUUGAGAUUCCCAAUUUCAGGAGGAAUCGCACCUGACAAACUGUUGCAGGAGAGAUCCAAUCCGGUCAUGUAGUACAAAAUACUUGGUGGAUAAGAAUAAGACAGACUCUUUGUUGCAAUAACCAAUGGUUCUCGAAGAUCAAUCUCAUAAAGAUUUUCUCCACGGCGGAUGAACCGAAUAAUGCUUAUAAAUCUUAGGCAAGGUAGAAUAUGACCAGAAAAAUCAUUAUGAGAAAGAUCAACGAACAUUAAUUUGUUCAACUUGCACAAUUGCAAGGGUAUACUGCUAUCAAGAUUAUUAUAACCCAAGAGAAGAAAGCUCAAUUGGGAAAACUCACCAAUCCAUUUUGGAAUGCUACCAGUCAAAUGAUUAUGGCUAAGAUCCAACGUUAUUAGCUCAAAGGAUUUCUGAAAUGCAUGUUCUAGGGAUCCUUGUAGCAUAUUUCGUGAUAGAUAAACAUGCAGGAGGUUUGAAGAGUUAAAGAAAUAUGGUAAGGUUCCAGAGAUGUUGUUAUUUGAGAGGUCCAAAACUUGAAGAUUCAACAGAAAGUCAAAUGAAGAGGGAACGCGACCACUGAAGUGGUUAUCAGACAUGGAUAAAAAUGUUAAACUUGGAAAAAAUGAUCCUAUUUCUCUAGGAAUGUGGCUUUCGAAGUUAUUGUUAGAAAUAUCUAAUUCAGACAAAUUCUGAUGAGGAUGAAUUGGCAAUUGAAAAGUCCCUGAAAGAGAAUUGUUGACCAAAUGGAGUUCAUUUAGGUUUGUGUUGUUCUCUAACAACCAAAAAGGAAACCCUCCCCUCAAUUUCAGGUUAGAAAAAUGAAUUUCUUGGAGGUUGUAUUGAUGGAGGAGGAAUUUGGGAAAGGAAAAUGCUCCACCAUAUCCAUUGCCAGAUAAACUAAGACGCUUUAAUUGGAACUUUGGGGCGAAAUUAUGCUCCUCAAAUUCUUCAACAUAUAUUUUGUUAUUACUACCAUCGAAAUCCUUGAGUUGUGAAUGAUUGAGAAAUGAGCUCAAUGAGAUGGGGAUCUUAAAGUAGUUGUCUGAAAGUGAUAACUCUCGGAUGGAUGUGAGACUUGUAAGAGGAGAGAAGGAAAUGUUUCCAAUAAAAUUAUUGGAAGACAAAUAUAAUCCUUGAAGGGAUGUCAAAUUUGCCAAACACCAGGGCAAAGCACCACUGAAAUCAUUCCCGCUGAUAUCUAGAUUUUGGAGAUGCUUUAACUGACAUAUGCCUGAGAAUUUAUUGAUUCAAAAAUUUUUUAGUUAGAUAAGAAGUAGAACGCCUAAGGUGUGGAAAGGUGGUCAGACUUACCUUGGGCUUUAGGGAUGGAGCCAGUGAGUCGACAACGCUGCAAGCUUAAACUCUUUAGAGUAGUGAUCUUCCCGACUGUUUGCAGAAAGCUAUUAUCGAUAGUGGAGAAACUCAAAUACAACUCUUUUAAAUUCUUGAGAGAUGCCAAGUCUACAAUAAUCAAACCCACAAGAAAUUAUGCUCGGUAUUCAAGAGCCGAAUAAUGAUAAGGAAACAAGAUGAUGAAACGAACAAGAAGCUCCAUUAAAAUGAUAAGGAAACAAGAUGAUGAAACCAACAAGAAGCAGAACGCCUAACGAGGGGAAAGGUGGCCAGACUUACCUUGGGCUUUAGGGAUGGAGCCAUUGAAUCGACAGCCAUACAAGCUUAAACUCUUUAGAGUAGUAAUCUUCCCGACUGUUUGCAGAAAGCUAUUAUCGACAGUGGAGGAACUCAAAUCCAACUCUUAUAAAUUCUUGAGAGAAGCCAAGUCUACAAUAAUCAAACCCACAAGAAAUUAUGCUCGGUAUUCAAGAGCCGGAUAAUGAUAAGGAAACAAGAUGAUGAAACCAGCAAGAAGCUCCAUUAUAAUGUCCCCGCUACAAUCAAUUAAAUUCCUAUAACUAGGAAAAUAUGAUUUAAAGCACGUUUACAAAGAAAAAAAGAACAAUUAACAGAUAUUCAGGAUCGCUUUUAGGCAUCAAUACCACAAAUUACCUUUAUCUAAUGUUGUUCCGAAACUUCCUUCAAGAUUAUUCUCAGCCAAAUAAAGGGUCCCGAGGUUUGGGAAUUUUGUCAACGAUUGCAGCAAUGUAAAUGGAAGAGCUCUUCCAUUUGAGGUGCUAUUAGAUAAUGAAAUGAGGCUUACAUUUCCAAAACCUCUAGUAUCUACAGGGGACAGCGCAGAAGUAAAAUAAGUUUUAAAACCUUCUGAGCUUUUAUUCCAGAGCAAAAUCAUCCUCGAAAAUACAAUUCAAUUAAUGAGAUUUUAGGUUGAUCAAGAGGUAAAGCUACCAUCAAUCAAUGUGGAAAGCAAUCAAUACCUUUGGAUAACACAAAUUUAUCAAUCUCGUUUCCAUCUAGAUACACUUCCUCUAAGUUGAUCAAAGCAUCCAGCUCUAGGUUGUCGAAAAACAGAAAUUUAAUAUUACAUCACAACAAAAAUCACAGAUUGGCUUCUAGGAAUCAAAAAAGGUGAGGUUACCAGUCACAUUGAAUGAUCCUUUCAGUUGGUUGUACCCUAUAUCCAGGGAUUUGAGAGAUGGAAGACCCUUGAGGGAUGAUAAGGCACUGUCAUUGAAGCGAUUCUCAUCCAAAAGAAGUUCUUCCAGAUUUCUUAACCUCAGUAAGUCGUCACCAGUACCUAUAAAAAUACCAUAAGCUUUCAUGUAACCUGAAAGGAUAAUGGAGUACUUAUGUGAAAACAAAUGCUCAAUCAACACAACUCUUUCAUACCAUGAAUGGAUUUAAAGCUUUCAAUUUCAUUGCCACCAAACGCCAACGUCCGCAAGCUUGUUAGAUUAUUCAGUUCUGGCCAAAUAUAAUUGUACCAAGUACAACAAUUAUAAAAGGGCAGUAAUUAACAUGGUUUUAUUUGGGAAAGAAAAGGAGAGAAGUGAUCAAGCUUAAUUACCAUCAACACUAAUUGCUCCUUUGAGUUGGUUACCAGAUAGAGACAGGGUUCUCAAAGAGGAAAGCCCACCAAGGGAUGAAAGGAUGCUGUUGUCGAAUUUGUUGUCGUCUAAAUAGAGAGCCACCAAGCUGUCAAGUCCUGAUAGUCUUUCAAAACCUGCAUGGGCAUUUCAAUCAGUAGAUUGAAAAAUAUAGAAUCUAUUCUUUUUUUUUUUGCUGUUGAAAUUGCAGUAGCACGCAAACAAGAGAUAAACCUUCAUUCUCAACACAGCCAACUAUAAUAUUUCCGCCUAAAUAAAGAGAUUGCAGUUCUUGGAAGGGACGAAACAAAGAGACAUUUAGGUACAAAUCUCCCAAUCCCUCUUCCCUCAUGCGUGAAAGAUGAAGGUUGAAGGAAUGUGCCGCUUGAGUAAUUAAAGGAGCUUUUAAUCCGCAAGAGAGCACUUCUCUCUUCGUCUAAACAGCCGUGACAUGACCACCAGCUUUCUGACAAAACCAUAGCAUAAAUCAUCAGUGUCCCUGCUAAAGAAGAGAACCUGUUUAAACCCAUUUGGACUCCUCGAUGAAAUUAUGUAUCGAAAAACAACGGUCAGAGGCUCUUUAUAAAUAAGAUCGUUGGAUUGCAAUUUGCAAUAUCACAAUCAAAUGUCGUAAUUUUCCACGGGCCAUAGACAAAGUCCUCUCUUUCGGCUUAUUUUCCAAAUUCAUAUUCUUCGUGGAAAGUGCUAGGCUGUUAGCGUUUCCUCCGUAACUUGGGACUAGGCUGGUAUGAGGUUGGAAGGAUUUUAAAUAAAAAGGAUUCUGAACUACUUUUUUUGUUUUCAACAAUAAUAGCGACAUAGACAAAUGAAAUGGUCAUCGCAUGCAAUGUCUUCCCUACGGCAAAAAACAGUGCCAUCAGUGUCAGUCUUGUUAAUGGUAGUAGAAAAUUCAAAGAGUCUUGCAGUGAAGAUUUUUAAUCAUUUAGGUUUCACUAAUCGUUUCUUUAAUUUUAUAUAUAUAUUUUUUAUAAACGUUCAGUCUGAAAUAGGUAUUAAAAUAAUAUGAUGUUAGGGGUGAGCAAAACCGGUUCGGUUCGGUUCUUAUCUAAAAAACUAACCAAAACCGAAAUUUAAAAAACUUAAAAAUUCAAACCGAAACCGAACCGGAACCGGUUCAAACCGACCGGUUUCGGUUCGGUUCGGUCCGGUUUUUUUAACAGAAAAACCGGAAAACCUGUAUUAUUUUUUUGUUCCCUCCGAUGAAUGAUUCUUUGUUCUUGCUUGAUUACCGGAGGACUACUGUUAGAAGGCGUUGUCACUGCGACUUGGUGCUUAGUGUGCUCUUCACGGAAAGGAGUGAAACGAGCAAGGAGAGAGAGUAAACCUUUUAGGGAAGUAAUGGGGGGAAAGGAAGAGACAGAAUCACAUGAGAAGGAUACAGAUGGGGUCCAUUGAAAGCAAAGUUAGGACUAGAAGGGUUGAACGGAUAUGGAUGAAGAAUCAAAGAUGAAUUGACUUGAUUUUUUUGCAGAGUGAGUGAAAGUGUGAGUUGUGUGAGGUGCGGCCGUGAGGAUGAGGGAGCGGCUGCAAGGAGUUGCUGGAGUGAGAGUGUCUAGGUCUAGGAUUAAGUUUUUUUUCUUCCUAUUUAUAGUACCCCUUAAACCGAGCCGGUUCGGUUCGGUUGGGGUUUUGCCGGUUUCAGGUUUUGGAAACCGAAACCGAACCGAACCGGAAAUUUUUACAAAAAAAAUAAUCGGUUUAAUCGGUUUUUUUUUUCGAUUCGGUUUUUUCGGUUUUUUUUUUUCUCGGUUUUCUCGGUUUACUCGGUUUCUCGGUUUUUUUGCUCACCCCUAUAUGAUGUUGAGCCAAAUUGAAUUUAAUAAUAAUAAUAAUAAUAAUAAUAAUAAUAUAAUCAGCUAGUUAAUAUUGUAUUUUAAUAUAAAAUGCAUGUUUGAUAUUAUGAUGUAAAUGUUUUUUACUUAAAAAUAUAUUAAAAUAUUUUUUUAAUUUUUUAUAUUUUCAAUAUUAACUUAUCAAAUAAUAAAAAAACAAUAAAAAUUAAAUUAAUAUGAUUUUGAGUCAAAUUGAAUUUAAUAAUAAUGGUAUAAUUAGUUAAUUAAUAUUGUAUUUUAAUAUAAAAUAAAUGUAUGAUAUUAUGGUGUACAUAUUUUUUACUUGAAAAUAUAUUAAAAUAUUUUUUAAAAUUUUUAAUAUUAACUUAUCAAAUAGAGAAAAAAAAAUUCAUUUUCAGAAGACUGCAACUUUGUCCUUGCAGCGAAGCUCUGCAAUUUUUUUUUUUUUUAUAACGUUUCUACCGAGCAAAGUUGCAACAAAACGAAUCAUUUCUUUUCAUUUAUGCUUUGUAGAUUAGUUCCUUUACUAGUCAUAUAGUCCCAUUAUAUUACUGUUAGAUUUGUUAUUGGACGGUUUGGAACAUUAGAUCUGUCAAACUUGCAACGAUUUGUAAUAAAGAUUUAAAAAAGCAUUAACCGCAGCUAUUAAAAACAUGUUUGUUUUUGCAUUUAAAACAGAGAGACCAAUUUGCCAACAAGCUAUUAUAAUUCAACCCACAGUUUGAUUGAUGAAACCCUGACCCCAAGAUCUGGGGACCGCUGAAGAACACCUUGAAAAAUCUUGCAUUUUACUCUUACUUUUUACAAGAGACAGAUGAACUGGUCAUCGCGCGCGACGUGUUCCCUACGGGCGAGAAUAAUGCAGUGGCUGUCAAUCUUGUUAGUGGUUGUGGAAAAUUACACGCUAUGACGAGAAGAAGGUUGCUGCAUUCAUUCAUCGCUUGACCUGAUGAUGGCUCGAGGGGCCACCUGCUAAGACAAAAGAAAAGAAAGUUGUUAACAGUGGUCCAAAUUGCCAGCCACGAUGUGCCCGCAAGCUUUUUUCCUCCUAUGGAAAACACAUUUUACUAUCUUGGCGUUUAUAAACGGAUGAUUGCGUGUUCUUCGUCAUGUGUAUCAAGAACCCAGUAAAGCCAUCUAAGAAGACUGCUGAAAAAAAAAUAGUUUAGAUUUCCUCAGCUGACUUCGAGUCAAGGCGUAGAGCUUCAAUUCCACGCAAUGGAUCCUGUGCUUUGGAUGGAAUUGGUCGUCGUCAUCACAUGAUUUUCCAUAUGUAAUAAAGUCUUCUUUAUUUGGCUUACUGUCCCAUUGAUUCUUCGAGGAAAUUCCCAAGUUUUUGCUUUACAUCAAUAUAAAUUCAAUGGCUGGGAACACACAUGACUCUCGUCUCUCUGUUACGUUCCUUUUACUUUUCACCAUGGUUUUUGAACCCUAUCCAAGGACCUUAUAUGUCCUAACAACCACCAUUUUGAUGCCUAAUUGAUUUACAUGCUCUACAUUUAAAAGGUUAAAAAAACCAAAUCAUCUAAACCAUGCAAGUCUUGGCUUAGAGCCAGUGACUUUAUAAACAAAAUAUAAAACACAGAAAAACCAAAUCAAAGGAUGCCAAGAUGAUUUUCAUUCUCAAAUUGUGUCAUGAUGGGGCUUAGUUUUAGGAAAAAUACUGUCACUCCAUCUAUUGGACAUUGCGAGCAUCCUCUGAGAGUUAAGUUGCAUCGGUUUUUCUUCUGUUAUACGCUCCAGAUAUUGAUGCUCGUAGACGGAGAAAACAUAUGCAUAAGAAGCAUAGCUCAUCUUCUGCCAAAAUGUCAUAUAAAAUUCUUUAGUAAUAUUCGACCGGUUGAUUACAUAUAAAAUUAUGUUAAACAAAAUCUUGAAAUUAGCAAGAGUAAUUAUAUUUCAUGACUCUCAGAGGCACCAAAUGGAUCUGAAAGCAUUUCCGCUUAUUCAUUGACAUGAUUCAUUCAACUUACACGUCUCGGUCACUUUUCAAGCCAAAUAAAUCUCCUCUCUUUUCCAAGAAACUCAAGACAAAGGUUGCUUAGCAUCCAUGUCUUAUAAUUCUACAGAAUGCUUUCACAUCUGUAAGAAAAUGCUGGCGUUCAUGUUAUAGAAGUCAUCCUGUAGCCAGGUGCUAAGACUGGAAGGCAUGUAAGCCAGGCUUGAUUCGAAUGAAUCGCUAUAAAUGUACUUGAUUUGAAGCUACUUGUACUUGGUGCUUUGCCAAAGAUAGAAAGGCAUCGCCUUUUCCAUUGUUUAACCUGUAAUAUCCUUUAUGCUAUCAAUGAACCUGUCCUGAAAAAGUAGAACUUGAUGCUAGUGCAAGUAUUCGGUCAUUCCUUCUUUUUUUACUGUUUUCUUCUUUCAUUUUUCAAUUAAUCAUGUUUAAGCCUAAAGCGCCGCGUUUUAAGUAAUUUCAUUUUCUUGGUGAUAAAUUACAAUAAUUUUUUUAAAACUUGACUCGGAAUCUACCAGAAACAACAUCUAGAUCGUGGGUUAGGUGUGAUAUAUUCAAGGACCUAGAGAUUGUAUAGAUCAUGAAUAAUACUUGUUAAACAGAAGUUCUUUGGCUUAAAUAGCCAUUACAGCUGGAACACAAGGAAAAGAAACAAACCACGUCUUCACAUCCCAAAAACUGUGGUAACUGAAUGUAAGACUUAGUCGUAACUCCUGAAAGCUAGGAGUUUAUUUAAAUUAAAUACUACUUGCAUUAAUAGGACUCUAACAUAUCCUCCCUUAAACUGCACUUGCUAAAAACAAGUCAAUUUACAAACUUCAUGCUUUGAACUCCCAGCAUAUUACGUAGCUUCAAAAAUGAUUCAAGCUUCAACGACUUUGUCAUAAUAUCUGCCAUCUGCUCACUAGUGCCACAGUGUAUCAGCUCCACAACACCUUCCUUAACCAAGUCGCGUAAGAAAUGAAACUUUAUAUCGAUGUGUUUGGUUCUUCAAUGAAGAACUGGAUUUUUUGAUAACUUGAUUGUUGAGCUAUUAUCACAAAAAAUCUUGACACACUUACAUGAAGAAAAACCGAGACUGUUAAGUACUCUUUUCAUCCAAAUACUGUGACAAGCACAUGCUGCAGCUGCUACAUAUUCUGCUUUAGUGGUGGAAAGAGUUACUACAGGUUGUUUCCUUGAGCUCCAUGCAAAUGCACCUCCACUUAGAAGAAAUACAUAUCCAGAAGUGCUUCUUCUAUCUUCUGUAUCACCCGCAUAAUCACUAUCAGUAUAAGCCUCAAGAUUAUCAGAACUGUUCUCAUAAUUCACUCCCAAGCUCCCCACGUUCUCAGCACCUCUUUUAUAAAAUACUCCCAAGUUCACAGUCCCCUUCACAUACCUAAGGACCCGUUUUGCUGCAGCCAUAUGAGAUAUUUUCGAGUCUAUCAUGAAUUUACUCAACAGAUAAACAACAAACAUGAUUUCUGGUCUUGUUAUUGAUAGAUACAUUAGGCUGCCAAUUAUCUGCUUGAAUAGUGUUGAAUUUAUGCUGGCUUCUCCACUAUCUUUUACCAGUUUCGUCCCUGGCACAAUAAGAUUUUUCACAGGAUUGCAGCUUCCCAUUCCAAAUCUUUCCAAAACUUCCCCAGUGACACGACCAAAAGAUUGAUGUCUUCUCCCAAGUGUAGGAGUGUCGAAGUAAUAAAUAACCCGGCAAGAUCGGGGUCAAACCACAGAGAGGUUAAUUGUAUAAAUUAUAAAUAACAAGACAACAACAACAACAAUAAUAACAAAAAUAACAACAACAACAACAACAAUAAUAAUAAUAAAUUAUAAAUAACAAGACAACAACAACAACAAUAAUAACAAAAAUAACAACAACAACAACAACAAUAAUAAUAAUAAUAGUAAUAGUAGUAGUAGUAAUAAUAAUAAUAAUAAUAAUAGUAAUAGUAGUAGUAGUAGUAGUAGUAGUAAUAAUAAUAAUAAUAAUAAUAAUAAUAAUAAUAAUAAUAAUAAUAAUAAUACUCAAUACGUGGCGUUGUUAUACAUGAGAAUGAUCUAAAAGAUCGGGUCACAGGUUUCCAGCCUAUAUACUGAGUUUAUGAAAAGAUCAAAGAGAUAUAUUAUAUAAUAUAAACAGAUUUCUGAUGCGAAUGAACAAGGCAAGAUCAACAAUAUCAGGAUCCUUGAUCAAACACAGAGCAUACUUAACGUACAUAAAAUAUAACAAGAAUGUAAAUAAUAAUAAUAAUAAUACUAAUAAUAAUAAUAAUAAUAUUAGUAUAAUAAUAAUAAUAACAAUAAAAAGACGAGGAGGAAGAAAUUAAUGAGAACUUUGAGAUGGAAGAUUAAUGUAAGGAUUAAACAAUGAUAAAGACAAAUGUCAAGGUUAGAGGAUCCACCAAUGGUAUUUCAAACAAGUAUAGUAUAAACUCUUAUUACUCAAUUUGGAAACCACACACGAAGGAGGUUCCAGUCGGAUGAUUUGUCAUUAAUAGCUCAUUAUAAAUUAUUAACAUGAUCAUAUUAAUUAUCUUAUUUACAUAACACCAAACUUUUAAAUAUUGUCAGGAAUUCAUGAUGUUAACUGAUGUUAACAACAAAUCAAGUACCUUUCAUAGCCCCAGGUGUAGGUAAUACCAUACGGUUGGGUUAUGAGAGUGCCAAGCAUUUGUUGUACCAAGUAUUAUACAACACAAAUUUAGAUUAACCAUUUAACAAGCAAGGUAUUAAGAAUUAGUAAGAUAAAAAGAUAAGACAUGUUAAUAUUAAACAUUAAGGUCCAUAUUGAGUUUACACCAUACUUGUUCUUACACCAUUAGUGUAACCUUUUCACAUUGACAUAAUAAACUUAGCUAAACAUAAUGAAGAAGAAAACAUAAAUAAAUAAAACAAGAACAUAAAUAAAAUACAAGUUAACUAAGGAAAGGAAAGGAAAUGAAAAGCAUAAACAAGAAAUUAAUGAAAGCAAAACUUAAGAAUUAAAAAAAUAUAUAAAGAGAGAAAUAAAGAGCAUGAACUUGAUCUGAACAACCAAGCCCCUAAAUACAUGGCAAAUGCCUCCUUUUAUAGGCCAAAAUUCGGAAUUAUUGAUUUGAUGACUAAUUGUUGAGUGGGUGGCCACCUUUUGACUUGGUGAAAAUCCUUAUCUUCUUGUCCUAAUAAAAAACAAAUGCUAGUAUCAGAACUGGGUCCAGAUGUCCAAAUGAAAGUUCUGUGAAAUUCUCUUAGCUUUCAAGAAAAAAAAAGAUGAGGUCAUUUGGACUUCUAGAACUCAAGAUAUGGGCUGAACACUGAAUAGUGUUUGGGCUGCAGGACAGCUUCGGACUUCUCCGUUGUUACUAUAAUGUGGACUUGAAAACGGCCUUCUUAGAUCUUGAUGUCCAAAUGAAAGUUGUAGGCCUAUGUCUUAUCAAAGCUCUGUAAAAAUUUCAGAUCAUUUGGAUAUCUAGAACUCGAUAUAUGGGCUGAACACUGAACAGUGUUGGGCUGCAAGAUAGAUUCAGACUUCUCCUUUCUAAGCUUCACCCUUCUUUAUCUUCAAAAUUUCAGUAGUUGAAUUCAUCAAUCAAUCCUUUGAUUUAUGUGAUAUGCCUGCAUUUAGGAUGAACAUUUACCAUAUAUUAGGGUAUUUUAUAAUAUUAGACUUGUUAUUAUAAAACAUGCUUUAGUUAAGGAGUUAUUGAUACUUUAAGUGCAAAAUGAUGAUAUAAAACCCUUGAUAUAAAUGCACUUUUAAGUACUAAUCACCCAGCAUACUUCAUUUGGCAUAAAUGAAUUCCUUCACAACUCUGCUAGACCUCAACUCCCAGAAAGUAUUUCAUCUUCCCCAAAUCACUCAUGUCAAACUCUAGCUUCAUUGACUUCUUAAACUUCUCACAUAAUUCAACAUCGUUCCCUGUAUAAAUUAAAUCAUCCACAUAAAGACUAAUGAUUAAGAAUUUACCAUCACCUUCAUGUUUGAUGAACAAUGUAUGCUCAUGACUGCAUUUCUUAAAGCCCUUCUUUAUGAAGAAACCUUCGAUUCUGCUAUACCAGGCUCUUGGAGCCUAUUUCAAGCCGUAAAGAGCUUUCUUAAGCUUCAAGACUUUAUGCUCUUCCCCUUUAUGAACAUAUCCUUCUGGCUGCUCUACGUAAACUGCCUCCUUUAGUUCCCCAUGAAGAAACGCACUUUUGACGUCUAGCUGGAAAACAAUCCAUCCUUUCUGCGCUGUUAGAGCCAGGAUUAAUCUUAUGGUGUCCCAACGAGCCACAGGUGCAAAGACUUCACUAUAAUCAAUCCCAUACCUCUGAGAAUACCCUUUGACUACCAAACGUGCUUUGCAUUUAUCCACUUCUCCCUUUUCAUUCAACUUCAUUUUAAAAAUCCAUUUGACACCAAUUGUCUUUAUCCCUUUCGGCUGACUUACAAGUUCCCAUGUCUUGUUCUUUUCUAUAGCUUCAAUUUCCAAAUCCAUUGCUUCCCUCCAUUUUUUUCUUUUACAGCAUCUGCAAAACAUAUGGGAUCAUCAUGUACCAUAAAACAAGCCAAGUUGGACUCGUCAGGAAUACCAUCUCCACUGACAUAGUCUUCCAUCCAUCGAGGUGCUCUCCUUACUCUCUCCCUUGGUCCUGCAAUAUCUUCUCUUUCUAUCUCGCUUGUAUGUGGAUCAGCAGGAUCUUUUUCUCCUCCCAAUUCUUCUUGCCCUGACCAGCUUCUUGUACAUGUUCAUUGUCUCUGCCCAACUCUUCUGUACCCGGACCAGCUUCUUCUACAAGUUUAUUGUUUCUUUCUUCUUCAUCAUCAUAGUCACUGACUUCCCCAUCCUCACUAUCUUCCCAGGUAAAGACAUCAUUUUGUAUUUCACCAGUACUCUGCAUCCAAUUCCAGCUCUCAUUUUCUUCAAACACAACAUCCCUGCUGAUGAUCACUCUUUUGGCAUCAGGAUCAUAAAGCCUAUAGGCUUUAGAUUCGUCACUAACACCAAGAAACACACAUUUCUGACUCUUCUCAUCUAACUUGGCUCUCUUCCUGUCAGGAAUAUGUACAUUAGCAAUACAACCGAAGACCCUGAAGUAUUUGACAUUUGGCUUCUCUCUACUCCAACACUCUUCAGGAGUCAUUCCUUUCACAGCCACAAUUAAACUUCUAUUCAAUAUGUGUAAUCCCCAUCUAACAGCUUCUGGCCAAAAAAGCUUAGGCAUUUUCGUUUCUGAAAGCAAGCAUCGAACCAUGUUCAAUACCGUUCGAUUCUUACGUUCUGCCACUCCGUUUUGUUGAGGAGUAUAAGCAACAGUAAGUUGCCUCUUAAUACCAUUAUUGACACAGAACACAUUGAACUCCAUAGACGUGAACUCACCUCCCCUAUCCAUUCUUAAACAACUUAUAUUGCACCCUGACUCUUUCUCAACAAGUUGUUUAAAUGCUUUAAACAUUGAAAAUGUUUCACUUUUCUCAGCUAAGAAAUAAAUCCAAGCUUUUCUACUAAAGUCAUCAAUAAAACACAGUAAGUACCUUUUAAGACUACUUGAUGUUGGAGUAAUUGGACCACACAAGUCAGUAUGUACUAGCUGAAGUUUCUUUGAAGCCCUCCACUGACUCUUCUUAGGAAUGAUUGUUCUGUGUUGUUUUCCCUGAUAACACACUAUACAUGCUUUGUUUGUGACUUUGAGUUGAGGAAGUCCUUUAACAAGCUGCUUGUUCUCCAAAACUUUGAGGCUUUUGUUGUUCACAUGACCAUAACGACGAUGCCACAGUUCUGUCAAGUCAUCUUCCAUUGCUAUUAAACAUGUUGAGGGCUAGGUAAUCAUAGUAGCAUGUAAGACAAACAUCCUGUUUGCAGCUAUCAGAGUUUGCAUAAUAAGGCCUCUUGUAGGAUGAUAUAUUUUACAAGCUCUAUCUUUAAUGACAAUAGCUAGUCCUCGCUCUUGAAGUUGACCUAUGCUCAAUAAAUUAUUAUUGAGCUCAGGAAUGUAAAACACAUUUCGUAUCACUUGAGUUAAGCCUUCAGUAUCAAGCUUAAUGUUGCCUUUCCCCAUCACCAUCAUCCUUGCACCAUUGCCUAAUUUCACCGAGUGUCUAAACUAUUCAUCCAUGUCCAUAAACCAAUCUUUGUUUCCUGACAUAUGGUUAGAACAACCUGAGUCCAGGAACCAAACAUCUUCUCUCUUUGCAUUAUUUUCCUUCACGUAAGCCAUCAGCAAAAGCUCUUCCUCCUCAUCUAACUCAGCGUAAUUUGCACCUUUUUCCCAACUAGGACAUUCAUUUUGAAAAUGUCAUAGUUAGACAUCUGUGUCGCACCCCAAAAAAUCCAGGCACGCGGCAUCAACUGGCGAUUUUUCUCGUAUGUUGCGUUUGCUUUGAAUUUGUUCAUUGGAGUCGCCACCUAGUAAUUCAUUGAGGGCUACUAGGAAACCUGAUGUACUGGUCUUGUCAGAGAUUGCGGGUAAGGGACUGGUUGUGGUUAGGGAAGGUAUUAGCACCCCUAACGCACCCUACCUGGGGUAAGCUGCUUUGUGUUCUGAUGUAAUUUGAAAAUUUAAAAUAUUAAUUAAAUUCUAAGGCUUGGAUAAAUCAGUUAUUAAAUCCCUGAAUAUAUGUAGAAACUUGUUCUUACAUUUUCGUGGAAAAUACAACUUGAUUUUAUUUGUCCUUAAGAUAUUUAACCAUAUUUAAAUUAACAAUUAAUUCUUUUUGUCCUUUUUGAUUUUUAAUUCAAUAACAUAAAUAAAUAAAUAAAUAAAAACAUACAAGCACACACAAACUUUUUUUUUUCUGUUAUUUAUCACUUUCUCUUUUCUUUUCUUUUCUUUAUUUUCCUUUUUCUUCCAUAUUUACAAAAUACAAAAAAACUCAAAACUAAAUAAAUAUUACAAUAAACAAUUUGGAAAUUACAAAAAUGACCCAAAACAAAUUCAGGAACAAUUCUGGGCUGCAUUCCGGGCUGCCUGAACAGUGGAUCCACGCGCCACCGCAGAAAAAAAUGGGCAACCGGUGGAUCUGACUCGACUUCAUCUCCUCUUCCCUCCUACACUGGCAGUGAGGAGCAACAUCACCUGCAAAGAAGAAAAGGACGCAAUCCAGUUGGUUUUAUUUUAUUUUAUUUCUGUUUUAGAUCUGCUCCUCAGUCUCUUCUUCUCCGUUGCGCCUCUGCUUCUUCUCCGUUUUGCCUUCUUCUCUGCUUCCGGUGGUGGCGAGGGGUCGGUCAGAGCUGGAGCCACCGGCGUCUCUGCUGGAGGCGGUGAGCUGGGUCUGCUGGCUUGUGGGUUGCUGCUGUUGGUGGAGACCGAUGGGUCGGCUUAGAGAGGAGGGCUUGACUCGCGGCGGCUGGAGAACGAAGGGGGAAGAGGCCGCUGGAAAGGGGAUGCCUUCGGGUGUUGUUGCUGUUGCUGUUGCUGAGGGGAAAAAAAAAAAGAGUGGCCGAGAGGGAGAGAGAGGGUUGUAUUGGCCGGCUGCUUCGGGUGGCAAGGGAGAAGGAGAUGAGAACGUGCGGCUGCUGUGGUUUUUGGUGGGUACAACUGUGAAAGGAGAUGAUAAUCGGGAAUAAAAAUUGGGGGAAAGGAAGGAGUGUAUAACGGUGUUGGAAAUGGUUGUCCGGGAAGAGGGAAAAUGGAACAGCCGGGAAACUACAGUGAUAGAGAAAACCAAGCCGACGGCCUCUUUUUGGUAGAGAUCAGGAGUGGGCGCCGCCGGCUGGUUUUUGUGAGGGGGGCUCUCUUCUGUGAGGUGAGGGUUGAGGUCUGGUGAGGAGGCGGCUGUGCUUGGCUGUCUCAAUGGGGAAGAAGAAAUUCCGGCCGGGGGCUGCUGUUUUGGCAGGUUUAAGGGAGAAGAGAAAAAUCAAAAGGUGGAGGGGCUGUUUUUUGGGGGGCUGUUUGGCCGGGGUGAAAAAAAACAAAGGGUGGGGCCUGCUGGUUUUUUUUUUUGGUAGAGUUAAGUUUAGGUCUAGGGUUUUUUUUGUGGUUUCUCCCCUUUUACAAAAUUGCCCCCCCUUGAAUGUGUUGAGGAACCAGUAUUUAUAGGCAAAAUUUUGCUAGGUUUUUCGACUUGGUCCCUCAACUUCUUUCUUUUUUUUGUAAAUUUUGAUUUUUCUUAUUUUUUGUAUUUUUUUGAAAAUGAGUAAUAUCAACGUCGACUCGAUGAGAAAAAAUCAAUGAUUUUAAAAAUGACGCGUGAAAAGUAGAACGCGUUCGAAAGACUUUUGAAAAUUUAAAUUCUUUUUUUUAGACGACGCUGAAAGUGCUAAAAACGAGAAAAAAAUUAAAAAAACAUAUUUUUUUGGAUUUUCAUUGUUUUUCUCUAUUUUUGGAUUUUUUUGAAAACAUAUCAAAACAGGGGUCAAAAAAUGGGUAGCAACAAUCUGUAGCAUUCUAUCGUGGCUUUGUUGAAGCUUUGUCUUCCUCUGCCACGUCCACCUCGCCAAAUUCCUUUUCCUCGUCCUCUUCCUGCUUUGUCGUCAUGAGUGAUCUUGAAGACUUGUUCUUCUUCACCUUGACUCUUUAUUCUUUGCUCAUGCACAAGAAGAUUGCUUUAGAGUUCGUCAAUAGUCAUAGUAGUCAUGUUGUUUGAUUCUUCAAUCGAACAUAAAUACAUAAUUGAAUUUGGAAAUCAUUGAUCUAAGAAUCUUUUCUGUAAUUGUUGUUUCACUCAUAUUCUCUCCAUGAGCCUUCAUUUUGUUAGCUAUAGAUAAAACAUGAGCAAAAUAAGUAUUUACUGAUUCUCCUUCCUUCAUGCGAAGAACUUCAAAGUCACAUCGUAAUGACUGUAGUUGUGCCCUUUUAACCUGUGUUGAACCUUGAAACUUUUGCUUCAUAGAAUCCUAGAUUGUCUUUGAGGAACUUCUGUCAAGAAUGGUCUCCAGCACAUCUCGUUCGAUUGCUUGAUAAAGAAGAUUCUUUGCCUUCAAAUCCUUUAGCUUGUCUUCUUCAUGCUCCUUUCUUUGAGCAUCGGUGAGUUGAGUACUUUCUAUCACCACUGAUGAAAAAGAUCGUGCUUCCCCUGCAACAUGCACCAUGACGCCACGAUCCAAAACAUUCCAAUAUUCUUUGGAACGAAGCAGAUUUUCCAUCAAUUCAGCCCAAUAAUCAUAGUGCCCUAUAAAUUUAGGCAUAUAACUUGUGCUGCUUCUUUUUGUCAUUGAAAGAAAAGAAAAGAAAAAUUCUCAAACUCUCGUUCACUCUUGUAAUCCCAGUCAAGCCCGUUACAGGCUCUGAUACCAAUUGUGAUAUAUUCAAGGACCUAGAGAUUGUAUAGAUAAUGAAUAAUACUUGUCAAACAGAAGUUCUUUGGCUUAAAUAGUCAUUACAGCUGGAACACAAUGAAAAGAAACAAACCACGUCUUCACAUCCUGAAAACUGUGGUAACUGAAUGUAAGACUUAGUUGUAACUCCUGAAAGCUAGGAGUUUAUUUAAAUUAAAUACUACUUGCAUUAAUAGGACUCUAACAUUAGGAAAGUAAAUCCAAGUUGACCUAAAUUGAAAAAAAAUAAUCAAAGGAUCAUUGUUUUGACCAAAAACAAUUCAAAAAAAAAUCAAUGGAUUUUUAACUCGUAUUUUGUUAUGGGUCGGCCAGGUUGCAAGGUUAACCCAAGUUUUUGAUUGUGCUAGGUCGGAUCAAUUCUUCUUUUUCCUUUUCUUUUAACUCGAAUUGGUUAAAGCAUUGAGUUGGUCAGAUCCCAUCUAUUAUCUUUGAAACACAUAAUAAACCAAAUUGUUGAGUCUAGUUCAAAGCAUGUUAAACACAAGACAAGAUAAUUGUUUGUUUAGUCAUGUCCUAUCCACUCUAGUCCAAUUACUAAUGUCCAACAUACCAAAACCUACCUAAUAAAACCUUGCUUAUAAAAUACGCUUGCAAAAUUUCAACUAGAUUUAAUGAUUGAAUUAAAAAUUAUAUAUGUUUUUUUAGCAAGCUCAUUUGACUCGUCCUAAUUUGUUUUUAAGUCCAAACCCUAUAGAAAAAAAAGGUUAAGAAAUCAUGAAGCUCAACUUUCAACAAAUACAUAAUUGAAAGAUAAAAUUAAAAAGGAAAAUUCAUGUAAAAAGAGAGCUAAGAAAACCGAUAUCAAACUAGGUUAACCUUUCAAAUUUAUGAUCUGGGUCAUGAUACCAAAAUCACCUUAUCCAAAAAAUUAUGAAGCCCAACUUAAAACAAAUCUAAUGUUUAAGAAUGAAAUUGAAUUUUUUUUUAAAAAAUAAAAAAUAAAAAAUUACAAUUAAAAAAAUGAGGAUCAAAUAUGACACAAAAAUAAAAUGACAAGACACCUAGUAUGUAACACCCUCAAAUUAUGAUGUCAUGAAAUCUCAACCAUUUCUUUACUAAUAUCAAGUAUUGAAUAAUAUGUCAAAGAUUGUGGGAAUUUUUUUUUAUUUUUUUUUUUGGAAAUUUCGGCAGAGUUUCCUUUGUUUUCUGAUGUUACCAAGUUAUCGACUAUACUUCAUUCAAUCACAAUACUCAAAACUUUCAUUUUGAUCCAACCAUCCUGGAUCAUAUCUCAUCUCAUCUCAUCAUACAAUAUUCCACAUAGCUAUACUUCAUUGUAUUUUCUCAACCUUACAUCAUCAACAUAUAAAACAUUAAUUACAAACAAUUAUAAAAUUCAAAAGAUUCAUAUUGAACUAAUUAUCACAUUAACAUGCAUCCAUCUUUUAAACAUGCAUGAUUAUAAUUAAUAAAUAUUAUUUUCGAGUAGUUUAAUAAUAUUGAUUCCUUACUCAUACUUUUUAAAUGUAUAAGUAUCAAAAGCAAACAUCUUCAUGACACAUAUAUUACAAUCUACGUAUAAUACAAAUUACAUAUAAAGCAAAUAUAUUACAUCCCACAAAAUAAACAAAUUAAAACACAAAGCCUAUAUCUAACGCUCCGCAUCACUUCGUGAACAACCUGUAUACAUAACAUUAAUAAGAAAUAAGGAAGAUAACACAUUAAAAAUGAUAAAGCUAUUAUGUACACAAGUCUUCAAAAUAUAUCAACAUUAAUAGCUCAUUUAUGAUUAUUAAUCUUAUACUUAUAAGACCUCUGUAACCAACACUCAUUGUUUAAUAUAUAUAUAUAUAUAUAUAUAUAUAUAUAUAUUUUUUGGUAAUUCACAAAUUUUACCUCAAACCCGACUAACCCUCUUAAAUGGCCAAUAAUCAAACUGGUAAUUUUAUACGAAUUACCCAACAUCCGGCUUUUCUCCAUCAAUAGCCAAUAUAAUCGAUAAUUCCCUAUGAUUUACCUAACAUCCGGCUAUUCUCUAUCAAUAGCCAAUAUAUAACCGGUAAUUCCAUACGAAUUGCCUAACAUCCGAUAAUUCCAUACGAAUUACCCAACAUCCGGCUAUUCUCUAACAAUAGCCAAUAUAUAACCGGUAAUUCCAUACGAAUUACCCAACAUCCGACUUUUCUCUAUCAAUAGCCAAUAUAAGCGGUAAUUCCAUACGAAUUACCCAACAUCCGGCUAUUCUCUAUCAAUAGCCAAUAUAACCAGUAAUUCCAUACGAAUUACCCAACAUCCGACUAUUCUCUAUCAAUAGCCAAUAUAUAACCGGUAAUUCCAUACGAAUUACCUAACAUCCGGUAAUUCCAUAUGAAUUACCCAACAUCCGGCUAUUCUCUAUCAAUAGCCAAUAUAUAACCGGUAAUUCCAUACGAAUUACCCAACAUCCGGUAAUUCCAUACGAAUUACCCAACAUCCGGCUAUUCUUUAUAAUAGCCAAUCUAACCGGUAACUCCAUACUAUUCUAUACUAACCGGUAAUUCAUGCUAACCAACCGGUAAUUCUAUACCAACCGAUAAUCCCAUACUAACUGGUAAUUCUAUACGAACCACCCGACAUCCCCAUUAUAAUACCAGCAGUUUCUUCUUUUACUUCUUCCAUAUCAACAUAUCAUAAACAACUCAUAACUAAUAAUGAAACUUUGAAUUUUAAAGAAAGAGAUGAAUGACCUACCGUCUGCUCGUGAUGGCCCAGCUCCUCCUGCCUGAUGCCCUACUCCCGAAACAACUCCUGAAUAAAUCAAAUUGCACUACAUUAUUAUUUCUCCUACGUGCCUAAAUUUGAAGCACAUAAUUUUUUUUUUAAUUGGGGUUUACACUAAAAUUUUCAUUCAUCUAUCACUUCAUUUUCAACAUAUAGUUUUAAUCAAUUUUCUUCUUUUAAUUCACUUAAAGAAUUCUCCCAUAAACUAUUCCACCAUUUAUUUUGUAACGGCUCAGCCCAACUUGCCAUAUAUUGUUCGCUUUGGGCCUUACCGCCCUCACAGUUUUGUUCCUGGUGACGCGAGCCCACUUCUGAGCCUGACGCCCCAAAACAUUUAUGACAAGUUGGCAACCAGCACCACUUAUAAGGCCAACAACACAUCCCUCACCCGCCGAUGUGGGAUCUUACAAUCCACCCCCCUUAAGGAACCCGACGACCCCGUCGGCAUAACCGGACAGCCAGUGAGGCCGGCUCUGAUACCAAAUGUAUCGGCCCAGCCCAACUUGCCAUAUAUUGUCCGCUUUGGGCCUUACCGCCCAAUUGUAAGAUCCCACAUCGAUGGGUGAGGGUUGUGUUGCUGGCCUUAUUAGUAGUGCUGGUUCUAACAUGUUGAACGCGUCUUGGGAAGUCAGGCCCCACGGUUGGGCUCGCUUCUGCAAGGACAAACCCGUGCGGGCCUAUGGGACCUAAAGCGGACAAUAUUCGGUGGGAGGGCCAGGUUCCGCUGCGUAACUCUGCUGAACGCAUUUUGGGACGUCAGGCUCAGUAGUGGGCUCGCGUCACUAGGAACAAAACCGUGAGGGCGGUAAGGCCCAAAGCGAACAAUAUUCAGCAUGUUGGGUCGGGCUGUUACAUAUUUAUUCCUUCUUUUCACAUUCUCAUGAUGUUUCUUCACUUGUUCAUAUUUUGAAUACUUCACAUAAGAUAAAGAACAUCAUUUCUCAAACAUAAAACACUCAAAACUUCAUCCCUAUUGAUUGUGCAUCAAAAGUAUCAUUAAGUCUUUUAUUUUACAUAUGUAUUUAUUGUUUUUAUUUGAAUUUUUUAUAAUAAGUGAUGUGCUUUUUAGUAAUGAAGUUUCUUUUAAUGUUUCGAUAGGUUUUUGGAGCUUAAAUGAAUUAUUUCAGAAAAUUCAACGUCGGAAUUCGGAACAAAGAAUUGAAGAGAAAUUUAGUUGAAGAUUGAAGCAAAUCUUGGUUCAAAUAAGUGCUCCAAAUUUGCCCAAAAAAUCAAUUAUUUUCCAAUUCUAGAAAAGAAUAUCAUAUGAUCCAUUUCAAGCCCAAACUUACCUUAUGUUGUGUGCAAACUUCAACCAUCAAACACUCAAGGUUUCAAUGUCAAUCUUAGCCCAAAUAAUAGGUACAAUUGUAUACUUAUUUGAUGUUUAAAUCCAGCCCCAAAUCAGCCCCCAAAUCAGCCUCCAAAUCAGCCCAAGCACAAUCCAUGAUCUUACAUGUCCACACAACAAAUAAUAUUUGAUUUUUUGGCAAUUAAUUGAUUCAAGAGGGCAAGCACAUGGAUGGAAAGCUGGAGGGACAUUGUGACAUUAUUUUGGGUCAACAAGAAGAAAGAAACAGCUCAUAAAGGAGGAAGAAAAAACGUGCACCAAAGUGUUCUCCAAGCUGGCCUGAUUUAAUUUUCCAGAACAUCUUUCGGUGUUUUGCCCAUAACUUUUGACUCAGAUGUCCACAUGAGCUGUUCUUUAAUGAUCUGGAAAGCUCAUAUAAUUGUCUAUAAAUAUGUCUCUAAUAGCCAUCUCCAGGGGAGGCUUCUAAGAGGGUCGAAUUUCUGUCCAAAGUUAAAGUCAGAUUUGUGUCCGAAUUUUUACUGAAAUUCUGUUCAAACAAUUUUUGGAAAAUAUUAAUUUUUUUAUGCUUUGACGAAAAUCGGGUAUUUUAAUACUGAGCUUGUAUCCUUAUGGUAUAAAAAUACAACCCAAUAUUAAUCCACUUUGAUAAAAAUAUGCAGAAAAAUCAACAAUAUUUUUAGGGACUUUUUAGAAUUUUUUUUUGAAAGCAAAAACAUUUUUUAUUCUGAAAAUCUUUGAUAUUUUGACGAAAACCGGGUAUUUUUAACACUGGUUUUGUAUCUUUACGGUAUAAAAAUACAAACCAACAUUAAACUAUUUUGACAAAACUAUGCAGAAAAAUCAACAAUAUUUUUUUUUAACAUUUUUCAAAAUAUAUAUUUUUUUAAUUUAAAUAUUUUUUUUAUAUAUAUAGCAUAUAUACACACAUAUAUCAUAAUAUAUAAUAUAUAAUAUUAUGGGGCUGGGCCGGCCCAAAUAAAUGGGCCAGGCUUAGCCCAAAAAAAAAAACGGGCCGACCUCGGCCCAAAAUUCAAUUGGGCCGAUCUCGGCCCAAAAUUCAAUUGGGCCGAUCUCGGCCCAAGAACUCCUACUGUCUGGGCCCGGACCGGCCCAGACUUGCAAGGCUGGGCCAGCAUCGGGCUGGCCCACCAACAUCGGCCCAGCGGGGGGGAAGAAUUAAUUUUCUUCCCCCGCCUCCUGCAUGCAUAACUCUGCAUGCAGGAGGCCACGCCUGCAAAUGAAAGAGAAGAAACUUUACCUGGCGUGGAGGAGGCGGUCACUGGCGGUGCUGCGGUGGCGUGGCUCGUGGACGGUGGCUCCAGACGGUGCUGUGGCGUUUCGAACGGCGGCGAGAGAGACUUGUUUUCAGUGGCUUUCUCUUCGGUUUUUUCUCUGGUUUUUGGGUUCGGUUUCUUUGUUUUCGGUUUGUUUCUACGCUCCCACUCUCUUUUGCUCGUUCUUUCUCUUCUCCCUCUGUCCUCGGGUCUCUCUCUAUUCCUCUCGGGUCUUCUCCUUUCUCUCCUCCCUUCGGGUCCUCUUUUUUUCUUCGGUUUCUUCUGUAUUUAUAGGGGAAGAAAAGACAGGACCAUUGUUAGUGCGGUGCAACGGCUGGUCGGCCAGUGUCUAAAGGUGGUGGGGACGAGGAGAGAGAGGCGGGAAGAUUUGAAAAAAAACAAAAUGGUUUUCUUCUUCUGCUGCUCUGCUUCGGGGGGAAGGAGGAAGAUGAACAGUGUCGUUCAAAACGACACCGUUCUGGUCUUCCUCCUUUUUUUUUUUUUUAUAUGAAACGGCGUCGUUUUGGAUAAAACGCGCCGUUUCAUUUAAAUGGGCCAAACUUCAAAUCAGCCCUCCAAAUUCGGUCCCCGCCCCUCUUGUUGGCCGCCUUUUUCACUUUGGUCCUUGGCCUCUGAUUUAUGCAAUUUAGCCCUCAAUUGAUUAAUAAACUUUCAAUUUCUUCAAUUAGGCCCCUGAACCGAAUAAUUGCAGCCCCUCCAUUUACGCGCCUCUUCCAAUUUGGUCCCUGGUUUCGGAUUUUCUUAAUUAAAUCCCUAAUUGGCCCUUAAACUUCAAUAUUUAUGCAAUUAAGCCCCUGAUUUGACCCAAUAAAUUCCUAAAAAAUAUAUUUUGGCCCCAGAACUUAAAUUUCUUCUAAUUAAAGCCCAAAUUGACUUAAAAAUCAAUUUUUCUUGCAAUCAAAUCUUCUAUAAAUUCAAAUAAAAAUCCAAUUAAAUCCAUAAACAUCCAAAUUUGGGCUUUUCUCCUCAAAAUUCAAAUUUUCCUUCUCAAUAGGGCUUUCAUCCUUUAAGAAUAUUUGUCAAAAAUUCAAUCCUUGUAUUUUUAAAAUUCCUUGACCAAUUUUCUGACUGUUUUCUGAGCGCUUCUGCCUCCUGUUAUUUUUUCUAACCUCUUUUGGCUAUUUAUUUUAUUUUUCAUGGGGACCCAAAAAUGGGUUACAACAGAUGCCCCCUCUUUAUAAUACUUACGGAGCAUGGAUUUUGCGCAGUAAGUGUUAUAAAGAUAAACCCAAAACGGCAAUCCCGAAACUGAUCUGGUCGGAGCUUAAAUGAUCUGAAACUUUGUCUUUUACAACAAUCCUCCUUAGCCCAAAACUAUGAUCAAAACUUAGUCAUCCCGAGAUCCUUAUCCGGUGAUCCUCUGAAUUCUUACUUUAGUUUGAUCAACAUGGAAAUCCAUCCGAGAUCCCAUCUAGUGAUCUCCUUUAACCUGGAAUCCCAUCUGGCGAUUCCUUUACCCAUAACCAAUACAAAAAAAUGUGUGUGUGGUCUCAUUAUGAUGGGUGACCUGCCCGAGUGGAAAAGGGAAAGAGUGGUCUCAUUCUUUGGGUGACCUACCCAGGGGGAAGAAUGGCCUCAUUAUUAUGGGUGACCUACCCAGGUAAAAAGAUGAAGAAUGGUCUCAUUGUAUGGGUGACCUACCCAGAAAAAAUAAUGGUCUCAUUGUAUGGGUGACCUACCCAAGAAAAAUGAUGGUCUCAUUGUAUGGGUGUGACCUACCCAGGGGAAGAAUUCUUAGUAAACUCCAUGCUUUUCUAAGGAAAUGGUUUCAAAAUGAGGUCCCUUCUGGCGACCUUCCUUGAUGAAUGUCGAAGUACGAGAUCCCUUCUAGCGAUCUCAAAUAACUUGGAAUCCCAUCUGGCGAUUCCUUUUAUUCAAAGCUGAAAUAUUAGGUCCCUUCUGGCGACCUUCAUCGAAAUAUGAGAUCCCUUCUGGCGAUCUCCUUUAGCCAAACAACUUGGAAUCCCAUCUGGCGAUUCCUUUUAUACCAAAGCUAAAAUUUGAGGUCCCUUCUGGCGACCUCCAUUGAUGAAUAUCAAAAACGAGACCCCUUUUGGCGAUCUCAAACAACUUGGAAUCCCAUCUGGUGAUUCCUUUUAUUCAAAGCUGAAAUAUGAGGUCCCUUCUGGCGCCUCAUCGAAAUACGAGAUCCCUUCUGGCGAUCUCAACAACUUGGAACACAUCUGGCGAUUCCUUUUAUACAAAGCUGAAAUUUGAGGUCCCUUCUGGUGACCUCCAUCGAAAUACGAGAUCCCUUAUGUCGAUCUCAACAACUUGGAAUCCCAUUUGGCGAUUCCUUUUUACCGAAUGCUAUCGAUGUCGUUUUCCUGCUGGCAGGGUUUGAAAAACCAUUAUCUUCUCUUCUUGUUGUUCUAGAAUCAACUCAAUGAUUCUUUCUUCGUCCAUAAUCUUGUUGGAAUGCGCUAAGAUCUCCUCCUGUAACGAUCCAAAAAACAUAUAUGCAAUGAUUUAUGAUUAGAUGCAAUGCAUGCAUUCAUACCUGGUUUUGAAACAUAGGUCCCAUCCUCUUCUUCUAGUUCAUGAGACUCCCUUUUAAUAUGAACUUUGCUUUUGAAGUCGUAUGCUGGAUUCAUCUCUCGUGUUGCCUAUCAUAUUCUUGGAGAAGAAGUCUUUGACUUUCUUCAAGUAGUCCUUUUCUCAAAAUGUAUGACUUGUAUUUGCCUCUUUGUCAUGCUUUUGUCAAAUGCUUUAGCUUGGUUUUCAAAUCUAUAGGCUUCCAUCCAAUUUUAAACACGUAAAACUUUUCAUAAAACAUCUCGUCUUGCCCCCAGUGUAGGGGUGUGAUCAUAGUCUGGGUUUUAUAUAGAGAAGAAAUUCAUUCAGCCAGUGAUAAACCUUUUUAGUGAGUGAAGAGAUAAUGAUUGAUAAAUUCUAUAAAAAGACAAAUAUAGAUGAUUAUAAAGUGACCACUUAAUCAUUUAUCCAUGCAAUUUAUUAUGCUAUCAAUGAUAAGGUUGUAUUUUAGCUUUUCUUAAAUUUCAUAUUAAACCAUUUUAUGAUACUUUAUUUGUAACCACUCAAACUCGUUCAAAAAAAAUGCAUAAACUCAUCAUUUAUCUAAAGAAAAGGUAAGCUCAAAGACAAACACAAAAUCUGGUUGACAUCAUGAGCUCCAAUUUCCCACUAGAGAAAAUAAAAGCAAUGACAAAAACAUGCUAAGGCAAAUAAAGUUGUUUUACAUUUUGAAAACUACGAGAAGUUCUUGGGUCAACCCGUUCUGAAACUUCUUCUAGUGUGUGGAAAGUCAACCGAGGCAAUGCUUCAUCUUCCUUCCCCACUUGCGUUUCCUUGUCUUCUCCUUCGAUCUCGCCUUCUUCAUUAUUGACGAUUCUUGACCAAGGUUUUCCAACCCUUUAUCCCCUAUCACUUUUGUCAUGACCAGGCAAUGGAUUUGAACUGAUAUUGGGUGUGUCUUCAAAUGACACCCAUCCUAUCUUGAUGAGCUUCAACAACUUGUUCUUGAAACCGUAGCACAUUUCAAGACAAUGCCCGGGAAUACCAGCAUGGUACUCGCAAGUCAACUCGGGCUUAUACCAGAUGGGGAAUGGUGGCUGUAGUGGUAAUGUAGGGAUAGGAGCUAUUUGUCCAAUGCUCAGUAGUUUGGCAUAUAUGUCCUUCAGAGGCAUGGGUAAUGGCGGUAGUUGUUCUGAAAUGUAUCUUGUGUUUGGUCUUUGGUGGUUGUUUUGGGUGUUUGACUGGCCAUUUGCUCGAUUAGGGGAAAAAGGUUUGUUAAAGUUUAUGUGGGCCACAUGAGAGGUAGGUAUUUGUGGGUUAUAUGAAUCUGUUAUCUUGUCAUUGGACCCACCUUCGAAGUUGUUAACGGGACCUUUCAUUUUUCUUCCGAAAAAACCCUUUGUCUCCAAUGGCUCAAUUAUGCGUCCAGCUUUAAUCCCUUGCUCUAUUCUUUCCGCUAUGCGUACAACAUCAUAGAAAUGUUGAGAUGAGCUACCCAUUAAAUGCUCAUAGUAGGGUGCCUUGAAUGUAUUGGCGAACAAAGUCACCAUCUCCGUUUCUAUCAAAGGGGGUUGCACAUGCAUGGCCUCGUCCCUCCAUCUUUGCGCAUAAGCCCUUACUGAUUCUUGGCUUCUCUUUUCCAUUGACAUAAGGCUCGUUCGAUCUGGAGCAAUUUCCAAAUUGAACUUGUAUUGCUUAAGGAAAGCCUCAACUAAAUCCUUCCAUUUCUUGAUCUUGGCAUUAUCCAGCCUCAUGUACCAACUUAGCGCCGACCCCGAUAGACUGUCUUGGAAAAAGUAGAUCAGUAACUUAUCGUCAUGAAUCACCUCAGCCAUCUUAUUGCAAUAAGAUCGAAGGUGAGUGUUUGGGCAUUCCAACCCAGUGUACUUUAUAAACUCCGGUAUCCUAAAUUUUUGGUACCGUGAUGUUUGGUACCAAGCAUAUUUCAGACGCUCGCAUGGGGUCAAACCAGUCAUUUCCCUCGACUGCUCUUAACCUUUCUUCCAAGGCUGAUAUCUUGUCAUCGUUCAUAAAUCCGUGGACCUAUUAUCGGAAGGCCCAUCUAAGUGAUGUGAGCUUGAGGGGGCUGAAUGGGAAUGGUAGGCGCAAAGUGCUGCCCCGUCACUGAAUCUGCCCCCAAGUUCUGAGAUACCCCCGGGACAUGAACUGACGGUGCUCCUAUAGGUGGUUGGGUAGAUGUUCCCUCCCCGUUCUUGGCUCUUAAAAGUUGCUCAAGCAGAUUGGUCAGUCGAGAAACUUCAUUUUUCACAGAUUCCAACUCGGUCUGGUAGUGCGACUCUAAUGGCUCUUUCUUCUCCAUUCUUGAUCUGGACGGGUUUGGUGGACUCUGGAUGUGGACCUAUGUUUCACGAUCUGUAAUGCAUAUGAUAACAAAAUGCGUGAUGAAAAUGUGAUGCACAAGUGAUGUGCGAUGAGUAUAACAUUAUUAUCUUGAUGCAAAUAAGAUACAUAACCUAAGGACAAGCUCUAUUUAUUAAGUGAGAGUGGGUAGUUUUCUAUCUAGUCUUGAAGGUUCUCAUAUCUGCCCAGUGACGUUCUUCGUAAAGACAGUAUGGGGGCGUUGCAAGGAACAGUUAAGACACGUAUGCCCCAUUACCAAGCAGGCACUCAGAUAUGAGUUGGGUGUUUCACGCAUUUAAACCCUGACCAAUAGUCUUAGGGUAAAUCGCUAAUUCCCCACUUAACUUAAGGCUUGUGUGUGCUUUUCAAAAUAAAAGCAAGUGAUGCAUGAGACAAUUUAUACAAUGCAUAAAUAAUACGCGUAAAAUAAAAAAAUACGCAAAUAAAAGGAAAGGCAUAUUAACAAUAAACACAGAAAAACAAACAAAUCAGACAAAAACAAAGCUUAGUCUACAAGGUCCCCAGUGGAGUCGCCAUUCUGUCGCACCCCAAAAAAAAUUCAAUUCGUUCGACUGGCGAAUUUUUUUUUUUUUUUUGAUUUGGUUCUUUGGAGUCGCCACCUAGUAUUUUGGUCACUAGGAACCUAACUGGUCUCAGAGAUCGGGUACGGAGACUGGUUGCGUAAAGGGAAGGUAUUAGCACCCCAAAUACGCCCUACCUAAGGUAAGCUGCAUUGUUUUAUUGUCUGAUAAAAAAACUAAGUGUUAUUGUGUUUUCCUAGUUUUGGUCUGUCUAUGGUUCAAGAAAAAUCCUCCUCGUAAGGUCUUUAUCUUAUCGGGUAAAAAUCCUAACCGUUCUAACGUCCAUACCAAAAUUUUAUUAAUAAUAUUUAGGAAUACGUUUUACGUAUAAAUUCGUAAUCCCAAAUACUAAAAUAAAACAAAAAGAUUUUUUAGAAUUUUUGAAAUAUUGGCCUAGUUCUCAUGGCUUGAAUAAACUGGUUAUUAAAGCCAAAAUGCAUGUUAAUACAUAUAUUGUUUUGAAAAUUUUCUUUGUUGUGUGAAAAUAUGAUGUUAUAAUAUUUAUAUAUAUAUAUAUAUUGGAGAGACUAGGCCGUAUUUUAAAACAAAAAACAAUUUUUGAAAAUAUUAUUUUUUAUGCUUUGACGAAAAUCGGGUAUUUUAAUACUGAGCUUGUAUCCUUACGGUAUAAAAAUACAACCCAAUAUUAAUCCACUUUGAUAAAAAUAUGCAGAAAAAUCAACAACAUUUUUAGGGACUUUUUAGAAAUUUUUUGAAAGCAAAAAUUUUUUAUUCUGAAAAUCUUUGAUAUUUUGACGAAAACCGGGUAUUUUAACACUGGUUUUGUAUCUUUACGGUAUAAAAAUACAAACCAUUAAACCAUUUGACAAAAAUAUGCAGAAAAAUCAACAAUAUUUUUUUAAUUUUUCAAAAUAUAUUUUUUUUUAUAUUUUUUAUAUAUAUAUACAUAUAUACACACAUAUAUAUAAUAUAUAUAAUAUAUAAUAUAUAAUAUAUAUUAUGGCUGGGCCGGCCCAAAUAAAUGGGCCAGGCUCAGCCCAAAAAAAAAAAACGGGCCGACCUCGGCCCAAAAUGAAUUGGGCCGAUCUCGGCCCAAGAACUCUACAGUCUGGGCCGGACUUGCAAGGCUGGGCCAGCAUCGGGCUGGCCCAACACCUCGGCCCAGCGGGGGGGAAGAAUUAAUUUUCUUCCCCCGCCUCCUGCAUGCAUAACUCUGCAUGCAGGAGGCAACGCCUGCAAACGAAAGAGGAAGAAACUUUACCUGGCGUGGAGGAGCGGUCACUGGCGGUGCUGCGGUGGCGUGGCUCGUGACGCGGCUCCGGGCGGUGCUGUGGCGGUUCGAACGGCGCGAGAGAGACUUGUUUUCAGUGGCUUUCUUCGGUUUUUUCUCUGUUUUUUGGGUUCGGUUUUUUGUUUUCGUUUGUUUUGCUUUCUCUUUUCUCGUUCUUUCUCUUCUCCCUCGUCCUGGGUCUCUCUCUUUCUCUCGGUCUUCUCUCUCUCCUCCCUUCGGUCCUCUUUUUUUCUUCGGUUUCUUCUGUAUUUAUAGGGGAAGAAAGGGGGACCAUUGUUAGUGCGGUGCAACGGCUGGUCGGCCAAUGUCUAAAGGUGGUGGGGACGAGGAGAGAGGCGGGAAGAUUUGAAAAAAAAAAAUGGUUUUCUUCUUUGCUGCUCUGCUUCGGGGGGAAGGAGGAAGAUGAACAGUGUCGUUCAAAACGACACCGUUCUGGUCUUCCUCCUUUUUUUUUUUUUAUAUAUGAAACGGCGUCGUUUUGGAUAAAACGCGCCGUUUCAUUUAAAUGGGCCAAACUUCAAAUCAGCCCUCCAAAUUCGGUCCCCGCCCCUCUUGUUGGCCGCCUUUUUCACUUUGGUCCUUGGCCUCUGAUUUAUGCAAUUUAGCCCUCAAUUGAUUAAUAAACUUUCAAUUUCUUCAAUUAGGCCCCUGAACCGAAUAAUUGCAGCCCCUCCAUUUACGCGCCUCUUCCAAUUUGGUCCCUGGUUUCGGAUUUUCUUAAUUAAAUCCCUAAUUGGCCCUUAAACUUCAAUAUUUAUGCAAUUAAGCCCCUGAUUUGACCCAAUAAAUUCCUAAAAAAUAUAUUUUGGCCCCAGAACUUAAAUUUCUUCUAAUUAAAGCCCAAAUUGACUUAAAAAUUAAUUUUUCUUGCAAUCAAAUCUCUAUAAAUUCAAAUAAAAAUCCAAUUAAAUCCAUAAAUCCAAAUUUGGGCUUUUCUCCUCAAAAUUCAAAUUUUCCUUCUCAACAGGGCUUUCAUCCUUUAAGAAUAUUUGUCAAAAAAUUCAAUCCUUGUAUUUUUAAAAUUCCUUGACCAAUUUUUUGACUGUUUUCUGAGCGCUUCUGCCUCCUGUUAUUUUUUCUAACCUCUUUUGGCUAUUUAUUUUAUUUUUCAUGGGGAUCCAAAAAUGGGUUACAACAAUGUUUACUACUUUUCUCAAAACCCCCAAAUUCUCAUAAGAUCCCUAAUUUAACAAAAAUCAAGAAUAUAAGAAAUUAAAUCAAAUUUAAUUGUCAUUGUUUGAUAACUUACUCAAAUAAACCAAAACACUUCAUUCAAGUAAUAAUCUAACUUUUUCAUGCUUACCAAGCUAAGUUCUCCCAACUUUCUUCUCUCCUCCUAGUGUGGCCAGCCUCCUCACUUUCUUAUGUCUUCCUUCACUUGAUUCUUCCUUAUUUAAUGUUCUAUGUCUUUCAAUCUUACAAGUUUCAACUCUCUCUCACUUUUUUCUUGUUUUUCUCUUGAUUUCUCACGUCCUUCUCUUAUUGGUUUUUUUUCUUUCCACUUUUGUUACUGCCCAGUCAGCAGUUCAUAAUAAAAAGGGGCUGCCUUGUAUUAGUUUUAAUGGAAAAUUACCAUUUUGCCCUUAAUGAGCCUUUUUGCUUCCAUUUGACGGUCCUUAUUCUUUGCUAGCACUACCGAGCUCCGUUCAUCCUAAAAUUUUAACCAGAUUUUAUUCAAUAUAUUUUAAGGUCCCUCAUAAAAUUUCAGCUCAAUCUGAUGGCCGGAUUUAAAAUUACACCCAAUAACGUAAGACUAGUCAAAUUGUGAUUUUUCGUCAACUUUUUCGAAUUUCUCUAAAAAUUCUGAAAUUUUAACCCAAGCUAAGGCAUCAUAUUAGAAGGCUCCACACAAAUGUUUAGAAUUUUCUGAUAACCCGAUCGAGAGUUAUGAAUUUUUUUCUUUUUGUUUUACAUGAAACUAGUCAAUUUAUAAUUUUUCGCCUAGAGGUUUUACAUAGUAAUUUUAGUAAACCAACUCGAAUCCCCAGGAGAGGAGAAAGGAAAAAAAAAAAAGGAGAAGAAAGAAAAGGUUGCUAACGCCUCUCUCUCGACACACACUACACCAUUGGCAAGAGCUCACCAUGUUGCUUUAAAUAGAACUGUGGACGAAAAUGUUCCAACACCUGAAGAAGUUGCACAUGCCGCCAGAGCGUGGAGGCUUCACCCCACAUGUUGUCAUGUGCAUUUCACACGCCAACCAAAUUAUCUUGCUUGUCCUUUUGAGUUCCUAAAAGUAUUUUUCUGUUUCAAAUUUGAUCAUUUAAGCCUUAAUUAUUUUAGAUGAACAUAUAAAAUUUUUUCCUCAACAUCAUGGAAUCCUAGCAUCUAGGCAAUAACAAAAAAUUAAGUCCAAUCACAAGUAAACUCAAUUUAAAAGGAUCAAAUUUAAAAAAAAAAAUGAGGGACAAAAACAAAGGGGUUGAAUUUCUCAUUUGCUCAUGCAAUUUAGUCCUUGAUGUUUGCAAGAAAAAAGAGCUUAAUACUUGUCUAAUGCUCAAAUAUGGUUUCUUAGCUUUAAUUUUUUUAAUUCAAUUUAUUUUCAUUUAAUCUUUCCAAAUCAAAUCAUUAAUCGAGAGUCGAUUUUGUUUCUCGACACCACAAGUAGCCAAUACUAAGCCAAACAAAUAAUAAAACUCAAUUUCAAAUUAAUCUAAUAUAAAAAAAUCAAAUAAAAAAAUUCAAGUGAUAAAAAGAAAACUAAAAAGAGAAAGAAAACAUUGAGUGAAUCCAUAAUGUUUUCUCUCAUAAUGCACAUGAAAAGUCUGAUCUCUUUUUUUAUUUUCUUUAUGCAUAAACAUUUGAUGAUAAGGAAAAAUUGGUGUUUUGAAUUGAUGACCAAUACAUUCACUCUAGGAUUUUAAUUUUUGAGUUGGAACUUAUAACUUAUUAUUUUAUUUUUUUAAGUUAAUAUAAGUUAAUUUUAUCAACUCGUGACUCAAUAAUCACAACAAGUUUUCAAUUUAAUAACCAUGCCAUUUAAUUCUAGUGAUUUAUUUUAUCACCAAGUAAUUAUUACUUCAUAAAAUUAAUAUUAUUGAUGAAUAUACAUAGAUUUGGAAUUGUAAUUAAUGGAAGUUUACUUUUGCUAAAACAAAAGAAUAAAAAUAAAAGCUUGCUUAGAUAUUUGAAGGAUUUCUCGAUUUCAAGUGGCACUAAAUUAAAGUUUAUUUAAUAAAGAAUUAAAUUGAUUUUUGAAAGUACAUGAUUGUAAAAGAUAUGCAAAUGCAUGCCUACCAUGUUCAAUAUUUUUCAGCAUAAUUGCCAUAUUUCUCCAUAAUAGAAAAAAACUUGCGAAUGAAUUGCAAAAAAGAAAGCAUGAAAAUGUUGAUUGCCCGCAUGACUGUUUAUCCUCAAUUUAUAUGUUCAUGAUAGCUACUCCAUGGACGCCUUGUUCUUUAAUCACAGGAUAAUGAUUGAUUCUUCAACAUUCAUUCUCAUGAAUUCAAGAAAUUAUCUCAUCUAAUCUCUAAGCUUGACGGUAAAAUAAAUAUUAUUGUCUUAUAUCUCAUUUAAUUUCUUAAAAUUGAACCAUAAAAAUUAAAAGAAAUUAUCUAGUCAUAAAAAACAAAAUAUAUAUUAACUUGAAGUUUGGGAGUUUCAUUUUAAUUUUUUAAAAUACUUUUUAUUCGAAAAUGUAUUAAAAUAAUAUUUUUUUUUAAAAUUAUUUUUGACAUCAACACAUUAUAUAAAACACAAAAACAAACAUGGUUUCAACAUAUUGCAAUCAAGAUAUUAUUUGUUUAGUAUUGUUACGCAUGAUGUUUUUUUAAUAUUUUUUAUCUAAAAUUAUAUUAAAAUAUUUUUUUUCUAUAUUUUUUUAAAAAUUUUAUAUCAAAACAUCACAAUCAUAAAAAAUACUAAAAAAAAAAGUGAUUUGAUAUUUUUUAUAGUAAAAUAUACUUUUAAAAUACAUUAAAAAAAUAAAAGUUACUUCCUUUUCAAAUGAUGACGUGAUUAAAAAAUUAUAAAAAUUUACUCUUAAAAAUCAAAUUAUACCAGUAUACCAAACAUAUAAUAAAAGGUGUCUGACCCAAUCAAUAAGAAAGAAAAAAGAUACUUCGGUUGUCUUAUUAAAUUAACGGAAUCCAAACAACCUUUAUUUCAUCCAAUCGUACAUUGGCACCUGAUCUUAAUCCAACGGCCUAAAGUUAUCGUGACUAUAUAUUUACAGAAACGUCACCCACAACUGUCGUGGCGUGGCCUCCGAUUCGAGACGGAAGUUAUAAUGCCCAGGGCAGGUUAGGUGAUGAUGUCGUGAAAUAGGCCCUGUCCAGUUGAAACCUUAAACUGACAAAGGGGCCCACAAGAAUUGCUUAAAUGUCCAAAUUCCAAAAAGGUCCCAAAUCAUACGGGGAUUGUUGCCAUCAACAAGGUUGGUUUCGUACUUUGGAAACUAGAAAUUAACACACGCUUAGAUUUUAGGGAAACCCUCAAAUCAGACCCAUAAUAUAUUAUUCUAUCACUAAUGGAGUCCUAAUAAAAAUACUUUAUCAAUUAAGUCCUCCGUGCUUAAGAAGUUUCUCAUUAGGUGCUUCUUUCCGAGCCUGUUAAUUUACUGGUCGAUUUUUCUUCAAAUUAAAGACAUCAUUUUAUUGCGUAGAAUCAUAAAUAUUAAGACUACAUUUGAUAUGCUUACGCUGAUAGAAUUUUUGGAAAAAAAAAUGUUAAGUGAGUAAAAAUCAAAUAAUAAUAUUUUUUUAUUUGUAUGUAUAUACACUUUUCCAAUGAAAAAUUGAAUGUUAAUGAAAUACUCACUUUUUUUUUUUGAAAUCACAACUGCAUCAUCUUUACAGCUAAAUAUUAUACAUGUCACAUCAUUGGUAUUUAAUAAUUAUAUUAGCUCUUUAUUAAUUUUUAUAUAUAAUUUUAUUUAUUUAUUUAUAACAUUUUAUUACAUUUAUAUAUAAAUUUUAAACAUAGAAUUUAUACACAGUCUAAAAUUACAAAUCAUAACCAAUUCAUUUCUUGUUAGCUUUAUUUUCUUUUACCGAGUUGAGUUGAUAAUAUAUCUAAAAAUUGAUCAAAUAUCUUCAUUUUUUUUUUAGAAAGGAAAAGAGGAAAGAAAUUGGUAAUAAAAUUCAAGAAAGUAAGAGAAGCGAAAUAUAAGACUAAUUUCCUCACAUAACAAACAUAUUGUAACAAAUAUUGAUAGAAGGAUCAAAUUGAGAAAUGUGUAAAACGUUAGGGAUACUACUAAUAAAUUGUUCUGUUUCGGGACAGGAUUAGAAUGAACUGACUUUGAUUUUAUCGUCAUAGCCCAAGCCUUAAUUAUUUCCACUACUAUUCGAUUUCGAUCACCUCUCUCUCCAACUCUCUUCAAGCCUAAGCCUUAAUUAGAAGAUUUGGUUUUUGUUCUGUAAAACAGAAGCAAAAGUCUUCUUAUUUAUUUCAGUCUUUUCUCGAUUAGUUUUGUUUCCAAUCUUUUUGGAGAUCUCUGAUUGUAUGUAGAAUCUCUUCUUCAUUUGAAAAAAAAGAAUUUUUUUUUUUCUUCUGCAGUAUUUUCUCUGUCGAUUUAUCUGACUUUAUGGGGUCUGAUCCGACCGUCAGUAUUCAUGACUUUUCUUUUUGUCUCUCUAUUUUCUCCUUUUCGAUUCCAUCAUAAAUUGAUUUGUUUCCUUUUUCAGUUUUUGUUUUUCUCUUUUUAAAAAAGUAGAAUUAAAAAAGAAGAAGCGAAUAUGAGUGUAGCCAAGUCUCAGGUAUGGCAACCAUGCAAGAAGAAGAGAUCUUGAUAGAUAGAAAAUAAAAACAGGAACUUCAGUUUUAGAGAGAGAAAGAGAGGGAAAGGAAAGGAGUUUUGAUUGAUUCCAGAGAAUGUCGUCUUCUAGAAGUGGUGGAAGCGGAAGCAGGACACGCGUGGGGAGGUAUGAGCUCGGAAGGACUCUCGGAGAAGGAACUUUUGCGAAGGUGAAAUUUGCUAGGAACGUUGAGACGGGAGAGAAUGUUGCUAUUAAAAUUCUCGAUAAAGAGAAAGUUCUUAAACACAAAAUGAUCGGUCAGGUAUUUCUUUCUGAUUUUUUUUUAUUUCAUAAAAUUCUGUGGAUUCUUAAGUUUUAUUUCAUCAAAUUCAACUUAUUUUUGUGUUAAUUUUAGCUCAUGAUUUUUCUCGUUGUUAGUUGUUAUGUUUGGUCACCGAGAAAAUCGAACUGAAAAUUUAGAGCUGUUAGUUGCAGACAAUUAAAGAAGAAAGAAACGUCAAUUUGAAUAGGGAGACUAGUCGUUUGCUAUGCUAUAUUUUUGUUUUUUUUUUUCAUUGCAGAUUAAACGGGAGAUUUCAACAAUGAAAUUAAUUAGACACCCGAAUGUCGUCCGCAUGUAUGAGGUUUGAAGUUUUUUUUUUAAUUAGCAAGUUGUUAUUAUUCUUUUUAUGUUAUUGUCGGGACUGUUUUAAUAACUUGCAGCAGUAUUGGUGUUGUAGGUGAUGGCGAGCAAGACCAAAAUAUACAUUGUUUUAGAAUUUGUGACGGGUGGUGAACUUUUCGACAAGAUUGUAAGAUGAAUAUGUCUGAAAUUGAUGUGUUGGAUUAUUCUGCAUGUUAAUGUUAAUGAAAAGUCUAAUUUUUUCUCUGUUUUUUUUGCUAUUUUUCUUGAGUUAGGCAAGUAAAGGGAGGUUGAAGGAGGAUGAAGCGAGAAAGUAUUUUCAACAACUUAUCAAUGCCGUGGACUACUGCCAUAGCAGAGGUGUAUACCACAGAGAUCUAAAGGUGCGAGUUUGUUGCUUUUAUUCUUAUUUUAAUGUAAAAAUGACAAUGACCCUCACAAAUCUCUUUAGUUGAGCUGACUGAUCAAUCUCUUAUUAGUAUAGGUAAUGAACUAAGUUUUUUACAUCUGGUUGUAAAACUACAGCCUGAGAAUCUGCUAUUGGAUGCUAGUGGGGUUCUUAAAGUUUCGGAUUUUGGAUUGAGUGCACUACCUCAGCAAGUUAGAGUAUGUUAACCUCUGAUCCGAGAACUCUGCCCAAACAUUGAUUAAUUUUGCUUCAUUCCAGAAGAUUUCCUGACUGUUUAUCUUUCAUUUCUCUUUUUAGGAAGAUGGGUUACUUCACACAACGUGUGGAACACCAAAUUAUGUUGCUCCAGAGGUGUGGUAACUUUUUGUGCCAUCAAUAUUUCUUAAUGCUCCAACCAUACAUGUUAUUUUAUUCAUUGCUUGGUGUUUCACUUUUCUAGGUGAUCAACAAUAAAGGCUAUGAUGGCGCCAAGGCAGAUUUGUGGUCAUGUGGUGUGAUUCUUUUUGUCUUGAUGGCUGGGUACUUGCCUUUUGAAGAAUCCAACCUUAUGGCACUAUACAAAAAGGUGAUUGUUUUCAUUCUUUCUCAUUGCAUUGUUGUAGUCACCCAUCUUCAUGUUUGUUGGUUAUAGUUGUAUAAAAUGCUAGAGUUGGGGAAAUGAAGCUCCCUCUAUAGAGAAAGACUGCAUCAAGUUUCAUUUUUUUUUGCCUAUUAAUUCUAUCAUGUUUACCUGAAAACAGCUGAGUAGAAAAGAUCCUCUAGAUCUCUAAUGUCCUCUCAGAAACUAUUCUAUGAAAACAUUUAACAAUUAUCAACUUUAUGAUUGGAAAGCUAACCAUAAUUUCACAAGCUCAUUAAUCAAUUUUGUACCGGGUGGAGCUACUCCAUGGAAAGUAUGAUUGGAAAAUGACCCAAAGUUUGAGUUUGGCUCAUCAAUGUACACAUGAGCUUGAGGGAGCUUUCAGAAAACCGGCCCAGUCAUGAGCAGGCUUUGAUUGUUUUGCAAAAUGUCAUGAUCAACAGUGCUGUUUAUGCCAUUGACAUCUUCUUACAAGCUAUUUGCUACAUCUGAGAGCAUGUGCUAAAAAUUAAAUAGGGAAUCAAGUGGCAGCUUGAUAUCUUAUUCUGGUUUGUAAAAUCAUGGACCCAUGGUUUGAAAUCAGAGCCUUUGUGCAUAUCUGCUUUGGUAAACCUGUUCAGUUGCUGUGUAAAAUAAGUGAAAUGUGGUCAUUGUGCAUUGCCUGAAUGGAAGAUGCUUUAUUGUAUUUUACCUAGGUUAAAUGUGGUUUUUGUGCGACUGCAGAUAUUCAAGGCUGACUUCACAUGUCCUCCAUGGUUCUCCUCAAGUGCAAAGAAACUAAUCAAAAGAAUUCUGGACCCUAAUCCCUCAACAGUUUGUUCCCUCUCUUCUCUUCGUAUAAAUUUAUUGUACACCUUUCCUUCUCUAGAAAGGAUGCCGUAUAAUAUUAGGUAUUUGUCUUACUGUACAAGCUAAUUGUAUGAAACAGCGUAUUACCAUUUCCGAGCUUAUUGAAAAUGAAUGGUUUAAGAAAGGAUAUAAGCCACCUACUUUUGAAAAGGCUAAUGUUAGUCUCGACGAUGUGGACUCUAUCUUCAAUGAAUCAAUGGUAAUUCUUGUGUUUCAUUUGUGCAUCCUGCUUUCAAACUUAGUACACCAUCUGUGGGUUUGUAAUUGAUGUUUCUCAUGGUUAACAGGAUUCUCAAAACCUAGUUGUGGAGAGGCGAGAAGAAGGGUUUAUAGGGCCUAUGGCUCCUGUAACCAUGAAUGCGUUUGAACUUAUCUCUACCUCUCAGGGUCUCAACCUUAGUAGUCUUUUUGAGAAACAAAUGGUAAGUUUUAAACUCGUUGUUCUAUUUAAAAGAAACCAAAAUCUGGAAAAUGUUGGAAUUUGAGAGAGCCUGACAGUUUGGUACAUUUGUUUAUGCUGAAAUCUUCUCAAAUUAUAAUUAUACCAAAGAUUAAUGGUUGAAUACUCCAACUGUAGCAUUAUACACUUCGAUUUUCUAUCAUUUAAAAGCAUGUUUUAGUUGAUAUUCCAACUUUGCUCUGAUAUUUAGCAUUAUCAAUUUUAUGAAAUAAUUGCCAAGCAAAAAUCAGAUAACUGUUGUCCCAGUGUGUGUUUUUUGAAAUAUCAGAGUUUAACGAGCCGCUACCACCUCCUUGGAUGUGUAUCUUUGAGUUUCACAACCAUGAACCUAAGAGACUUUCUUUUCCUUUGGCAACCAGGGGCUUGUGAAACGGGAAACGAGAUUCACUUCCAAACAUUCUGCUAGUGAGAUAAUCUCAAAAAUUGAAGCAGCAGCAGCGCCUCUGGGUUUUGAUGUAAAGAAAAAUAACUUUAAGGUCAGAUAAUUUUCUCCUUUUUUAUGAAUGAGAGUUUUUGGUGGAAUGUUUAGUUCAAGUUUAGCAAGAUUCCUGUGGUUUUCCGGCAUCCAACUUCUUGUGAUGUCUGUAUGGCUUUCAAGAGCUACCACCAAACUGGAAUCCUUAUUAUACCUGAAUGAAAUCUGCAUUUUUUUUUUCCUUGUCCUUUCACCUUCAUAAGUAAACUCAUUUAUCAUUAUUGAGCUUUUUCUAUAUGGUUCAGUGGACUCCUGAUUUUGUGUGUGAGGAAACAGGAUUCCUUCAGAAAUUUGAUUUUGUUAUCAGUCAACUGUUAAAUUAUUGUUUCUACUGAAACAACUUUUCUAUUUCAAAUCACAGAUGAAGCUUCAAGGGGAGAAGGACGGACGCAAGGGUCGUUUAUCUGUUUCAACAGAGGUAUGUAUCUAGGAAAUCUGUACUGAUAGACUUGUCUGUAGUGGUUUGAACUGGGUCCUAACAUAAUUCUCUUUCUUUCAGGUCUUUGAAGUGGCCCCUUCUCUUUAUAUGGUUGAGGUUCGCAAGUCUGAUGGUGAUACCCUGGAAUUUCAUAAGGUAAUUUAAAUAUUGGUGCUCUUGUGGCAAUUAAAACAGUAAUGAAGAAUUUCUCCUCCCUCAAAAAAGUUUCUGGUCUUUGUAUUCUUUUUUGUCAAUCAGGUUGAUGCCUGUGUAGUUAGGUCUUGUGUGUGACCCUUGGUUUGGCUGCAAAUUGAAUGGAUCUGUUCUUGAAAAAUAUAUAGUCAGCUGGUUUGCUUAUUUCAUUUUUCAUGCAAAAACAAUUAUGACAAGUGACCCUUUUGGUAAAUAGGGAGGGUGGACUGGGAGGGCUUUGUGAGAUACCCAACCACAGUUGAUGGUAUACACAUUGAUUCCAAGAACUUGUCAAUAACUACAACAUAUGAUCCAGCUUCACCCAUUUAAUCGUCCAGUUGUUAUUAUUAUUAUUACUGAAAAAAAUGCUUAUGAUAUUAAACAUUCUAGGCCAAGUUGAAUUUAAAAUUUUUCCCAGGCACAAGGCAAAGUUAAAAAAGUUAACUAUAGCAUUGUUAGCUCAAGAAUAAGGUGAAGCUAAAUUGGUUUGCUUGCUUUCUGGGUCUUAUAAUCUCAUGGAGUGAGCGGAAGGCUAGAUUUGUGUCUGGUCUUGUUGGGUGGACCCAACAGGCCAUAAAAUAUGUAGCUCCCUCCCCUGGCAUUGUUGUCCCAAAACUAUGUUAUCAGUUAGUUCUUUCUUUUAUCUUUAAUUGUUGUAAGUUGUAAUUUUGAAAUCAUCUGGCUUGAAUGACAGUUUUACAAGAACCUUUCAACUGGGCUGAAAGACAUCGUAUGGAAAACGAUUGAUGAAGAAGAGGAAGAAGAGGCAGCGACAAAUGGUUAGUAGUUAUUACCUGUGGAGUGUUAUAAUGAGAAGUAAGAAAUUAUUUUGAGGAAUAAAGUGUAACUAAAUAAAAAGUAUAGGGGAAAUGACAUUAGAUGUUUUAGGCUGAUGGUAUGUGUAUGAGAGAAGUAUAUUAAAGUUAUUGCAGUUAGAAUUUAGAUGGGUGCGAUGAAAUGGAAGUAGGAAAUUAUUGUCCAUUUUUUUUAGCAUUUGGGUUUUAGGUAGCGAUUGGUUAACGUUUCAGGGAUAGGUUGAGGAGACCAAGAUAUAGACAAAAAUAAAUCUGUUCUUGAGAUAAUUUUGGAGUAAAUUUCUGUACUUAGAAAACAAGAGGCAUAUAGGGUCAACUUGAGUUAACCUCAUUUUUUUUAAUAAAAAAGGAUCAUAACAACAGUGUUUUGACCAUUUUUUUUAAUCAAUGGGUUCUUAUUGGUUUUAUCCUGGGUUGAUCAGGUUGUGGGUCGACCUAGUUUUUGAUUGGGUUGGGCUUAGUCAAUCCCUUGUAUUUUCAUAAACCUAGACCAGUAUAGACUCUAAGCUGGCCGGGUCCUAGGUCGACCUGCAAGCAAGUCCGAGUUUAUAACUAUGUUAUUAUACUAUUAUUAAUUUCAAUACUCAAUAUAAGCUAAGAAAAAAAAAAUAUAAUUAUUUUUUUACAUGUUUGUAACUUUGACAAUGAUAUAUAUAUAUAUUAAGGGUAAUACACACAAGCACCAUCAACUACAAAGGAUACGAAGAUACUAACUUUAACUUUAUCUUGCAUAUCACUACUAAAUUCAAAUUUCUUUCUUUCUUAUUUUCUGCGUUUUUUCUGUUUCAUUCAUCCCGGGACACUAAUCAAAUGCGAUGUUAAUGUUGCAAAUAACAACAACAUCAACAACUAGUGUUAACUAUAGGCUGGUCAAGUUUCAGUAUGCAUUUGCUCCUGCACCUCAUAUUAUGCAUGGGCAUCAUACUAGUUCUAUUUUGGAUAUCUUUCUCUGCAGGUGUUGCUCGGGUUACUGCACAUUAAUUGGCUUCCUUCCUUGAAAUCAAGAAUCGUCAAGUGGUUUUCCUGUAAAAAUCCAAAUGUCGAUUAUUCAUAUGAAUGUUGUCUGGUUUGUAUGUAUUUUUUCCUCCCUCAAUGUUAUGAAGUUUAAUGGGGGGAACAUGCUGUAGGUUUCAAGGACAUGUUCCUUGUGACCCUGAACAAACUCAACCCCUUGGCCUGGUUUUUGUCCAAACUGUGAAUGUAUCAUAACAUGUUUGCACAGUUCGGUUUUAUUCUGAAUGUAUCAUAGACCCCUUUAAAGAAAGUUCUCUGUAAUGUUUGCUUCUGCAGAUGGGGGUGGGAGGCCACUUGAUGUCUGAAGAGAGGUAGUGGGUCAAGUAUAAUACCUAUGGAGAUUAAAUUAGAAAUUAAUGAGUUUAUUUUAGAGAUUAAAUUUCAAUAAAUUUUUAAUACAAAAGUGAGUUGAAAUUUUUGAAAAUUUAACCUCAAAUAUACUCAUGUUUUACAAAUUUUACUACUCUUUUUGGCACUUUCAUUAUAUCGACAUAAAACAUUAUCAAGCUGAUGCCAGUCCAGAGAUCGAAGAGACUUUGUUGAUGUACUUUCAGUAAAAGAGUUUCCCAAGGAAUCUAUUUCUUUAACAUUUGCCAUUAUAUUUUGAUAUUCUUUGUGCUCGUCCAUGUUUGGGCCAGAAAGUGGUAAAAAAGGGUGGAAUCAACCGACCUUUGUUUUUUAUAAGGUCGGGAUUGGAAUUUAUGGUUCAAAAGUAUCACUAUGUAAUAAGUUUCUUGAUAUUUUUUACGUAGAAGGAUGCAGAAUAGUUGACAGGUCCCGUGCUGAACAUGAUUGGCAUGCUGUAGGUUCACAACAGUUCAUCACAUUCACCACGAGAUGGAUUUUGGAGAAAGUUAAGAAUGAAAUCAACUCCAACUAGCUUUAUUGGCUAUCAAACACUCCAUCUAAAAUGUUAAAAUGUUCUUACUAGGUAAGAUUUAAAAAAAAAAAAUUAUUUUACUUUUUAAUAUAUUUUCUAUUUUCUCAAAUGAAAGGAUUUAAACUUAAAAUAUGUGCAUAUUUAUAUUACUUUGUAUUUAAAUUUUUAUUAUUAAUUAUAAUAGAAGUAAUGAGAUUUAAAUCGCGAUGAUUUAGUUAAAAUAAUUUUAUAGUACAACAAAAUAACCAACAAAAUAUGAUCUAAAAUACAGUUAGGGACAUCUUUUAUCUUUAUUACGAUAUGUUCAUGAACAAUGCAAUGGGCCAGCUAGCUAGAGGUUGGAUUUUGUAUUUGAAUAUAAUGGACCAAGAUUUUAUUUGUAUUAUUUUGUGUGUAGAUUUUUUUCAAAAAAUUACUUGGAACAAGGAACGUGCGUGAUUCGAAACCCUAAUAAAUCAAAAGAAGAAGUUUUGCAAAGAAAAUGGAGCUGCAAAUAUUGAUGAAAAACUUUACAAAAUCUUAAUAGGUUGCUUGAUGUACCUAAUUGCAACUAACUAUAUAUUAUGAAUGUUAUAAAUCUACUCUCAAGGUACAUGUAUUUUGCUAGUGAAAUUCAUUUUCAAGUAGCAAAAAAAAUUGUUAGAUAUAUCAAGGGUAUGAUUAAUUAUGGUUUGAUUUUCUGUCAAGUUAAAAAAUUUACCCUCCAUGUUUAUCAAGAUAAUGAUUAGAAUGGUUGUGUUGAUGACAUGACAAAUAUUUCAUAUUGUUUUUUUCAUGAUGUUUUAAAAAGCAAGAAGUCAUAGCUCACAACGGAAACAGAAUACGUAGAUGUUGUUGCUAGGAAAUUAAUGGCAGACCUGCAUAUGGAGAAAAAGGAAAGCACGUAGAUACUUGUAGACAGCCAAGCUACAAUUUUAAUUGUGUUUCAUGGCAAACCAAAACAUUUGAGAAGAAAACAUUUAAUGCUCUUUCUCUUUUGAUAAGUUAUAUAAAUAAGUACUUUGAUAAUCAAUAAAAAAUAUUCAUAAAGAGAAGUUUCAAAAUUAAGUUUGUUUUGCCAGCCUUGCUUUAUUCUGUCAAAAAAAUCUACAGAGUUUUAUUGUAUGCUUAAUUUUAAUAACUGUUCUGGAUCUCCAUUUUUGGUCAUCGGAGGAGCUCUUUUGACAUAUUUUGUCUCCAUUUCCUUCUGAUAUUUUCAUUAAUAAAAAGAAAAAAAGAAAAAAAAAUUCUUUGGCUAUAUAUUUCAUCUUUUUUCGGGCAAGUAAACACAAAUUAAUUACCAGUUUUGAUUUCCUCCAAGGAACUGCUUCUUUUUCAACAAUUCUCAAGCACUUCUUAUUCUCAUGUGAGCGAUUUCUUUAUCUUGCUUCUGGCUUUUUUUUUUAGAGCCAUUUCCUGUCUCCCGGUCAAGGUUGUUAAAAUCGUGAUUUAACUCGUAAAAUCGUAUGAUUUUACGAGUCAAUAUAGGCUUAACGUGCUAAAUCGUUCAAAAAACUCGAAAAUGGAUGAAAUCGGGUUGAAAUCGGGUUGAAAUCAGGUGAAAUCGUUAAAAUCGGGUGAAAUCGCAUAAAAACACGAUUUUAGGACCGUUUUAACGAUUUUGACAGAAAAUAUAUACUACUCGUAACCCUUGCAUCCACCCUCCAGCUGUCCAGCAGUUAUUGGGCCAUUGACUAUUGCAAUUUGCGCGUUCUUUCAUCUUUCUUUCAUCUGCUGAUACACACACAUACAUAACAAACAAAAUAAUAAUCCCUAAGCCUAAAAUUGUCUACACAAAAUCGUGCAUCUCUGAACAUCUCAAAGCUUCUGUUGCUCCCGCCCACCACCCGAAAACAAAGGUAGAAAGCAAACCAGGAAACGCGAAACUGCGUGAGUGAGCUUAACUCGGGCAAGAAGGAAAGAAAGGCACCUUCGGGCACACAACUGCUAAAGUGAAGGUUUCAAGUCUCCAAACCAGCCAGGAGAGAAUAGAUGCAAGAAGCAAUCGGUUUGCAUUUUAGAUCUGGGAAUCAACAAGUGAAAAAGCCAGUUGUUCUGAGCGAUACUGAGGAGAUUGAAUGAGAGAAGGGAUCGGGUGGAGGAGAAACUUGAGAAAUUUCCAGUAUUCGUUCAUGAGGAAUAGAGGAUGAAAUUUCGUAUCCUCUCCCUGGUGCUGUUUGUUUUGGGUUAAUGGAAGGUAAGGAAGAUGAUGAUGUUUUUAAAGGCUGAGAUAUGGUGGAGAUAGCUCAUGAUCUGAUGGGUAUGGUGUUGGUUUGUGUUUGAAAGGAUGGCUAUGGUGAUGUAGGUCUCUAGGUCGGUUGAAAUCAGGAAACAUUUCCAGACUUAUUUGUUGGUCCUCUGUUGUUGUUUCAUAAUUUUUUUCCCUGGUUCCUCCCAUUUGAAUUCCCCAGUGUCCACCCUUUCUUUGUAGGAGAGAAAAUCUGGAAUUAAUGCAGUAUUGAAUGAUUUCUAGGACUUGAUUCCUGGAGAUGGAAUUGAGAGAUUAGAAUCUAGGUUUAUUUUGUUGGGAUUUGGGAUUUAAUUUGAAUCAUGGACUAGAUUGAAAAUUAUAUAUGAAGAGAAGGGAAGAACUUCUGGAUUGAAAAGGGACAAGGAUUCAAGGAAUCCUGUUUCAGAGAGGAUUCCCACACACCUCCUAUUUUUUGCACGUAUACUCAGGAGUCAGGGGUGAAUUAAUUAAGGUUAUUGUUAGGAAUUGUGUUUUAUUUAUUUUAAGGAUGAGUUGUUGAAGUUGGACCCUUUUUAUUUACACGUUGGAUAGAGAUAUUGCUGCUGGAAACAUUGAAUGUAUACAAAUUAAAGGGAUUAUCUAAAAUGUUUAAUAUUAGUUUCUGAAUGCAGUAUUAGGCUUUUUUUUUAAUGCAGUAUUAUGUAAAAUGUUAAGAGAUGCAUUAAUAAGAAAAUAAAGUUUAGAUUAAAGAAAUAUAUUUUAUCUACAUAUUUCAAAUGCCUUGAAUUUAAAAAAAAAUCUUUAUUUUUAUUUAAAGCAUGAUUUUUUUUAUGUAUUUUAAAAUUCUUUACGAUUUUUUUACAAUUUUACGAUCCGUUUUUACGAUCCGAUUUUAUGAACGGCUUUUCAUUUCGUGUUAAAAUCACGAUUUUAACAACCUUGCUCCCGGUGCCUUUUCAACAGGUGUAACAAGCUGUGACGUUCACGAGUCGACAACUUUUCCUUCAAUUGAGGUGUCAUUCUAGCCGACUGCUAAUCUUCUAAUGCCUAUUCUGAUGCCAAUCCGCUAUCCCUCUUCAGUAUCAUAGAUUGCAACUUGAGCACAGAUUUGGAGGAUUUGAAAAGUGAUCUCUUAGCAAUCUUGGAAAAUUAUAAUAAUGCGAUUUACUUUCCAUUUCUGUACUAAUACCAUUUAUAGACUUUAGUGUAGUAUAUAUAUCAUACAAUAAACUCGUCAACGAUUUAGAACAUGCAAGGCACACAAUCAAUUCAACUUGAAUAUUUGAAGUAUGCUAAGAAACCCUUUUGGCUUGACUCGUUUAGAAAAGAGAGGAGAUUUAUUUGGCUUGGAAAGUGACCGAGACGUAUAAGUUGAAUGAAUCAUGUCAAGGAAUAAACGGUAAUGCUGCCAAAUGAAGAAAAUGACUGGCAAAGAAGCAACGACAACAAUAGGGAUAGAGUAUUCGGGUAAUUCAUCGUUGACAACGAGGAAAAAUGCUGCAGUAAAGGCUCCCAUCAUUGCCCCGAUUGAUACAAAAAGUGUUGUGAGUCCGAUAAUCAACCUGUUAGGCAAUGACCAAAGAAAAUUUUGUUCUGCGUACCGAGAAGUGCGAAUUGACAAGAUGGUUAUCAAGGAUAAAGCAGAGGUUUCUAGAGAUACUGCAUCUGAUAUGACAAAGAAUUUGAAUGCAGGAUUCUCAAGGAAAACAGGAGUCCCUGUAUCUUGUAUCCUACCUCCUGGCAAGGCAAAAGCUGCUGCAAAAACCACAGUGGCAAUAAGUGUUGCUACAAGCAUGCAUGAAUCGGCUAAUAAGCCUUACACUGCACUGUUAUUGUAAUAUGAAUCACACAAUUUUCAUUCAAUCACUUGUAAUCUUUAUACAGUCCUAAGAGCUUGAUUGCAGGAAUUCAAAUGUUUGUAACUGACUAAUAUUGAUUUCAGGAAUUCAAAUGUUUGUAACUAACUAAUAUUUACAUACAUAAUUAAUAGCAAUAUCUUCAGGAAUAACCGACUGAUUCUGCAGUUAUGAAGAGCACAAAAUCUGGCAUUUCUUCUGGUGACAGCUACGCUUGUAUUGGCAAUAAUUUGAAUUCAUCAGAAUCCUUGAUACGCCCCCGCAAGAACGGGCUACCAUCAGAUAGACCGAUCUUGUUACGUAAGAAUUUUGUUCGUUGCCGAGAGAGGGGCUUGGUGAGCAGAUCAGCUAGUUGAUCAGAGGUGUGGACAUGAUGAACAACAAGGAUAUUCUUCACAACUAAAUCACGGACAAAGUGAAGGUCAAUCUGGAUAUGUUUCAUCCUAGAAUGCUGAACAAGAUUAAAACUCAGUUGUGUUGCACCCAAAUUGUCACAUAACAGGAGUGGUGGUUGAGAAAGAGUGAACUGCAGCUCUUGAAGCAAGGAUAACAGCCACACGGAUUCAGCUGCAGCCAUUGCCAAGGCUCGAUACUCUGCUUCAGUUGAUGAUCGGGCAAUGGCACGCUGCUUUUUAGAACUCCAGGAAAUGGGUGUGUUGCCAAGAAAUAAUAGAUAGGCUGACGUUGAUUUUCUGUCGUCCAAACUGCCAGCCCAGUCUGCAUCAGAAAAACAAGUCAGUGUUGUCCUAGAUUUGUUGCUGAUAGUAACACCAUGAAAGAUAGUGUUUUUCAAGUAGCGCAGUAAUCUUUUUGUGGGUUGAUGCAUAAAUUGGGAUAAUUUGUUUACCGCAAAGCUGAUAUCAGGUCUUGUGAGAGACAGGUAUUGCAAGGCUCCAAUGACUUUACAGUAUUCUGUAGAAUCAGCAGAAGAAGAACCAUCAUUCAGCUGUAGAGGAGCCGAUGUUGAGAGAGGAGUGGUAACAUCCCUGGCACCUUCCAUACUAGUCUUGGCAAGUAAAUCACGGAUGUACUUAUGCUGACUAAGAAACAACCCGGCUGCAGUAGGGAUAACCUCAACACCAAGAAAAAAAUGCAGUGAUCCCAAGUCCUUGAUAGAAAAUUUUGUUCCAAGAUGAUCAAUAAUACUUGCAACAAAAACUGAAUCAUUGCCUGUGAUAAUUAAAUCAUCAACAUACACCAAACAAUAGGCAAGAGUGGCACCAACAUGAUACACAAACAAAGAGGAAUCAGAUUUAGAAUUAAUAAAACAAAACUCUGUUAAUGCAUGUUUAAGAGCAGAAUACCAAGCACGAGGUGCUUGUUUCAGACCAUAGAUGGCCUUAGUAAGACUGCAAACAUAGUCAGGAUAGUCUGGAUUUCGGAAACCUGGCGGUUGCUGCAUAUACACUCUGUCAGUGAGAUGCCCAUGAAGAAACGCAUUAUUGACAUCUAGCUGCUUCAAAGACCAACCCUGCAUCACAGCAAUAACUAAUACAGUUCGAAUGCUGACCGAUUUAACAACAGGACUAAAGGUCUCCUUAUAAUCCAGUCCGGGUUGUUGAUUGAACCCUUUAGCCACUAACCGAGCUUUAAACCGAUCAACUGACCCAUCAACAUGCCUUUUAACUCUAAACACCCACUUACAGCCAACAGUAUUACAAUCGGGCGGAGGAGGAACCAAUUGCCAGGUAUUGUGACGCAUUAAGGCAGUCAAUUCUGAGGACAUGGCUUCACGCCAUCUAGAGUCAGCUAGUGCCGCAGUAACACUUGAUGGUUCUAAUGAGGAUGGAAGAGGAUGUUUGGUAACAAGAAAGGAUUUUUUGGGUUUAUAUAUGUCAUUCAUUGACCGAGUGACCAUGCGAUGAACUCGGGACUCAGUGUUAACAGGAAUUGGAAUACUAAUUUCAGAGACACUAGGAGCAUGCAAUUUAAUUGAGGAAUCUUAAUUUAAAGGCAGGGGAGGAGGCGAAGUACUUACCUGGUGAGAAGACGGUGCAGAGGGUGAUCCAUGCUCAGACACUGGUAAGAUAUCAGUACCCACAUCCGGAGACUCGCUGAGACCAGUAAAGGAAAGUUUUGGCAACGAGAUCUGGACAGAUGAGUUGUGUCCAGUAGAUGAAGAAGGAAUGGAACGGAGAUGAUCAUCUUGAUGGAAAGGAAAAGACCCCUCAUGAAAAAUGACGUGGCGCGAGGUGAUCAUUUUUUUAGUAGAAAUAUCAAAACAUAAGUAUGCAUUUUGGGAUAGACUGUAACCCAUGAAUGAACACGAUUUUGAUUUUGGCUCAAGUUUAUGCUGAUUGUAUGGUCAAGUUAACGGGUAACAAAGACAUCCAAAUUGUUUGAGUUUGAGAUAAUUAGGUUGUUGAUUGAAUAAUUUUUCAAACAGAGAUUGAUUAUUCAAUGUAGCAGUAGGCAUUCGAUUAAUGAGGUAGUGAUUAGUACUUAAAAGUGCAUGUUUAUCAAUGGUUUAUAUCAUCAUUUUGCACUUAAAGUAUCAAUAACUCCUUAACUAAAGCAUGUUUUAUAAUAACAAGUCUAAUACUAUAAAAUACCCUAAUAUAUGGUAAAUGUUCAUCUUAAAUGCAGGCAUAUCACAUAAAUCAAAGGAUUGAUUGAUGAAUUCAACUACUGAAAUUUUGAAGAUAAAGAAGGGUGAAGCUUAGAAAGGAGAAGUCCGAAUUUGUCGUGCAGCCCAACACUGUUCAGUGUUCAGCCCAUAUCUCGAGUUCUAGAUAUCCAAAUGAUCUGAAAUUUUUACAGAGAUUUGAUAAGACAUAGGCCUACAACUUUCAUUUGGACAUCAAGAUCUAAGAAGGCCGUUUUCAAGUCCAAAUUAUAGCAACAACGGAGAAGUCCGAAUCUGUCCUGCAGCCCAAACACUAUUCAGUGUUCAGCCCAUAUCUUGAGUUCUAGAAGUCCAAAUGACCUCAUCUUUUUUUUUGCUGGAAAGCUAAGAGAAUUUCGCAGAACUUUCAUUUGGACAUCUGGACCCAGUUCUGAUGCUAGAAUUUUUGUUUUAUUAAGACAAGAAGAUAAGGAUUUUCACCAAGUCAAAAGGUGGCCACCCACUCAACAAUUAGUCAUCAAAUCAAUAAUUCCGAAUUUUGGCCUAUAAAAGGAGGCAUUUGCCAUGUAUUUAGGGGCUUGGUUGUUCAGAUCAAGUUCAUGCUCUUUAUUUCUCUCUUUAUAUUUUUUGUAAUUCUUAAGCUUUGCUUUUAUUAAUUUCUUGUUUAUGCUUUUCAUUUCCUUUCCUUUCCUUAGUUAACUUGUAUUUUAUUUAUGUUCUUGUUUUAUUUAUUUAUGUUUUUCUUCUUCAUUAUGUUUAGCUAAGUUUAUUAUGUCAAGGUGAAAAGGUUACACUAAUGGUGUAAGAACAAGUAUGGUGUAAACUCAAUAUGGACCUUAAUGUUUAAUAUUAACAUGUCUUAUCUUUUUAUCUUACUAAUUCUUAAUACCUUGCUUGUUAAAUGGUUAAUCUAAAUUUGUGUUGUAUAAUACUUGGUACAACAAAUGCUUGGCACUCUCAUAACCCAACCGUAUGGUAUUACCUACACCUGGGGCUAUGAAAGGUACUUGAUUUGUUGUUAACAUCAGUUAACAUCAUGAAUUCCUGACAAUAUUUAAAAGUUUGGUGUUAUGUACAUAAGAUAAUUAAUAUGAUCAUGUUAAUAAUUUAUAAUGAGCUAUUAAUGACAAAUCAUCCGACUGGAACCUCCUUCGUGUGUGGUUUCCAAAUUGAGUAAUAAGAGUUUAUACUAUACUUGUUUGAAAUACCAUUGGUGGAUCCUCUAACCUUGACAUUUGUCUUUAUUAUUGUUUAAUCCUUACAUUAAUCUUCCAUCUCAAAGUUCUCAUUAAUUUCUUCCUGCUUUUCUUAUUUUUGUUAUUAUUAUUGUUGUUAUUGUUAUUAUUGUUGUUAUUAUUAUUAUUAUUGUUGUUGUUAUUAUUGUCUCUUCCUCCUCCUCGUCUUUUUAUUGUUGUUAUUAUUUAUUAUUAUUAUUAUUAUUAUUAUUAUUAUUAUUAUUAUUAUUAUUACUAAUAUUAUUAUUAUUAUUAGUAUUAUUAUUAUUAGUAUUAUUAAUAUUAGUAUUAUUAUUAUUAUUUACAUUCUUGUUAUAUUUUAUGUACGUUAAGUAUGCUCUGUGUUUGAUCAAGGAUCCUGAUAUUGUUGAUCUUGCCUUGUUCAUUCGCAUCAGAAAUCUGUUUAUAUUAUAUAAUAUAUCUCUUUGAUCUUUUCAUAAACUCAGUAUAUAGGCUGGAAACCUGUGACCCGAUCUUUUAGAUCAUUCUCAGGUAUAACAACGCCACGUAUUGAGUAUUAUUAUUAGUAUUAUUAUUAUUAUUAUUAGUAUUAUUAUUAUUAUUACUAGUACUACUAUUAUUAUUAUUAUUAUUAUUAUUAUUAUUGUUGUUGUUGUUGUUGUUAUUUUUGUUAUUAUUAUUGUUGUUGUUGUCUUGUUAUUUAUAAUUUAUACAAUUAACCUCUCUGUGGUUCGACCCCGAUCUUGCCGGGUUAUUUAUUACUUCGACACUCCUACACUUGGGAGAAGACAUCAAUCUUUUGGUCGUGUCAGGUAGGCAGCAGUUUGAAAUGCAUAAGGCCAAUAAAAGAGCGGCAUGUGGGCAUCAGUGAGUAAAGUUAGACCAGUUUCAACAAGAUGGCGAUGUCGCCGUUCAGACAUACCAUUUUGUUGAGGAGUGUGGGGAGCAGUGGUGUAGUGACCAAUUCCAUGAACAGAGAGAUAAGUUUUUAGUCCAAUGUAUUCCCCAUCAUUAUCAGAAUAAAGACUUUUAAUUUUGGUGUUGAAUCGAUUUUCCACAAGAUUAUGAAAUUGUGGGAAAAUGGUCUGAACAUUUGAUUUAUGAGUCAUGGGAUAAAGCCAAAUAUAUUUGGUAUAAUGGUCAACAAAAAUAACAUAAUAUUUUGAGCCAUUAAUCCCAAUAUCGUGAGAUGGACCCCAAACAUCUGUAUAAAUCAAUUCAAGUGGAGAACUGCUAGUAAAUCCAUGAGUGCUGAAUAUUUGACGAUGGGCUUUAUUUUGAGAGCAUGAAGUGCAUAAUGAGGAAUGACCAUUUUUAUUAGUAGGUAGAGAAAAAGCAUGAAUAAGAUGAUUAACUAAUUUGGACGAUGGAUGACCAAACCGUUUAUGCCAUCCAUCAGGUGUGGUACGUUCAUGAACAUAGGCAACAAUAUUUUUCUUGGAAAGUGGUAGAUGCUCCGGAAAUGGGUACACUCCAUCUUCACAAGCGCCUUUGAGCAUAAUCGCCCCCGUGAUCCGAUCCUUCACCAAAAAAUAAGUAGGAUGAAAUUCAAUGUAAACAUUGUUAUGCUUGGUGAAAUGAUGAACAUAAAUAAGAUUUUUAUAAAUGGUGGGAACACAAAGAGUGUCACGUAAAUGAAAAGUAUGAUUGGACGAUUUAAGAGACAAGGACCCAACGUGAGACACAGGCAAACAUGUUCCAUCACCAAUUACCACCUCAUCAGUACCAUCAUAUUUAGAGUUAAUCAUUAGAUUAGACAGAUCCGUAGUCAUAUUGUGAGAUGCUGCGGAAUCAACGAGCCACUUGUGAUUUUUUUGUUGAGAAGAAGCGGCACAAUUUGCAGUGAAAUCAGAAUUUGACAUUUUUGGGCAUUGUUUGGCAGUAUGACCCAUUUGAUCACACCAUUGGCAUUUCGGUUUGAAUUUUCUGUGACCUGAAUGAAAUGAAUUAUUUCGGUGAGGCCCACUUUGGUCAUGAGGAGGACGAGAAUUAGCAGGGGGCGCCAUUUAGGUUGUCUGAAAUUAGAUGAAAAUUGAGAAGACUGAGGACUCCACCGAUUGGAGUAAUUAGCAGUGGGUACAAACGAGGGAGCAGAUUGAUGAUCAAGACGCCAAAGAUAGCUUUCAUGACUUACAAGAAGAUCAUGAAUUUCUUCAAACUUCAGAGAAGUCUCACAGGCACGAAUAGAAGAUGCAAUUUCUCUGAAUUCAAUACCCAAUCCAUUGAGUAUGUAUAAAGUUAAAUCAUCAUCUGAGAUCGGAUGAUCAAUAACUGCUAGUUCAUCAGCAAUUACUUUGAUGCCGUGUAGGAAUUCAGUAACGAUGCGAGACCCAUGAGUGCUCAAGGUUAAAUCUUCUUUGAGCUGCAUCACACGAGUUCUGGAUUUGCCCGCAUAUAAAUGGUCAAGUGUUGUCCAAGCUUCAUGGGAGGUUUUAUAGGCAGUAAGAAGGGGAGUAAUGGUGGUGGAGGUGGAGGCAAGGAUGGCGUGUAAGAUGAGUUUGUCUUGACGAAUCCAGUGGGAAUUCGCAGCUUUGGAUGCAGUGAAAUUCAAAGCAUCAAUAGCAGGGCAUUUGUGUAUACCUGUGACAAAAUCAAUAAGGUCAUAGCCAAUGAGUAAGGCUUCAAAUUGAGCCCUCCACUGCGGAAAGGUGGAGGGGAUGAGUUUUUCAUUGAUUGUUGUGGCUGCAUUGAUUGUGAUGAUGGGUGAGGUUGGUGAUUCGGUGGAUGAUGAAGGGUGGGUGGUCAUGUUGCAGGAAGCAGAUAAAGAGGGUAAGGAGGAUGAAUACUCGUUAGAGUGUUUUCAGCUCUGAUACCAUAAUAAGCCUUACACUGCACUGUUAUUGUAAUAUGAAUCACACAAUUUUCAUUCAAUCACUUGUAAUCUUUAUACAGUCCUGAGAGCUUGAUUGCAGGAAUUCAAAUGUUUGUAACUGACUAAUAUUGAUUUCAGGAAUUCAAAUGUUUGUAACUGACUAAUAUUUACAUACAUAAUUGUUAAAUAAUAUUUAUGUUGUCUUAUUUAUUAAGGGUAGAAUAGUACUUUCAGUUUAACCUAUAUAUACUUUAUUUGUAAUUAGGUUAAGACUAUGCAUUCAUAAUAUACAAUUUAUUUAGAAUUCUAGCCUCCUUUUUGUGUUUGAUCUCAAUUAGUUUAACAUGGUAUCAGAGCUGGUUUUAUGGAACGAAGCUUAAUCCCAAAUACAGCUUCGCGGAUCCAAUUUUUUUUUUUGGAGUGAUAUUUUGUCUUCCGCUUCUGCAAAAUUAGGUAUUUCGACAGUCUCUGCAAUUAUUUUGGUAUUUCGAUAGUUUCUGCAAUUAUUUUGGUAUUUCGUCUUCCCUUCAGCUUCUGGAAUUUGGUAUCUGCGUUCAGUUUUUGCAAAUUUGUUUUGUGUUUUGGGAGUAAUCAUAUAAUUUCGAGAAGAUAUUUGUUUAGUUUCUGCAAUUGAGUAUUUUGUCUUCCGCUGCUUUUGCAUUCUGGUUAUCUGUGAUUGUUGAUUAUGGCUACUGAAAGAGAUGAUUCGCUUCAGUCUGUGAGUGUGAGGUUGGAUGGGAAGAACUAUUCAUAUUGGAGUUAUGUAAUGAGAAAUUUCCUUAAGGGUAAGAAGAUAUGGGGGUAUGUUAGUGGAACUUAUGUGAUACCUAAGAAUAUUGAGGAGGGGGAUGCUGGUUUGAUAGAUACAUGGGAAGCAAAUAAUGCAAAGAUCAUUACUUGGAUCAACAAUUCUGUUGAGCAUUCAAUAGGUACGCAGUUGGCGAAAUAUGAGACAGCAAAAGAGGUUUGGGAUCAUCUGCAAAGGUUAUUCACACAAUCAAAUUUUGCAAAACAGUAUCAAUUAGAGAAUGACAUACGAGCUCUUCAUCAGAAGAAUAUGAGUAUUCAAGAGUUUUAUUCUGCUAUGACAGAUCUUUGGGAUCAAUUGGCUCUUACAGAAUCGACAGAAUUAAAGGCAUGUGGUGCCUAUAUUGAGCGUAGAGAGCAGCAAAGAUUGGUACAGUUUUUAACAGCACUUCGCAGUGAUUUCGAAGGACUUAGAGGUUCAAUUCUGCAUCGUUCUCCACUGCCUUCUGUUGACUCUGUUGUCAGUGAGUUAUUGGCUGAAGAAAUACGUUUUCAGUCUUAUUCUGAAAAAGGAAUUCUUUCUGCUUCAAAUCCUUCUGUACUAGCAGUACCUUCUAGGUCAUUCUCUAAUCAUCAGAAUAAGUCUCACACAAGGGUUGGCUUCGAUGAGUGCAGCUUCUGUAAGCAGAAAGGUCAUUGGAAGGCUCAGUGUCCUAAGUUGAGACAUCAGAAUCAAGCUUGGAAGCCUGGCAAUCAGUCACAAUCUAAUGCUCAUAGACCACCUCAGGGUUAUAAACCACAACACCACAAUACUGCAGCAGUAGCUUCCUCGAGUUCUAUUACCGAUCCUAAUAUUUUGGCUGAGCAAUUUCAGAAGUUUCUCUCCUUGCAGCCACAAGCAAUGUCCGCUUCUUCUUCCAUAGGUCAGUUGCCUCAUAGUUCCUCAGGUAUGUCACAUUCUGAAUGGGUCUUGGAUUCUGGUGCUUCUCAUCAUAUGUCUCCAGAUUCCUCAUCUUUUACCUUGUAUCCCCUUUGUCCUCCAUUCCUGUUAUGACUGCUGAUGGCACUCAAAUGCCCUUAGCAGGUGUUGGUUCUGUUGUCACACCUCACAUGUCUCUCCCUAAUGUUUAUCUUAUUCCACAACUCAAAUUGAAUCUUGCGUCUGUUGGUCAAAUAUGUGAUUCUGGUGAUUAUUUAGUCAUGUUUUCUGGUUCCUUUUGUUGUAUACAGGAUCUGCAGUCUCAGAAGCUGAUUGGGACAGGCCGUAGGGAGAAUGGACUAUAUAUUUUGGAUGAGUUAAAAGUGCCAGUUGCUGCUGCUGCCGCUGCUACUACUACAGUUGAUUUGUCUUCCUUUCGUUUGAGUAUUUCAUCUUCUAGUUUUUAUUUAUGGCAUUCCCGUCUAGGUCAUGUUUCGUCUUCUCGUUUGAGAUUUUUGGCAUCCACAGGAGCUUUAGGAAAUUUGAAAACUUGUGACAUUUCUGAUUGUAGUGGAUGUAAAUUGGCAAAAUUUUCCGCCUUACCUUUUAAUCGAAGUAUUUCUGUUUCUUCUUCACCAUUUGAUUUGAUUCAUUCUGAUGUAUGGGGACCUUCUCCUGUUGCCACAAAAGGAGGGUCUCGAUAUUAUGUCUCUUUUAUUGAUGAUCAUACUCGUUAUUGUUGGGUUUAUUUAAUGAAACAUCGUUCUGAAUUCUUUGAGAUAUAUGCAGCUUUUCGAGCUCUUAUCAAAACUCAAUAUUCUACUGUGAUCAAAUGCUUUAGGUGUGAUUUAGGUGGGGAAUACACUUCUAAUAAAUUUUGCCAAUUGCUUGCCCUAGAUGGAACCAUCCACCAAACUUCAUGUACAGAUACUCCUGAGCAAAAUGGUGUUGCUGAAAGAAAACAUAGGCACAUUGUCGAAACUGCUCGUUCUCUCUUGUUGUCUGCUUUUGUUCCUAGUGAGUUUUGGGGAGAAGCUGUUCUUACUGCUGUAAGCUUGAUUAAUACAAUUCCAUCUUCUCAUAGUUCGGGUCUAUCUCCUUUUGAAAAGUUAUAUGGGUAUGUCCCUGAUUAUUCCUCAUUUAGAGUCUUUGGUUGUACUUGUUUCGUUCUUCGUCCUCAUGUAGAACGAAGUAAGCUAUCCUCUCGAUCCGCUAUUUGUGUCUUUUUGGGCUAUGGUGAAGGUAAAAAGGGUUAUCGUUGUUUUGAUCCAAUAACUCAGAAACUUUAUGUGUCUCGUCAUGUUGUCUUCCUUGAGCAUAUACCUUUCUUUUCUAUUCCAUCCACUACUCAUAACCUGACUAAAUCUGAUCUUAUUAGUAUAGAUCCAUUUUCUGAGGAUUCUGGUAAUGAUAGCUCUCCCCAUGUUCGAUCAAUUUGUACUCAUAACUCUGCAGGUACUGGUACUUUACUCUCUGGCACACCUGAAGCUCCAUUCUCAUCUACAGCCCCUCAAGCUUCAUCUGAGAUUGUGGAUCCACCUCCACGUCAGUCCAUCCGUAUUCGUAAGUCCACAAAACUACCAGAUUUUGCUUAUUCUUGUUAUUCUUCAUCAUUUACUUCCUUUUUAGCCUCUAUUCAUUGUCUUGUUGAGCCCUCUUCCUAUAAAGAGGCAAUUCUUGAUCCGCUUUGGCAGCAAGCUAUGGAUGAGGAACUUUCUGCAUUGCAUAAGACAGAUACUUGGGAUCUGGUUCCUCUACCUCCUGGUAAGAGUGUUGUUGGUUGUCGUUGGGUGUAUAAGAUCAAGACUAAUUCUGAUGGGUCUAUUGAGCGAUAUAAAGCUAGGUUGGUUGCCAAAGGAUACUCUCAACAGUAUGGUAUGGACUAUGAGGAGACAUUUGCUCCGGUUGCAAAAAUGACUACUAUUCGUACUCUUAUUGCCGUAGCUUCGAUUCGUCAAUGGCAUAUUUCUCAACUUGAUGUUAAAAAUGCCUUCUUGAAUGGAGAUCUUCAAGAAGAAGUUUAUAUGGCACCCCCUCCUGGUAUUUCACAUGACUCUGGAUAUGUUUGUAAGCUUAAGAAAGCAUUAUAUGGUCUCAAACAAGCACCCCGUGCUUGGUUUGAGAAAUUCUCUAUUGUGAUCUCGUCACUUGGCUUUGUUUCUAGCAGUCAUGAUUCUGCUCUUUUUAUUAAGUGCACUGAUGCAGGUCGUAUCAUUCUGUCUUUAUAUGUUGAUGACAUGAUUAUUACUGGUGAUGACAUUGAUGGUAUUUCAGUUUUGAAGACAGAGUUGGCUAGACGAUUUGAGAUGAAGGAUUUGGGUUAUCUUCGAUAUUUCCUGGGUAUUGAGGUAGCAUACUCACCUAGAGGUUACCUUCUUUCUCAGUCGAAAUAUGUUGCAGAUAUUCUUGAGCGGGCUAGACUUACUGAUAACAAGACUGUGGAUACUCCUAUUGAGGUUAACGCAAGGUACUCUUCUUCUGAUGGUUUACCUUUGAUAGAUCCUACUUUAUACCGCACUAUUGUUGGGAGUUUGGUAUAUCUCACCAUUACUCGUCCAGAUAUUGCAUAUGUUGUUCAUGUUGUUAGUCAGUUUGUUGCUUCUCCUACUACUGUUCAUUGGGCAGCUGUUCUUCGUAUUUUGCGAUAUCUUCGGGGUACAGUUUUUCAAAGUCUUUUACUUUCAUCCACCUCUUCCUUGGAGUUGCGUGCAUACUCUGAUGCUGAUCAUGGUAGUGAUCCCACAGAUCGCAAGUCUGUUACCGGGUUUUGUAUCUUUUUAGGUGAUUCUCUUAUUUCUUGGAAGAGCAAGAAACAAUCUAUUGUUUCUCAAUCAUCCACCGAAGCAGAAUAUCGUGCCAUGGCAUCUACUACCAAAGAGAUUAUUUGGUUACGUUGGUUACUUGCUGAUAUGGGAGUUUCCUUUUCCCAUCCUACUCCUAUGUAUUGUGACAACCAGAGUUCUAUUCAGAUUGCUCACAACUCGGUUUUUCAUGAGCGGACUAAGCACAUUGAAAUCGAUUGUCAUCUUACUCGUCAUCAUCUCAAGCAUGGAACCAUUACUUUGCCUUUUGUUCCUUCUUCAUUGCACAUUGCAGAUUGCAGAUUUCUUUAUCAAGGCGCAUUCCAUAUCUCGUUUUCGUUUUCUAGUUGGCAAACUCUCGAUGCUUGUAGCUGCCGCAUCGUGAGUUUGAGGGGAGAUGUUAAAUAAUAUUUAUGUUGUCUUAUUUAUUAAGGGUAGAAUAGUACUUUCAGUUUAACCUAUAUAUACUUUAUUUGUAAUUAGGUUAAGACUAUGCAUUCAUAAUAUACAGUUUAUUCAGAAUUCUAGCCUCCUUUUUGUGUUUAAUCUCAAUUAGUUUAACAAUAAUUAAUAGCAAUAUCUUCAGGAAUAACCGACUGAUUCUGCAGUUAUGAAGAGCACAAAAUCUGGCAUUUCUUCUGGUGACAGCUACGCUUGUAUUGGCAAUAAUUUGAAUUCAUCAGUAUCCUUGAUAUCGGCAGUAUCUCUCAUCCAUUGCUCCCCUUCUUUCAUCAAGUCCCUGUGCUGCUCUAUAAAUAAAGCUCCUGGAGUUUUCCCAUUAAUAUUUUUUUCUUCAAUGUGCCGUGGUUGAACGACUUUUCUCACUUCCUAUAAAUCAUGAUCAUGUAGAGAUCAGACUGCGAGAUAUCCAUAUGUAGAAGAAGAAUAUUAUAGCAAUAUUUAAUCACACGUGCAUAUGAACAUCGAUCUUUUAUCCGCCUAUCUAUGAUGGACGAAUAAGGUUGGCUUAACGCAUAUGACCUACAAUCAAAUGUAUUUUUUUUAUGGAAAGAGAGAGAAUAGUCACCUCGAACCACAGCAAUUCGCGUUGCAGUUGUAAAGCUGCUCCCGGUAUAAUAUUAAGUCGACUUGGUGAUUCCAGUACUUUUGAGGCCAAAUGCAACAUAUUAUUUCCUUCUCUAUCUUUGUAUAUUAAUGUCAUCACAUUCUUAAUAGAACCAAUCUGGUAUAUCAUCUUGAAGAUGUCCUCGUGACGAUUCAAGAUAGCAAUAUGAAAUAUGCUAUGCGUAUUGUGCUCAACUUUGAAGAUCAACUCCGGAUACAAGCGAAUAAGUAUUGUUAGCAAGUCAAGGUUCCCUCUUUCUGCAGCAGUGAAUAUCAAUGGCCAGGGUUGUCCAAUCUGGCUAGAGAUUGUUGAAUCAUCCAACAAGACAACUUGUUCCCAAAGGUACUGGAUUAGGUCAAGUGCUUGUUUGUGCAUAAGUUUCUUCAUCUGUGCCAAUUUGAAACCUGAAACUGAGAAAUUGAAUUGUGGGAAACGGGGUUAAGUUCUAAAUCGAAGAUGUAAAAUAUAAAUGUAGUUCACCAACGGGGUUAAGUUAAAAAUGUGAUAAACUUUCUUUGUGCAUUGUUUAUUUGGAUACAAUUAAUUUUAUAUUGUGAUGAUAGAAUGAUCAACACUAAUUCCUUGUAAUACACAAGUUUGCAAGCUUGAAUAUUUGCAUGCAUCCAUGAAAAUGGUGUAUAAAGUGAUCAUGAAUAUGAUAAAGAUAUAAAGUUGAUCUUUGGCAUUCUCUUGCCGGCUGAGAUUUUUGGAUUGGUUUCUUUCUCAAAAAAUAGAGAUUUGGGGCAUCAGAGAACUAACAGGGGUCGAGGCAUUUGUUCCAAAAUCCUGGAGGACUUCGAUCGACAACGUUUGAAGCCAUACAAGACUUUUGGGCAAGUGCAUGCAAUGCCGUCAGCUGAUGUUCAUCACGAGCAUAGGCCAACCCGGGAUGUGCUUUUAGAAUUCUCAAAGCAAUUGUCAAAAAUCAUGGCAAUCUAAAAAUUUAAACUAUUAGGUGAGAUUUUAAAAUAUAAUUUAUAUUAUUCUUUAAUAUAUCUCCUCAAGUGAAAAUUUUUUGGACUUGAAACUUGUAUAGGGUCAUUUUACCAUAUGCUUAAUUUUUAUCAAAUAAAUAGGGAUGGUAAAAUUCAAACUCGUGAUCACUUGGUCAGCAAGGCCCUGAUAUCAUGUCAAAAAACCAGUUCAACCCAAUAACUUAAACUGUUAAGUGAAGUCCUAGAAUAUAAAUUAUAUUAUUCUCUAACAGUAACACAAUGAUCUAGCAAUAAAACAUUAAAAAAUAUGAAAACAAGUUAGAUCUUGAAAGGCUUGCGAAUAAGAUGUUUGAGUUGAAUGUUAAAUUUCUCUUCCAGAUAGUAGCAAUCACAAACUCGAACAGUUUGAUUUCAUUUGAAAGAUAAAUUCCAUAUCUAAAUGGUAUCAAUCUAUCAAACUUUACAAGUUCAUCCAUACAUUUAAAACGUAGAAAAGAUUUAAUUCUCACCAUAUAUGUCACUGUUGAUCAAAGCAACAAGUAACGUUAUGCGAUCGCUAUCUGUUAACUGCUCGUUCGUUUCAUCAUAAAGAUAUGAUACCAUCCCUCUAUGCCCCAAUAGAGUUGCCAUGUAAAUUGGUAACAGGUUUCCUCUGCCUCGAGUCAUCGCCAAACCGCGGUUUUUGUCCAUUAUGACUUUGGCAAGUGCCUCAACUCCAGAUAUAGCAGCAAAGCAAAAUGCUGUAUUGCCCGCCUCGUUUUUGUAAGUUAAAGCCUCUAUGUUCAUCUUUCCAACAAGCUGUUUCACAAAAUGAGUGUGCUCCGCUGCGGCUGCAAUAUGGAGAGCAGUCUCCCCUCGCUUAAUUAGUUGUUCUGGCGUUAACUUCUCCUGGAAAUGACUCAUAAAUGCCCUCAGCUGUUUCCCAAUCACCACUCAGAGCGGCUUGAUACAACUGCAAGUGUCUUCUUCUUUCCACUGUCGAGAAGAAAUAGUGGUGGACAAGUUAGAAUAGUUUUGAUUUUAGCCAAUUUCUCCUCUUCAAAACCUUACGUAUUUUCUGUAGAAUUUCUAAAAUCACUCACAAGUCAUUUUUGUUGCAGGGACAUAACAUGAACAUGAAUUACAUAGAAAGUUGACUAUAACUAAUGAGUAUAACAGUGUGUUUAAUCAUUGAAAAAGUUACAGGAUAUUUUUUUUCUCUCUACUGGCAGCCAUGGCAAAAAAGCAAACCCUCACAAUAUUAAGUUAACAAGAGCAAUAAUUAAACAUCCAACUUAAUUAUUUACCUCCAUCACCAGUAGGAAGUGGUUGUCCUGGCCGGACACUAUCUGUAGCUGCAUUAAUGUUAUUGCCACUUGUAAUCUCCGCUGCUGCCACCAUGCUUCCGGUUACAAGGCCGCCUUGACUUCCAGCCUAAUAAAAAUAACCCUAAAGCAUCUAUGUAAUGACCAGAAAAGAUGAAUCAGGUAGCAAAAUAUAGUUUAGUGAUCAAUUAUCUCAAUGACGUACCUCGACCUGGGAAAAUGUUUAACUACAGAGAGGAAGGUGCCAAGAAAUGACUCUGCAAGAGCAUGGAAAAGGAGACGUGAGAAACUUCUUUGUUUUGUGUAGUUGAUGAGCUCUCUUUUUUAAAUCAAACGGAAACUAUAAAUGUGCCCUUCAUCUAUCUGAUAGCUUUUGAUUUGGUCGUUUUUCUCUUAAUUCAGCCAAUUCUACCCUCAACCUGUCCAGAUUGUGCUCAUCUCCUUCUUCCCCAAAACACACACACGCAGACACACUGUGAAAUUUCACAAGAAAGUUGUCGUGUCUCGACUUUUCUCCCUUUAACCUUGUCGAUUUUAAUAGUUCUAAUUCAUCUGUAACACCAACUUUAUUAUCACACAACAAUUGUCUCGAAGUGCAUAUCUUUUAUCACGAGCAUCUAGUUAAAGAGAAAAAACUUCAAAAAAAAACUCACGAUUAUGGAGAAAAAUAAAGAAAUUAUUGUAUUCAUAUCUUUUAUCAUAAUAAUUCGUUCUUUUAUUCCACGAUAAAUGAUAUUUUAUACCAAUUGUCAUGUCAAACAAAACUAAGUUUCGCUUCCUACAUUAGUACAUUCAGAAAAACACUAACCUUCCUUUUUGAUCACUAAACUAACCACUAGAGGUUAUGAGAUAAUGAAGUUAGCACUGAGAUCACAUACACGAGUUUCAUAAGUAAUGUCAGGGAAGAUUAACGUGGAGGGAAGGGAUUGGACUACGUACUUUGGGUAGGUUGAGGGGAAUAUUGGUGGAGGAUAUAUCUGUAGUUUGCCCUAAUUAAUAAAACAAGAUAUUAUAUAAAUAAUUAAUAGACCCGAUCUUGACACGUUAAGGUGUUGGCAAUUUGAGAGAAGUCCUCGUCAGUUUAAGUAUUUCAUAAUUACAAAAUAAAUAAAAAAUUAUGAUAUUUUGACAAAAGGAAAGUUCUUUUCCUUUUAUGAAUAAAUUUGUUUGGAGAAUAUAAAAGAAAAAAAAGAGAGAGAAAAGUGACUCUAAUUUAAAUAAAUAGUGAAUAUUUCCCAAAAAACCUUGCCUUGUGUAUGAUGAACGAUAUUGUUUUUAUCAAGUUUCACUUCAAUGCUCUUAUUUGAAACUAGCUCUCACCUUCUAUUCUCUUAAUAAAAUGGUUAAUUUUUGAAAAAUACUUGAGGCAGUUGUUCAGAGAAAAACAAAAAUAAUCUAAAUUUAUAGUGUUAAUACGAUAACCACAAAAAAUUUACAUAGUUAUUAAUUUUAAAAUUAAUGAUAUUAAUAAAGAUAUACACAAAUUAGUCCGAACAACUAUGUUAAUAAUAAUUAUAAUAAUAAUAAUAAUAAUAAAUCAAUGCCUUCCAAUCCCAAACCCAUGAAUUCUAUAUAAUAUACCCGCGCUUAACCACUAAGUUAUUGUGAAUUUUCUAUGGUUUAACUUUAAUAUUGGAAGAAAUUAUUGUGAAUUUUCUAUCGUUUAGUUAUUUUUUUCUGGAAUCAUAUUUUACAUACAAAAUCAAACACAACUUUUAAAGUUACAUUUUAUGUCAUCACAAAAAAAAAAUCAAUUAAAAAAUUUAAAUUAUCUAUGAAUUAUCACUAUAUUUUAAUUAUAGUUCAGGUGAGGAAUUGGAAGGAUUAGCUUUCUGCUCUCCCAAUUCUAAAAGCGUGGAUGAAUUGUUGGGUCUGUCCUGGUUGGAUCCUUGUUGGUGGUAAUUUUUGUCAUUCAUAGCUUUGUGGGCACAGAAGGUGAAACAGAGGAAGAAAACGCAGCAGAUGGAGAGGGCAGUAGAGGUGGGGGAAUAAUCCUUCCUUACAGAUGAAAUCAAUUGAGGAAACGAAAGCAAAUUUAAUUUAAUCCAACCACCAUUAAAUCCGAACACAAAGAAAUUACAGAGAAUUUAUUAAAUUUAAUAGGAUGGGUGGUGGUUGCAUAGUUUUCACGGAGUCACUUGCCGACACUUCAUUCUGGGAUGAUGACCCAACAAGAAAGGGCCAGACGCUUGCAAUGGGUCAGAGGCUUGACAUACGAGGCUCCCACAGCUAUAACCUAAGAGGGGCCUAAAGCAUGGGAAAGUUGGUAAUGGAGAUUGGCAAUGUGCUCCGUGUUGUGUCCUAGCAACUGUGUGCAGAAACACAGUAUAAAGAACGUGCCGAACAAAGCUGCCACAGCUGUCUUUUUAGACCCGAGCAAGAACUUCAAACUCAAACUCCAUUGUUUCUCAAGACAAGAGAGGGACAAUUAUCUCUUUCUGAAGCCAAAAAAAUGCUCUCUUUCUCUUCUCUCCACCUCCCACCUCCAAAACCUUCUCUUCUCUCUCUCCCCCCUGUCCCUCUCUGUUUACCACCGUCAAAAUCUCUCAUUUUCACUCCCAGGAUCAAACCCAUGACCACCACAACCCUCUCUCCCCGCCUCCAAUCCUCCUGUUCCCCCUCCUCCACCAAAGCGAACCCAAAAAACCAAACCCAAAAUCCCUCUUCGUACGAUUUAAAAAUAGCUAUAAUUGGCUUUGGCAACUAUGGCCAAUUCCUCGCCAAGACCCUCAUUUCUCAGGGCCACACAGUCCUUGCUCACUCAAGAUCAGACCAUUCUCUUGCAGCCAAAUCCCUUGGUGUCUCUUUCUUUUUGGACCCUCAUGAUCUCUGUGAGCGACACCCAGAUGUCAUUUUACUUUGCACUUCAAUUAUUUCAACGGAAGAAGUGCUAAAGUAUUUGCCUUUACAAAGACUAAAGAGAAACACAUUGUUUGUUGAUGUGUUAUCUGUGAAAGAAUUUGCUAAGAAUGUAUUGCUUGAUGUAUUGCCUCAUGAUUUUGAUAUCAUUUGUAGCCACCCCAUGUUUGGUCCCCAGAGUGCAAAACAUGGGUGGGAUGGUCUUUAUUUUGUUUACGAGAAUGUGAGGAUCGGUAAUGAGGAAAAUAGAGUUGAUAGGUGUAAAAAGUUUCUGGAAAUAUUUGAAAGAGAAGGGUGUAAAAUGGUGGAAAUGAGUUGUCAAGAACAUGAUAAGUAUGCCGCGGAAUCACAGUUUUUAACGCAUACUGUGGGGAGAGUGUUGGAGAUGUUGAAAUUGGAGUCCACGCCGAUUAAUACUAAAGGGUAUGAGAGUUUGUUGGAUUUGGUGGAGAAUACUUCAGGGGAUAGUUUUGAUUUGUAUUACGGGUUGUUUAUGUAUAAUAGGAAUGUGCUUGAGAUGUUGGAGAGGUUAGACUUGGCCUUUGACGAUUUGAGGAAGCAGCUCUUUGGAAGGUUACAUGAGGUUGUGAGGAAGCAGCUGUUUGGGAAUGCGGAGAGCCGUAAAGUCGUGCAAGAGAAUUACAGUAAAGGGCACCUCAAUGGUGCUGCUGCAUUAUCAUCCAGUUCAAAAUCUGUGAGGUAAGUGUUUAGGCAAAUUCUUGGGUUUUUAGUUUUAGUAAGUGAUGUGGGUGUUCUUGUGCAUUUCCCAUCCUGUUGUUUUAUCAUGGAAUUGAUAUGCUUUCUUAGUAAUUAGGUAUAGGAUCUCCUAUAGUUUUGUGCCUAUCAUAGAUGCUACCUAUUAACAAUUUAGGUGAUCUGUGCUAUACUUGUUUAAAGAUAUGAAUUAAAUUUUGCUGUUUGACUAUUGUGAAGAUCACCUUGUAAAGGCUUGUAUAUUCUGGAGUGAAGAGAUCCCACAAAAAAUGUUUGAUACAUUAUGAAAAACUUGAGGAAUGAUUUCUUUUACUUUAUUCACUUAAUUAAAGGUUGAAUCCAUCAGUUCAAGUAGCUCUCAUGUUAUACCAGAGAUGCAAAAGUUAUGCCAAAAUAACAAGAAAAUUAAUGGUAUUGGAGAAUGUGUUAAAUUGCUAAUAGAGAAAAAGCAGGUGUCACUUAUUUGUCUGGAAAACUUGUGUCCGUUGAGUGCACAUAUGCCAAAUGAUAGGGUAGUUUUCACAAUUUACCAGGGGGGAAAAAAGAAAAAAAAAAGGGAGCAAGAAGUCCUCAGUUGGUGGUUGGUGUUAGGGUAGGGAUGGGAAAUUGCACUCUCUGGGAUAGUUUUGACUGCUGAAAUCAAAUGAAUGAUCAUUAACAUAAUUUUAUCUGAACCUUUCAGAUUUCAGGGCUCUGCCCAGACAUACAAGUACGAGGCAGAGAACUCAAGGUGCUCUGAUGACAGCUCCAAGCUCAAGAUUGCUAUUGUUGGAUUUGGAAACUUUGGUCAGUUCCUUGCAAAAACCUUUGUUCAACAAGGUCACUCAGUUUUAGCCUAUUCUCGAGCAAACUACUCUGAUGCGGCUCAAAAGCUUGGGGUCUCUUAUUUCUCUAAUGCAGAUGACCUCUGUGAAGAGCAUCCAGAAGUGAUUGUUCUUUGUACUUCUAUUCUCUCGACAGAAAAGGUUCUCAAGUCAUUACCAUUUCAGAGACUGAAGAGAAGUACUCUUUUUGUUGAUGUGCUUUCGGUGAAAGAGUUUCCAAGGAAUCUGUUUCUUCAACAUUUACCAUCGCAUUUUGAUAUUCUCUGUACUCAUCCUAUGUUUGGACCUGAAAGUGGUAAAAAUGGGUGGAACCAGCUGGCGUUUGUUUUUGAGAAGGUCAGGAUUGGAAGUGAAGGUUCAAGAGUAUCAAGAUGCGAUAAGUUUCUUGAUAUUUUUGCUCGAGAAGGAUGCAGAAUGGUGGAGAUGUCUUGUGCAGAGCAUGAUUGGUAUGCUGCGGGAUCACAGUUCAUUACACACACCAUGGGACGGGUUUUGGAAAGGUUAGGAAUGGAGUCAACUCCAGUUAACACUAAAGGCUAUGAAACUUUGUUGAAUUUGGUGGAAAAUACAGCUGGGGAUAGCUUUGAUCUGUACUAUGGUUUGUUCAUGUACAAUGUAAAUGCAAUGGAGCAGUUAGAGAGGUUGGAUUUGGCUUUUGAAUCAUUGAAGGAUCAGCUGUUUGGACGGUUGCACGGAGUUCUCAGGAAGCAAUUGUUUGGGAGUUCAGACAACUCUCAAGAUUUGAGUGAGGAACCUUCGGAUGCAAAAUUCUCUCAAAAUAGUGCUGCACUGGUGUCUUCUUCUUUGGAGACUCGUAAUGGUGAAAAUAAUUAACAUCUAUGUACCUUUGCAUUAUUGGUAAGUGGCAAAGGCAUUUCAUUGCUUAUCAUUUCCAAGUUUAAUUCUUCUUUCGCACCAUCUAAAAUUGAUGCUGCAUCUAUAUUACUGCCCUCAAGAAAUAUCAAACUUGAAAUCCUAGAAGUAGAGCUAUUAAAAGGGAAAAGUCCUUCAUAGUUGUUCUAGUUUUUCUAUGUCUAAAACCUUGAACAUCAAUAUUAUUUUUUGUAAAAUCUUUGAUGGGUCUUUCUCAUUAUAUCAGGUCUUUGUCACCAUGUUAUGUUGAUUUUUAAACAAAUUUGUCAAUCAUUGUUCAGGGAAACGAUGUUUCCACUCCCCCGGCUUAAUUCCACUCCCCUAGCAGUGCUAUUAUAAGCUUUGUGGGAGUGAUGAAAUACACUGUUGAGUGGUGAUAUCAGCACCGCACCCUGUUGUACAAUGUAUCAUUGAGUACCUUUUAUUCUCAACAAUCUCUCAGAUUUCUCUUGUGAAAGUUGGUUGUUAAAUGUUGAUUAAUAAAAUAUAGGUCCUCCAUCAGUGGCUCUCUCUUGUUUUUGAGUGUCAUGUUGAAUCAUUUCACUGUCAUACUGUCACAUCACUGUUCAAUCAUAUCGUUCAAUUUCUCUUCUUGUUUCUUCUCUAGAUGUUUGCAAGCGUAAUUUUUAAUAAUGUGUUAUCUCUGUCAUAGGAGUUUUGUGCUGCUGGGUAAGUUGGUAAUUCCAGCUAAACAGAAUCAGCAGUAGAGAAAGUCAUCCUCGAAACAUUGUAUUUAAGCCACUAGCUGAAAAUAUUUUUGCAACUUGCUGGAGGCAAUGAGUGAUGGUGAGAUGAGGCGUAUAUGAAGAUGCUUCCAAGACGUGUGAUGUAGAUGGGGAAUAAAAUUGAUCCAGUGUGACAGUAUCUCAAGGACAAGCAGAAAAUCAAGUAUGUGAGAAGAUCCUGGGCUCGGUCCAGUUUAGUAUCAAACUGAUUCUCUUUCUCUGGUGUUAAGAAAAGGGUUUUUGCACAAGCCAUUGCUUAAUAUGAAGUUCGUUAAGUUCAUUCUCCUGCAAUUUUUAGGUUUUUUCUCCUUCUCUGGUUUCACAGCCUGUUAUUUGUUAUAUCUUUUUCCUUUUGUAGGUAGGUGAGUUUGUUGUAUCAUUUGUUUCGAGUAAUUGUUAGGGAGCUCCAUUUUUGUUCAUCAGAGGAGCUCCUCUGACAGAUUUUGUUUCCAGUUCCUUUUGAUGUUUACAUGAAUAAAAAGAGCCAGAAAAAUUCUUUGGCUAUUUGUCACUUUACCAGCUUUGUGCUCCUCAUUUCAACAAUUUUCAAGCAUGUACUAGCCUUGAGUCUGAAAUCUGAAUGGCGAGAGAUGUGUCCAAUGGAAUAUUGAGGAGCUGAGGUUUGCAUAGGUUUGAGCAAUACAGCAGGUCUUGACUCAGGUUGGCACGCUGCGUCUUUAAUCUAUACCUGGGUGGAAUCAUUAGUUCGAUUUUCUUGUCUGUCUCGUAUUUGUUUACGUUUUUUUGGCUUGCCAUGAUCUAGGCAACAUAUUUUAUGCUUGCAGCAGGAUUCCCUGCACUUUGUGUCGUUUUGCGCGUGGAAAAUGCCUCAUUAAGUGAAUUGCUAGUUUUUUAAUUCGGACAAUCUUGAUUUUAGUACCUUCUUAAUGGAUUGGAAUGUUAGCGCUCAUUAACAAGCUGGCAUGUGUUGACCAGUUUUAAAGCGGUGAAAUGUUCGAUGAUUGGUCAACUUUCUCCAAGCAUCUCUUUGAGAUCGUUUAUUUUGACGUCCUUUGCGCUUUCUUCUUCUUCUUCUUCUUGAUAAAUGAGAAUUAUCUUUCAUGAAAAAAAAAAACUCCCGGUUUUUGCUUACAUCAGAAUACUUGGGGGAUUGUUCAUAGCCUCUUGCAGAGUAUUGGACUUUUGCAAAGUAGUUUUUGCAAUUACAUAUAUUUUCUUUUUUUAGUCUUCCCCAUGAAAAAUCUUUUUAUAAUCAACUUGAAGCCUAACUAAUUCUGGGAGUUUUUAGGUUUUGGGUUUCUUUGGUUAAAAGAUUUGUGAACAAAGAAAAUUUUUGCACAUUUCUGAACUCUCGCAAAUUGCUUUUCAUAUUUUACUAUAAAAUCACUCAUUAUGUAUUUUUUAUUUUAAGUGAUUUCAUCCUUUUAUUUUUAAAUUAAAGACCAAUUACUUCAAAUUUAUUGAAGAAUGACAAGAUUGAAAUAAAAAGAUCAACAUGAAAAUGAUGGAUAAAAUAAGUGGCAAGUUCGUAAUUUGGUUAAAAAAUUCACUUUAGUUUUUUAACUUUUCAAAUUAUAAACUUCUAGCACCUCAAUUUUUAAAAAAAUUAAUUUUAUUAUGAAACUUUAUUUUCCUUAUUUUUCAGUUCCUAGUUUAAGACAUGAGAAAGAAAGUGGCUGAAUUUUAAUAAUAAAAAAAAUCUUAGUUAACACUGAUUCCGAUCAUAAAAAGGAUCAAUUUCAGUGUUAAUAAAUUUUAUUUGAUGAAAGAAUUUUACCUUGAGUGUUAUUUGCCCUUUACCUGCAUGAGAUUGUUCAUCUUAGCUCAGAAAAUGUUUUGAUUUUGGGUUAAUUUUAGUUUUUUGGAUUGUUUGACUGCAUUGAUGUGUUUGUCAAGAUGUAUUAGUUAAAACAAAGUUAAAAAUUUAGUUUUUUAGCAUAAAAAAUUCAUGGUGUGAAUUUCCGGUGAUCCUUUAAUCACCUAGAAUUGGGUUACCAGGCAAGCCGCCACCUAUUUAUUUUUUUUUCAAAAAAUUAAAAGGCGACAUCCCUUAAUCAAAAAAGAAGAGAAAGUCAGCUUGGGCCUACACGUCUGGACUGAAAGGCUCAUAUACGCUGCUACCUAGGCCAAGAUUUGCACACCUAGGUUUUUUUUUGCAUUUGUUUACCGAGGCUAAGAUUGUCUCGUAUAAAUACUGUAAGAAUAAAUCAUCAAGAUAAAUUUCAAAAACAAACAUAUUUUUAAAGGAUUAAAUUAAAAAAUAAAAAACAAAAAAAAAUAAAUUAAAAGCCGGAAAAAAUAGAAAAUACUAUUGCAAUGAAAAGUAUUUUAUGACUCAGGAAUGCAGAACACAGCCAGAGUGUUCCUCUCCUUUUCUGUGUUUGUCACCACCCUGUGUACUGGGCUCUUGAAUAUUCCAUUGCUCAUUAUCUGUGUGUAUCAUUGCAUACCAGUUACGUAAGUCUGUCAAUUGUGAACUUAUAUUAUAGGUUCAAUUGCUUGAAAUAUUUCAAGCACAAGCUAAACCUAUUCCGUAAUGGAGAUUAGUUGCCUAUAUCUUGUGAAGUGAAAUAUGAAUAAUUAAAGCUGAAUUUGGGGAGAGAGUUUACAGUGUAAUGCCAUUCGCUCCUGCGAACAAGAAAAAUAAGCACUUGAAAAUAAUAGAAUUUACCNNNNNNNNNNNNNNNNNNNNNNNNNNNNNNNNNNNNNNNNNNNNNNNNNNNNNNNNNNNNNNNNNNNNNNNNNNNNNNNNNNNNNNNNNNNNNNNNNNNNUCUACUUGAUCUCCGACAUUGAUUAGAAGAGCAUGUGGAAUGAUGGGAACUCUAAACCGCUGGUUGUCUUUCAGGAAUUGCAGACCUUCCACUUCUUUGUCCUGCAAGAGGAAGGUAAUUGCCGAUGCAUCUGCAUGUGGCUUAACGCCAAGAAUUCGAUCAGGCCUUGGACAUGGAGGAUAGAAGUUAAACCUUGCAGCCACAAGUGGUCGUUCUCCAUACUGGUCUAAAAAGCUGCUUUCCUCCAAAUUCAAUGACAUUGCCAUGGCUCUAAGGAGAAUUUCAUUUAUCUCUUGUAACUUCAUGGUGUAUUCAUUUAGGGUUUCCCUGCAGCAAUGGUUAGGAACAAAGUUAGCUUGUACUUCUCUCAAAGUCUUAACCAUGCAUUGGAUGGAAAUUGCCUCACUAUCAACUGUAAGUUUUACUAACUUCAUUGUGCUAUAACUCAGUAGAUAUGUCAUUUUUUCUCCUAACACUGAAAAUCCAGUGAAUAAUUUGGUAGUAGUGUGAUUCAAUUACCUAAAAUCUUUCGGAUUUUCGGGCCAAAUUUUGAUCUUUCUCUGGUCUUCUGGGCUAAUAGUAAGAUACAAUCGAUCAGACCAGUCGAUCGUUUGGUGGUCUGAAAGAAUCAUGUCAUUUCCAUACCCUUCAAUGCUGUCAGCUUCUCUGGAGUAUUUCUGCUUAUCUUCCAUCGACAAUGCAAAGAAUCGCUUGCUUACAUCACGAAUUUUGUCUAAAAAGGAACUUGUCAUCCCAUGAUUUACUACCUGAAACAUUGAAAUUAAUCAAUUCUGAUUAUGAAGCAACUGUAAGAGUAAGCCAGUUCUACAUGCUCGAUUUUAUUUACACAAUGAAGCAUGUAAUUUAGAUGGAAGAGAAUAUAUAAAAUCCGGGUUGUCUUCAUAACUAUCCAGUUGUUUUGUUAAAUCUUGUUAUCAGAUAAAAACCUGAAAUGCAGAUAGACCUAAACUUGCUUGGCUAAAAUACUCAAUCCAGAUAACGUAAAUUAGAGAAUAAUAUCACUUCAUCAAUCCAGUUGACCAGUAUCGAUUAUAUCCUACAAAUCUUGUGCUAUCUUAUGUGACUCCUUAUUCACAAUCCAACUAUCCUUCUGAUGCUGAAAUCAUAUUGAAAUAGACAUUGUAUCAAGAGCGAGUUCAGAAAAGAAAGGACCUGAAAGCAGCCCCGUGAGCUGACAGCUAAGUGAAAUUUCUCGAGUUCUUGUGCACUGGUUGAUGGAGAUGUAAGGAGACCAAGAUCAACAACUGGAAUAUCGAUUAACGGAACAGAAGCAUCAAGGACUCCAACAGGUAUCACAGCAGAGUAAUUUCCUGAUAAAAAGAAGAUGAAGAACCAGAUCAUGUGUGCUCCUCUUUCCUUUUAGUAUUGUGAUUUUUAAGGGAGUUAGGGUCUCAUCUCACCAUUGGUUGAAAUUUGUGUGUAUCCACUAUCCAGGAUAGUUUUACCAAGCUUCUCUUUGUGGGCAGGUAAUUUCAGAGCCAUCUCUUUGUGGAUAAAUAAAUAUAAUUUACAACAAUGUCUCUAAAUACCCUUUAAAAUUACAAGAAAAACAAUUUAAAAUGAGAAGAAAAAGAAUUGGUUUUAUAUUUAAAGGCAUUAAAAUAAUUACAUUAUUUAAAAAAAAUUAAAAAUAUAAAAAUAUCAUUAAGUAGUGUGGGCAUUAUGUUAUUUAAUUCCAAGAUUAAACGAGUAGUUUUAUUGUAUACUAAAAAAACUAAAAUUACCAACUUAACAUUAUAUAAUUUGUGAAAAACAAUUCAAGUUCAAAAUUUUAAUAUUCAAGUAACAAUAUAAUAAUUACAUUAUUACAAUAUGAAUAUACUUUGUCCUAGGCAUAGUUUUAAAACCCGGACCGGUCCGGCGGGUCGACCCGUGCAUGGGACCGGUCUGGGUAAAGGCCAAAACCCGCUUGGGAAUUGACCCGGUCAACCCGGCGGGUCGACCCGGCAAGACCCGGUCAACACCCAACCCCAAACCCCAAACCCGUUGACUUUUAUUUAUUUUUGUAAAACGACGUCGUUUUGAUUUUUUUAAAAAAAAAUUAAAAAAUAAAUUUUGACCCGGUCAAAACCCGGAACCCGGGUCUUGGACCGGGCCGACCACCGGGCCGGGUCUUAAAACUAUGGUUAUAGGGCAUAAUAACUUUCCUUUCCCUUUAUUUUUUUUUUUUAAUUGACAAAAUUUUGUAAAUAUAAGGUAAGUAGCAACCGAACCGAAGCCCACAAAACUUGGUGUAGGUCCCUCUAACUAACAACAGCCACAAGCCAUCUUCCUCCGUGGCCCCCUCAGGUCCUUGCAAAUGAUAUGCCAAAGGGCAAAGGUAUUUCCCAUGGCUUCCAUUCACUUAGGUAUCACAUAAACUCGACACAUUACAUGCUGCUGCUAACAUUUUAUAUCUCUUUAUAUCCACUUCACUUCCAGAAAUUAUAGUUCCUUUUCGUCCAUCGAGAAAAAAAAUGGCAAAUUUGAGCUUCAAAGCAGAGAACUUUUCCUUUCUCUCACACCACACAAACACACAAACCUCACUCUUGAACACGACCAACUCAUUCAAGGCCAAUUCUUUACGUUUAUUCCACUCUAAAAACAGCUUGACUUUCAGGGUUUGGUGUGGUAUUAAAGAGAAAGAGAAUGUAACAGAAAGUGAGAGGGUCCCUGAUGUACUCACUGGACUAAAAAGAGUUGAUGAGUUGGGCCCCAAGAGGGUUUCAAGUUUGGAUUUUGAGCAAAAAUUGGGGAAUGAUAGUGGGUCUAGCGAAGUGGGUUUUGAUUGGAAUUGGCCUCCAUGGAAGAAUAUUCCUCAGAGAUAUAAGCUUAUUGGCACCACGUCACUUGCCUUCGUUAUUUGCAAUAUGGACAAGGUAAGUGUAUUUGGUCUAAUUUGUUGUGUUCAUAGGCCUUGGUAAUUUUUCUUGUCGGAUUGAAACAAAAAAGGAGUGAUUUUUAAGGUGCUGCUAAUAUUAGCUACUUGGUCAUGUGUUUGUGGCUAAAGUUGUUAAUUUUGAUCAAUUUGCUAAAUUGGGUAGGUGAACUUGAGUGUUGCUAUAAUUCCUAUGUCACACCAAUUUGGGUGGAAUUCAUCAACGGCCGGGCUAGUGCAGUCAUCCUUCUUUUGGGGUUAUGCUUUGAGUCAAUUACCAGGAGGUUGGCUUGCCAAGAUUUUUGGUGGGAGGUUAGUUCCUCAUUGCUCGCUGUAUUUACAUGGUCUUUCAUGUUAGAAGACUGUGUCAUUUCCAUUAAUAAACUACUAUUUUCUAAACUCCAGCAGUGAGAAACCUCUUGUUUAAGCUCCGGUAAUGGAUAUAAUCCUUUGAUGCAUGAGGAGGGCUAUAUUAGUAUCUUCCUGUGCAGAAUUUGACCUUGAGCUAUUUUUCUUCCUCCUAUAUACUUACUUAAACUGGUAUAAGUUCUGCUAACUCUUGAUUAAGAUCUAGUUGAAUGAUCUUCUAUGUUUGGUUACUGGCCGAAGAAUGUUUUCGAUCACAGUAAGUUUAUCCGAUGAUUGAACAUAGCAGGAAAGAAGAAGAGAUUUAUAUGGUUAAUUUAACUUGUUGUCAUUGAUGUGUUGGGUUGAAUUGAGGUGUUAGGUGUUGGAGUUGAGUGCUAUAUUUACUUUUACGAGCUCAAAUUCCCUUAAGAAAGGUGGAGCUACUUCUGAUUUAACAAAAAUCAAUAUUAGGUCAUUGCAAUCUAUCAAUUUAUCUGCUUUAUUCAAGUAGCCCCUCCACUAAGAUUGAGAAAAUUAUUUUUUUUGUUUGAUCGUGAUCCUAACUUUCUGCUCAUUGAUGCUGAUACAUCCCAUUUUCAUUGAUGUGCAUUGUUAUACUUCAUUUCCAUUUGACUUUCUAAACUCUAAAUGUGACACCUCAACUAUAGCAGUUUUGGGCAAUAAGAACAGCAAACAGUUCCAUUAUAACCUUAGAUUUCAUACUUAAUCCAUCCCCUCUAGAGCUUAAAUGUACAAGUUGUAAACAGUUUAUGUUCUUGCACAAGUUAUUGUGUCAGCUCAAUGUAAUUGAAUGAUUGCUCUAUGAUUAUCCUAUCUAUUAAAGCAGUAAAAAAGGUAUAUGUUUAUGGAAAUAUGGCUGACUCCACUUGGGCAGUUCAUGGUUUUAAUGGAUGUACAGGGUCUCUUUAAAGAUUGAGGAUAAUGCCGUAAUAGACACCCAACUCUUUCUAGCAUUCUAAUUCAGAAAGAGAGGACUCCAGAAACCAAUUGUUUUAUGGAGUAAAAUUAAUUUUCUAGAGAUCCAAUGCACUGCAAGCGUUUCACCUGUCUUCUGGGCUUGGUGCAAAUUGUAUGAUACAGGCCUAAUGCCUUCCUUUUUAUUUGUAUUUAUUUUUCAGAAAAGUUCUUAAGUUUGGAGUUUUGACAUGGUCAGUGGCCACAGCACUUCUUCCUUUUCUUGCUGGAUAUAUGCCCGGACUUAUGUUGUCAAGGGUUUUGGUAUGUGCAGCUUCUCCCAUACUCCAUGUGUUGAACUAGUAUUUCAGUCCAACUUGUGUACAUCUUUUCAUGAAGCUGCAAUUGUUUAGUACUUAUGCAUGUGUCAUAAGCAUUUGAUAAUACUUUAGAGAUUCCCCCUCUCUUAAUUAGUCCGUCUGUCUCUGUCUUUCAUAAUACUCUUGUGCAUUUUGCUUUGAUGUUCCUUUACUCAAUGUUAAAUUGCUUAAAUUUGUUUCUUGUCUUAUUGAGCUUUUCUCUUACAUGUUCCAUAUCUAGGUUGGAAUAGGAGAAGGAGUUUCGCCAUCAGCAGCAACAGACCUCAUUGCCAGGCAUGUAUGACUUCCAAAGCUCUAUAGGAGCAUGUUUUAGUGAACCUUUUAGAUAAUAUUUGCUGAAACACAAUCAACCACGGCUAUGUUUUUGUGUCAGGUUUUUGGUUGGUUUUUUUGAUGUGUUUCAUUAGAGUAGGAUUCCUUUGCACUUUUCUUGAUUUUUCUUAUGCUCAUGCUCAUGUCCAGAUUGCGUUCUUUUACAUUAUUGAGUAAAAUUGGUAGUCUCGUGAAAAACUUCAUAGAGAUUUCAAUGUGGAAUAUUUGGAAGUUAAUUUUGUUAUGUGGAACAUUAUGACUCUUCUGUGGCUUAUAGAGUUCCCUGCCCACCUCUAACAAUUUAUAUAUGUACAAUAAUAAUCUCUUAAUUGUAUAUAUUAAUUCAUGUUUACACUUAGACACUGAUGUCUCCCAUCUCUGCUUUUUGAGGUUCUUCUUGGCUUUCUUCUGUUUCAUAUUAACUUGUUAUCUGUAUGAAACUUGUCUUGCCUAUUUUGUGGUAGGCUGUGUCCUGUUCUCUUAUUCUCUGCUACUGAACUUGUGCUCCUUGGCUUGUUAUAACCUGUUAUAUUUUGCAUCCUCAUUGACUGAUAGUGCCCCAUAGAUUGCUUUCUUAUGUUGCUUGUAUUGUAGAAAGCCAAUCUCUGUUGAGGAGAUAAUGUAGAGUUAUUUUCUCCUUUUGAUUGGUAUUGACCAACAUUGCAUGCAGGUCAAUACCUUUGGAAGAGCGAUCACGAGCUGUAGCAUUCGUCUUUGGGGGACUGAGUGUUGGAAGUGUUAUAGGGUAUGUUUUUCUAAAUUUGGUCUAUGAUAGCAACAAUUCUUUUCUACUGAUCAGGAAACUGCUUACCACUUUAUUUACAGAAUGUUAACUGUAAAAAUUGACCAUAGAGUAUAUUCAACCCAUUGGCAUAUGUGAUUGUCAAUUAUUAGAGAAACUAACACAGCUUUUCAUCUUCCUGGUGUUAAAUUGCAACUGAUAGAAUUAAGUGUGUUAGGUCUGUGAAACACAUUUAAUAGACAAAUUCAAGUUAUGCUUAAUGUUUUUCUUUUUUCUGAGUCUAUUUUUUUAGUUAAAGUGAGCACCUGGCUUCAAUUGCUAGUAAUUUCUAACAGUUUUAAAGUUCAUGCAGGCUUCUUUUAGCUCCUCCCCUUAUUCAGAAUUUUGGUUGGGCAUCUGUGUUUUAUAUAUUUGGCUUUCUUGGGUUAGCCUGGUAAGUAUCUGUCACUAAUGUUUUGGAUUCCAAUGCUUACCUGCCUUGAACAGAAGGAAUUUCACACUUUGGUGAUGCAUAAAAAGGCUUUUCGCUCAAUGUUAAAUAAAAAGAUAAUAUUUCAUGGCUUUUUGGUUCACUGUGAUUCGGAAUUGACUGUUUAAUACUUGCAUUUGUUUAUUUGAUUAUAUUCAGUUUUUUAAGUUGCUAAUGCUAACAACUGAAUGAAAGUUGACUUCAUGCUUGUGGCAACACCAAAAAUUAUGAAGGUUUUUGGGUUUCAAUAUCUUGAAGAGGGGCAAGCUUCACACGCUACCAAGCCUGCUUCACGUAAGCAUUAACUUCUAUUGUUUUUUUUUUUUUCUAUUCUUGAUUUGAUGAAUAAAGCUUCCUAGUUUAUUGAGAAGUAGGUAAUGAUUGGUUGGCUACUUUUAUAUAAUUGCCAAAAUCAUAUGGUGUCUUCUUUUGCAUCUCUUUUCAUGUACUGGUAAUACCUUAUUCUACACUGCCUUUCUGAUGUAAAUUAUUUGGUUAGUCUACCUGAUGUUGCAUGUAUGAUGAAUAUUUUCCCUAAUUUAUACAAAUUUAGCAAUUUCACAGCAGAAGAUACAGAUUAUUUAAGCUAAAGGAGUGGCAUAUCUGAAACACGCUAUUGUAUGGGUAGCCUCGAACAAUAGUUCACGUAUUGUCAUAUUGAGUUGCUAGAGAAUAACCCACUUUAUAGGCCAAAUAUCAGCUUUGUCAGAAAAAAUAUGUCCUCCGUAUUAUUCAAAGCAUACUCUGUAUCUCUUUUCAACUGGGUACACUUGAACUGAUCAAUUUUGUUGCCUCGGAGACAAUCCACUAGGAUUUAUCUCAUCUUCUAAAUGGAGUUAGCAUAUUACUUUUACACCAGUAGCAUGUUUUCCCGAGUCUUCAGAUGACCUUCUAUGCUCAACUGCAGUAUUGACCUCUCAUUGGAGGGUCAUCCUAGGAAAGGCUCAAUUCUUAGGUGGUGUACUGAUAUGAUCUACAUAAAAAUGAUUGGUAGUGAAAAUGUCGUUUUUCCAUGAGAUCCUUUCUGCAUAGUCAUGAGUGGACUUUUCCUUGAUAUGUUUGACAGGGCCCCAAUCUAUCCAUAUGGAAAAAUCAUUUAGUAAUUCUCUUGCAGCAUUGGGUGGCUCACUGAAGGUACAAUGCUUUCUCCUUUUCUUUAUUCGGCUAUAUAAGAUUGGAAACUUGAAGGAUGGAAAAGGUACUGAUUAAGCUAUUGAUUGUAUCUUAAACGCAAUACUUCUUGAAAAGUGGCAUGUUUCACUGUUUUGUCAAGUUAAACCCAAGUAACUAGGCUUAGGGGUCAUUCAAUACUCGUAUAGUCAAUGGCAAUAGCCAAUAAGUCUGCCUGAAUUCAACGUACUAUUGUUGACUGUUCUUUGUAACAAAAUGGUUUGAAACAUUGUUCACUAGGAAUGCCAUUACCAUCACUCUCAUAUUAUUGAUUGUUCUUACAUGAGUUUAAACAUGUUGGGGUUUUUUAUUUCUUUUCCUAUUUUUGUGAACUGUAUGAUACCUGAUAACAAAAUUAAAAGAACCUUCCUAAAACUUUUGUGUUAACUUUUUCCCUCACUUUCCUUACUGGCUCUAUUGUGGCAGGAUGUGCCAUGGAAGGCUUUUUUCCGAACCCCAUCUGUAUGGGCAAUGAUAUAUGCUCACUUUUGUGGAAGUUGGGGUCACUAUAACUGUUUAUCUUGGCUUCCUUCUUAUUUCAGGUAUCCUUGCAGUUCUACUCUCUGAAUUUCUUUUCUCAUCGUUCUGGAAGAAAAGCAUUUAUAAUCUUCUAUAUCAAUAUCUUCAAUGUGCUUGUCAUUAUGGCUGUAAUGGAAAAGAAACUUAACUUUCAAUCUAUAUGCCAUGCAGUGAGGAGCUGAGCCUGAAUUUGACAGAAGCUGCAUGGGUAAGUUUGAAGAUGUACGAUUGUCUUACAACUUUUAGUCCUUCUCACACUUUAGUCAUUUAUAGUACUUGUAUUGUAAAUAUAAAGAAUAAUUCUGUAGCUUAAAAUUUGACAAAUUAAAUUCUCACGUCUUGAAAUGAAUUAGGGGAGUCUUGCAUUCCAAAAAGAAAAAGAGCGCUGUUGUAGAAGAAAUUGCUUGUUUCAACAUCUCAUGCUUUGGUCUUGGUAUCCUAUAUACGAUUUAAUUGAAAUAUAAGUUCUGGUUUGAAAUCAUCCAUCUUCAUGCAUCUUUCGAUGUCAAACAAUGCUACAGUGAAAGGCAGGUCCAAUAACAUAUCAGAAGCUUUGGUGAUAUCAAGACAGCAUGCUUUUUUUAUCUGAGAGGAAUUAAUCUUCCUUGCAGUAAUUUGGCCAAAUUUUGUACUCUGAAAGCGAGUACAAUAUGAAUGCUUUCUGCUAAAUUAUCCUGGUAAAAUGAUUAGUUAGUACCCUAAAUACUUGGGAGCUUAACAUGUAAAGCAUUGGUGAUAACACUUGACAAACUUGAGAAUGCCUUGCCAUUCCAAAAAGUCUGAAUAUUGGAUAGUCAUCCGUCAUUUGAUUGUUUAAAUGCAUUUGAACAUUUUUUUUAUAUUUUAUUUUCCUAUGAAGUAACUUUUAACCAUUUCAGGUUUCCAUCCUUCCUCCCUUGGCUUCAGUUUUUGUGACUAGCUUUGCCGCACAGCUUGCUGACAACUUAAUUGCUAAUGGAGUUGAAACCACUACGGUCUGUAAAACCAGACAUCUAUUAUAGUUCUGCACAUUUAUAAGCAUCACCUUGAAGCUUGACCUUUUUGACCUUGCAGGUGCGAAAGAUUUGCCAAACAAUUGCCUUCUUGUCUCCUGCUCUUUGCAUGACGCUCUCCUCUGUUGAUCUAGGACUUCCACCCUGGGAGAUUGUGGGGAUUCUCACUGGUGGCUUGGCCCUCUCAAGCUUUGCCUUGUCAGGUACUGGACUAUUUAAGAACCUAUUUAAUUCAUUUUGUGAAUUGGAACAAAUUGACUUGUGCUAGGUUAAUUUCUAUUUCAAUGAUCUAUCUUGCAGGACUUUACUGUACACAUCAAGACAUGUCUCCUGAAUAUGCAAGUAUACUGUUGGUAUGUGGCCUGCAAAUCAUAAUUUUGUUGCAUAUGCUAUGCAUUUUCUGAUCAGUCUCCUGGUGAGAUUUAUCUUAGGUGUCAUAAACAUGGAUUAUUAGCUUAUUUCUCACAUGUUCCUCACUUUAUGUCUACAUCAAAUCAACUCAGCACAUGGUUCCUGAAUCUUGUGCAUCAUUUUUUAUGACAUGGAUCUGUAGAACCCACAUACCCAAUAAUAUACCUCUUGCAAAGUGGAGUUGGGUUUUCAGGUGAAAAAUUGGAAACUGAAAAAUAAAAAACCAUGUUGAUUCACUUCAUUUAGUGGGUUUUUCUCAGUGAUCUGUUAUCUUGUUUUUCCAGCUAGCCACUUGUCUUAAUAAAAUUGAUCGCGAGUCUAGCAUUCCAAAUUAUCUAAUAAAACCAUUAUUGGCGUGGAUUUUGCUCCUAUUACCAAUGAGCAUUCCGGUCUGCCUGUAGAUUCUUCAUGCUGUUAUGCAAAAUUGUAUUGAACUGGAAGUUCUAGACUAAACUUCCGUGAAACAUUCCUGUGGUAGUGUUUCUAAUUCUAGCUCCAGGUCAAGCACAUAAUAUAUUCAUUUGGAUCCAUGAUCAAUUGACUCCUGUAAGCUUGCCGCCAGUUCAAGGUCGACCCUUGAAUUUGUAAAGAAAAAGACCUUCCUUUAACCAUUAUAUUCAUUCUAUCUGUCUAAUUUUCCUACGCAGGGCAUUACCAACACCGUUGGAGCAAUACCUGGAAUUGUAGGUGUUGCCUUGACUGGUUAUCUUCUUGAUACAACUCAUUCGUGGAGUGUAAGUUGCCUCUACCUCUUACGGAAUAUUUGGUUGAAUGUAAUGGAUCAUGGUCCAUUAUAUUCUUAUGUUUGUUUUUUGUAAUUUUUAAAACUGUAAUAAAAUGGAUCAUUAUAAUUUAUAUUAAAAAAAAAAAAAAAAAGCUAUGUAAUGAACCUUUACAUAUUAAGAGUAAUCAUGCAAAGAUGUAAUUAUAAAGAAAUUUAUUAAAGACUAAACUGUAGUUUUUUUUAUAAAAAAAAAUUAUAAGAACCAAAAAACUUUCAAAUAAAUACCAAUUUGUUAAAAAAAAAUGAAAUCGAGGGACUAAAGUAAUUUAUUAGAAAACUUUAGGGACUGAAAAUGAAAUUUAGUAUUGAUUACAUUACAUUACAUCUAUUUUCAAGUAAAUAAUCUCUGGAUAAGCUGUUAUUUACUUCUUCCUUUAACUGUUUGUUUCUCAUAUCUGUGCUCCGCAGAUUUCUUUAUUCGCACCAUCAAUUUUCUUGUACUUGACUGGUACGAUUGUAUGGUUGGCAUUUGCCAGCAGCAAGCCUCAAAACUUCUCCAACACAGAUUGACUUUGAUUGUCUUUGGAUCAGUUUUCUUGAAUGAAGCAUCCAAAUUAGAGAGAAAGAGAGAGCACACCAUUCAUUAUGUUAUACAUUUUACUUCUUUUUCCAUAGCGUUUGGUGGGAAUUGCCUCAUCUACCAAUAGUUAGCGUCAUUUGUAUAUCUCUGUACACAGAAAAUACCUUAUGUAUAUUGACUUCAAGUGCAAUCCACCAAGCAAAAUGCGUAGUUGACUUUGUAGUCUUGGUUGGCCACCAAAAACAUAUACUUAACAUGUUUGUCGUGUAGCUGUGUUUUAGCCUUUAGGGCUUGCAUUUUACGUUAUGCCUUUAAACCUCAAGAACUCUGUUCCACCAAUAUUUAUCUGCAUUUUACGUUAUACAUCAAAGGAAAUGUCCGAAGGCAGUUCAUUGCGGGACCAGCUACCACAAAGCAGGAAAGAAAUUUAUGUUGUAUUCUGGCCCAUAACACGGGCACUGGUUAUAAAAAAUAAACCAUGGCAUAAUAAUUUACCAAAAACAUUUGUCAUUGUAUUCUUCGCCAAGAAAGAAUGUAACAUGUGCUUGUAUUCUGUCUUAUUUGGCGGAUCACUAUUUACUACGUGGAACCAAAUUUCAGUUCCGUGUAGUGCUACUACCUAGCUGCAAGCAGGGAGAACAUAAGGCAUUUGAACGAAUACAAUAGAGAAAGGAGCAACCAUUAUUGGCUUGGAUGAAUUUACAUAUAAAGGCUCCAAGGAAGGGAUGUCCCCAGACGAAUUUACAGUUAAAAUGUUCCCAUUAAGUAGCAUUGUUUGGCUGUGUAAAUCUCCAUCUUUAGCUGUUAGAUGGUAUUCCUCUCUUGUUAUCCUACUUGUGGACCGUUGAGGUAGCCGAGUGACCUUUGAUUUAUGGGAUUUAUGAGACCUGUGAGGUUUGUGGAGCUUGUGAGACCUGUGUUUCUGGUGCAAUCUCCAAGUACUGUUGAAUGUUACAGUGACUUCAGCAGUUGUGCUAUUGUCAAGGUUGAUUAGUAGUAACGUGAUCCCUUUCUGCAAAGAUUAUUAAUCAAAUUAGAUAAUAAAGGCCUCCACUUGUGUGAUGAUUGUGUUAUGGAAUUAACUUACGGAUUGUUUCGCGCAAUGAGUAUAAGCACGUAUCUUUUUCGUUCCAGGAAAGCUGGUUGAUAGAACGUUUCUUCCCAUUAAUCGGUGCCAAAGAAGAGCACUGCAUCGAAGAUAGCGAACAUUAGAAUUUCUUAGAGACCUUGUAAGACCGAGUUAUAAUAGAUAUUCCAUAAUGGGAGUCAAGGGAUUUCAUCUUUGGCCUGUUCUGACUGCUGAUGAAGCCAGGGUUGAUCAAAUUAUUUUCAUAAUCAGCAUAAUUUGGAAUAUCGUUCCUAAUUUAGUAUCUUCAUUCUUUUUGCAGACAAAGGAAUUUCUUAAAAAAUCAUAAUAAUAAUAAAAAGAGAAUUCACUGCACUCUUUGAUUCUAUCCUAAUAUCUAACUUUUUCAGACCACCUGCCAGCAUAAGAACACCAGUAUUGGAAUACCUGUAGUAAUCCGGAUUUGGAACAAAAGUAGUAGUGUUAAGUAGACCAUAGUUGCCACCAAUCAAUGACUGUCUGCAGUAUGUUUUUGUAUCAUAAGCUGAUGCCAUCCCAAGCUGAUCCAAGUACCUGUUUUGACAUCCCUGGACUUAGAAAUCCACACAAGAAAAGCUGAAGAUUUUUGUUAUAAAUUUUGUCCUCACUUACCAGAAACUAAACACGAACGCAUUGGUAACAAGGUUACGGCCACUGUUGUAAGCCCCACCUGAUUCACCAACCCAUGCAACUGCUGAAGUUGCAGAACUCUUGAUGGUGCUUUGGAGGCUAUUGAAUGUAUCAGCCUCACCAUCAAGAUAGGAUGGAUCAAGGAUCUUUUCGAUGAGAUGUGUAUCAACCCCUGCACAAGAAAAGGAUAUAAUCAUGUCAGAUUAGACCUACUGUACAAGGUGUAAGGCUACAGAAGUUGAAUCAUUUUCUUCAAAGAGAUACCUGGACCAAGAUUGUAUAUGUGGUGGGUGAUCGCAUUUACAGAAUUGCCUGUUUUAUCUACAAACUCUUUGAACCAAUUUGCAUCAAAGAAUCCUCCAGGUGCUAUAACUAGUGGUUUCGGUUCAAUACUGCUGUAAAUCUUUUUCACUGUGUUAUACAGGGAAAUUGUAUCAGAAGCAUACUGAGCCGCUGCAACUCUUGUUCCAACACCACUUCCACACAAUUCAUUUCCUGUUCAGCAAAAAUUACUUACAGUUGGUUUAGAUAAAUUAAUCUCAGCAAUGUAAAUUGAUCAUAGUCAGUUCCCACUUCCCAUAUGGUCAAUAAUCAAUGAUACUUCUAUGGAUUUCAUGAAACAUUAAGCAUUAGCAUUAAUCAGGAGAAAGCAAUGGAGAGUGUUCUUACCGAGCUCCCAGCCAUAAAUAGAGUAGUUCUUUUUGACAGUAUAGCUUAUAAACGAUUCUGCAUUGGUGUAGUUCCAAGCUCCUACUGCAGAACCAUCAGAUUUUAUGGACCGGCCAGCGAGAGCAUUUAACCCAAAUAUAAUUUCAGCCCUGAAUUUGCAAAAAUAAGGUGUGGUUCAACUCCUAGAAAUUGUAAAGUAUGGUUAACAAGAAACAGGAGAGAGUAUUGUUCUUAGUUGUUACCCAGAUUUCUUGAAAAAGGCAUUUAGCUCAUCCCAUCUAUACAUGGGCAAGCAACCUUGAGUGAAACCAAACAUCUCACUGGUGUUUUUAGCAAAUUGAACACAAGGUUGCUUAUUAUCUUCAGUGUCGUAAAUGACCUUAUCUUGCAAAGUGCCUCCUAAUCUGAUUUUCAAUGGUGAAAAAGCUGGACCGUUGCGCCAAGAAAAAGUAAUUAGAAUCCUAAAAAGCAUUAAAAAGAGUUCUUGCUAAAUAAAACAUGAAAUUGAAGAAGAAAAAGUUGCUUUGCUUCAAAGGACUCUUACCCUUUAUGGCAUUUAACAAGAUGUUGUUGUUGAUAUCCUGCAUAAGAGAAAAUAUAAAACAAAUUUCAAAAAGAAAAAUGUUUAGAGAAUAAUUUCCUAAGAACUCAGAUGCAAUAGUAUAAUGCCAGUGAAGUUUGGAGAAGUACAGGACAGGAAAGGACAAGCAUUUCAAGCUCAGUUUCAAUUAUCAAACAUCAUAAUCAGAUAUCUAAAACAACUUCAAAAGCAGAAAAGCAGACUAAAAUGGAUCAUUACCAGAUUAAUGAGAGAAGCCUGGUCCCAGCUGCAUGUCCCAUAAUCACAUUUCUCAGGUGGCCACCAAUCCAAGGUGGCACAAAUGAAAUCUUCAUCAAUCUUUCCAAUGGAAGUUUUUCCAUCAAUGAAAACAGUUCCUUCACUAACACUGCUAUUAUCGUUUCCAGCCACAGCACUUUGUGAACUCACAUAAAUGAAGGUGCAGCUAACGAUGCACACCAGUAAGCACAACCCCAUUUCCCGGUUCUGCAAAGAACUCAUCUUUUUGUAAGCAAAUACAAGUUCAAGAUCUAAGGCUUUCUGUAUAAAUGGGUAAGGUAGCCAUGAAAGUGGCAGAGGAUGUGGGGUUACCAGAAAGUUUUGCCACAGCAGGCUAAAGAAUUUAAUAAGGGAUAUAAAAAAAAAUAGAUUACGUUCACAAGUAAGAUAUAAAUAUGAUUGAUGAUAUUAUAAAAGAAAAUAAAUUUAUUGGUAAUUAUUGAAGCUUUGUUUGAUAGGCAAAUACUUAGCAACUUGUAAUCACAUUCAAGCUGUGGUUCUCUUUUCUUUAAAUCUUUUGCCUUUGGAACCUUGCAGGUCAGAAUAAUGAGAGGUUUGUUGCAAAGUGGGUCAUGGCUUUUCAUGAAAGCGGCUAGUUGCCGAUCAAUUUUCAAGGGCCUUUGUGCCUUGCUUCUCUAUGAAUGUGUGCGAUCCUGAGACCCACUCGUUUGGUUAGUUCUUAAGUUUUUGUGACACUCUCUGUAGUUUUCGAAUUAAAAAGAUGCUCUUUUAAAAUACUUUUAGUUAAAAAUAUAUUAAAGUAAUAUUUUUACUAUUAUUUUAACAUGACAUAUCAAAAUAAUUUGUAAAAAAACUAAUUUAAUAUUUUUUCAAAUAAAAUACAUUUUAAAAUUAAACCACGUUAACCAACACACUUUUAAUUAUUAAUUAUGUUGGAACUUGAGAAGAGAUAAUAAUUAAUCUUUUAUUUAAAAACUAUUAAUCAAGGUGGAAAUUACUAAAAUAACCCCUCUCUCUUUCUUAUUACUCUCUGCCGUUCAUACUUUUUUUUACCACUAUAACCAAUGGCUCUAAUCUACACAUUCUUGCACGAAAAAUUAUACCAAUGUAAGAAGGUCAAAAAAAAAAAACCAUGGCGUGCAAAUUAUUGUAAAAAAAGAAGAAGAAGAAGACACGCAGGGAAAAAGAUAAACAUGAGGAAGCAUAGAACAAGGUGGAGGUGCAUGUGAUGUGAUCUUAAAAGUUGCAAAUAUGGCAUCUACUUGUACUUUGGCAUUUCGAAUUUUCAAUUGGCUACUCAAUCCCUUAUACCAUUUCCACCUUUAUGUUUAUGGGAUGGGCAAAGCAUUUGUCAAAACUUGUUGUCAAAUGUCAAAGGACACCUAAACGUAUAGAAUCCAAUUUUAUAAAAAAACUAAAAAAAAAAAAAAAGAACACAACCCAAUUCAUUAAGUGCUUGAUUCAGGCUGCAAUUCAAUCUGUUUUUUUAUAAAAUUUUAAUUUUUAUAAAUUAUUUUAAUGGAUUUAUAUCAAAAAUAAAUUAAAAUAAAUAAAAUAAAUAUUAUUUUAAUAUAUUUUUAUAAAACAAGUUUCCUCACUUACCAAUCAUAGAAGGUGUCUUGGUUAACAAACAAAACAUCAGAAUAUGUGAUGAUAAGUUACACCUAAUUUUUGCAAACUCACAACACAAUCUAAAGGCAUGUGUCCUAAGACUACUCUAGCUGGAUAUUUGUCGAGUAUGCUAUAAACCUAAGGCUUGUAUUUCCCUUUCACAGAGCUGGGUCCAUUGCUGCAUUUUCUUCUAACUACUAGUUUGGCUUUGAAGCAUCCUCCCCACCUUAUCUUGUUUCCAUGGGGAUCGGUUUCUGCAUGCAAAAGGGGAUCCACCCAGACCUAAUCCAUUCAAUGUUAGUUAAAGGGAGAAAUCUAGGUUUGGUGGCAUCAAGUUUUAUUCCAUACCUAAUACCAUUGGAAAUAUGACUCUGUGAAGCUGUUGCCCACUACACUGCCUCUCAUGGCCCAUGUCUAAUCCCCCAAUACAAGGAAAUGACUGCUGUUUAUAGGAUCAAGAUCUCCUCUUCUCCGAGGGCUCUGCCACCGCGCUGCCGCCCCUUGCUUUUGACUGAAAAGGGAAAAGCGUGGAAAUAAAGUAUACCAUAAAGUGAACACGCUUCCCAUUUCUUCCGCUUCCACUUGCCACUCUCUCCUCUGGCCCUAAAUCUGGCUGGGGAUGGCUUAAAUUUCGUUGAGAAAAAAAAAUGAUUUCGAUAUGUGUGAAAACUGGUAAGAAUAUUAUGACCAUUGAAAAGAAAGCUUCGUGUGUAGAAAGAUAUUCUUUCAAGAUUCUAUCCAUGUCGGGUUUUUUUUAGUUAUUAUUUUGAAAUAAAAUAAAAAAACACAGCGAAUAGAAGCAUGUUAUCUUUGUUCUUUUGUUCUUUUUUUUUAAUCUCCAUCAGAAUAUACCCAUCUCGAGAUAGGAAGCAAUCACUACAUAAUUUGAUAUGAUGCUUAAAAUACAAAAGUAAUAAUUAAUCCAAGAUAAUUUGGCUGAUUCUGGAAUAUCAUGACAAACUAUUUUAUUUUAUAUUUGGGUUGUUGAGAGAUCUAGUGAAUUAAAUUAAAUGGUGGCAACAUUAAUUUCCACCACUUUUUAUUGUUGAUUUAUCAAGUAUCUUGAGAAUUAAUCCAAUUUUGCCUCUAUCGUAGUCUUGAACCCAAGAAAACAAAAGGGACCUGUCGAUUUUGUGAUCUAUUGUUCUUGAACUAGAAGAAGGGACUUGAAUAAUUUUCUUGCAUGUCAUAAUUAUGAUGAAGAAUUUGUCUUAAUUCCAACCUUCUUUUACAAGUUUUAGCCUGAUGGAAACUUUAGAUUAACUCAUCUUCAUCCUUGAGGGGUGAGAGUAAUUGUAAUGUAUCAUUCACUAAAAGUCCAUUUCAUGGCAUGUCUCCAUCUAAUCCUCGCCCACAGCCAUGAUGCAAGACAAAAUGGGGCUUCAAGAGGAGAUAAACAUUAUUAAUGUCUUCUUUGGCCUAUUAUUGCAUUGAAAAUGAACCUUAUUUCUUGGAUUUAUUAAUACCUAAUCUUCGUUUCUUUUGGUUGGGUAUACAUCUGUGUAUCCAUUGAAAGAUUUGACCAGAUUAUUUACGGGCAAUAAAGCAAGAGUCGAGAGGCAAACAGGUUGUUUUGGACAAACAAUGCAAACGUCUAAUUAGGGCAAUGGGAAGUUGAAAAUGUGUUGGAAAUUACAAAGAGAAACAAAACAAAGAGAGAUCGAUCCGAUCGAGAAACCACAGAGAGCCCAAAGCUUGAUGAAGAGAUUGCAAGUUCAGACAUAGAACCAAAGCCCACUUGAUGAAUCCACCUGAAUAUAUAUUUUCCGAUAACAGACUCAUCUUAUAGUAUCGGUAUUUACAGUUCGGCAAUAUUACUUGGCUGAUAUUAAAGUAUUUUUUUUAUUUAAAAAUGUAUUAAAAUAAUAUUUUUAAAUAAAGUGUUGAUGGUUGAUUUAGAUUCUAUCCUAAAAUAACAUUGUUUUGAACACAAAAAUUUUUAAAAAUUUCUUAAAAUUAAACUUAUCAAGUUUUAUUUGGGUUUGAUCGGGCUAACUAGAUCAUGAAUUGACUCUUUAGAUGAUCCAUGAAGGUACACUUCUAUUAAAAAAAUCCCAGCUCGAGCAGGGCUAGACUCUAAAUGAAGAGCAAUAUUCUAUUGGAAAUUAUCAAUUUUAACAUUAAAAAAGUGCCAUUAAGGUAAUUAUUUUCCUGCAAAAUCAGAGGCAUAAAUGCAUCCAAUCCAAUAUAGAAAUCUCACAAAACUGUUUUUAACCCAAUAUUUAUAUAGCUAGUAGCUGAUUUGUCACAAGGAACCAGACCCUUUAUUUUAGACAUGUGCUACGAAUCAGCUCUCAUAAAUGUCCAUGUAUCUUAUGCUUCAUUUUGACGGAGAUGGUGUGCGACCUUCUUACAUCCAAUAAUAUCACAAAUGCCCUCAAUAAUAGAAGGAGCUGAAGAGUUCGCCGGGAACAGGAAAGAAAAGCAUUCUUUAUCGAUUGAAGUCACGACUUCGCAACAAUCAGGUACUGCAAUAUCGACAAAAUCUCCAUCGCCGGAAAGAGCUGCGUUGAUUGAAUCAAGAAACCCUACUACACUUUCGAAAGGUGCCAAGCAGUCAGGAAUGCUUGCAUUCUUUGGUUCAUUUGUAAGGGUUUCAGGUGGAUUGUCUCUAGCAAACCCAUACAAAACCAAAGCCUCCAUGCAUGCCAAUGCCAAAAGAACUUCAUGGGCCUGCUUAGAUAUUCUUGCCAUGGAUACAACGCAAAAUUUGGAAUGUUUUGGCUGAACAUAUUAAUACAAGGUCUAACGUGUUUUAUUUACCAUAAUAAUGUGAGCCUUCCAUGGUAUGAAAAGCUUAUCGUAUAGGUAUCUGGACCUUGAUUCUGCUUCUUCUUCUUUUUCUUCUUUUUAAAUAUGAGUAUUUAGAUAAGAUUAUGUGUAUCUCGAUUAAUCUUUUAAGGUUUUGAAAUUAAAAAUAAUAUAAGCCUUUAGUAGUCCUGAACCCUUUGAGGUUUGUGACACUCGAACUAAUGAUCUCUAAGAAGCAAAUUCGGGAUCUGAUCAGUUGAGUUAUACCCUUCAAGAUUUAUUAUUAUUAUUAUUAUUGAUGGCAGUGUAGGUGAUAUAGUUUGAAUUUGAGAUGGGUAGUUUAUGAGAAUAUGUACUACUUUACCUAUAUUAAUUAGUUGAGCUGUAGAUUAAUUUUCAUUGCUGUUAUAAACCAAGUUAUUUUCAAGUCAAGUAGCAUGAUUCAUAUUCUUAAUUAUAAUUCAAAGAAAAUCUGAAAAAGAAAGUUAGAAAUAGUGAAAUACCAAUACAACAGUUGAAAAUAUAUAUGACCAAUAUUUUCAAGAUUUUAUUAACUCAAGGAAGUACAUAUCAUAUAACAUUUCUUAAUGAAGAUCGAUCAUCUAAGAUCCAGCUGAUUAUCAUCACCAUCGUUAAUCAGCCUGUUAUUAUAUAUUACACGCAUUUGUUAAUAGCUAGGAUGUUGUACUCACUCGAAGAUGCAAGUGUAUACUUAUUUUAGAAAGCCACAUAUGCUAUAUGCUGCUUAUUCAAUCAACACGAUUUAGGUGCCGGCGCCGGAGCAGGGCCGAUUCCACUACGAGAACAGAUGCCUCUAAGAAACUUACCGGUGGCAGGCAUGGAAGGAAACAGUCGAGGCCAACAGACAUCGGAAAGCUCAUUGAUGACUUUGCAACAAGCAGGACCGAUACGGCCAGUGCCACCGGAAAUGGCCACAAAAAUUUCCUUAGAGCACCCUUGUAUAAUUGUGAGAGGUAAAAAGCAUGGAAGUUUUGGAAUAUUCUGGGCUAACCCAGAUGGGAUCAACGUUCCCAUAAACAAAAAUCCCAACAGAAUUGCUAUGGUCUGUGUUGACAUUGUAUACAAGGCAAAUCAGAAUUUUUUUUUGGGAGUGUUAAUGUUUUUGUUUUUGAAAUGUUUAACUAUAUUGUGGAUUGUGUAGAAAACAUGGUGUUGCUUAAGGGGGAUUUAUACUAGUUUCGGGUACUCGUUGUAGAGGCUAUUAAAAAAUUAAUUCAACAUAAAAAUUUGAGAUUUUAUUAUAUGAUUUAUAUUAUUAUUUAACAUUUUAAAAUUUUUUUGGAUAUAAAACUUGCACAAACUCACACUACGUGUCUUAUAUUUAAUUUUAUCAAAUAAAUAAGAAUGAUGUAAUUUAAACUCACAUGAUCGUUUAAUCAUCAAGAUUCUAAUACCAUGUCAAAUAAUUAAUUCAAUUAAAAAAUUUAAAUUAUUAUUUAAGAUUUCAGAAUAUGAUUUAUAUUAAUAUAUACAUAUAUAUAUAUAUAUAUAUAUAUAUAUAUAUAUAUAAGAUUACAAGGGGCUGCUAUUGUUUUUUUGAUAUGCGUAUAUAUCAAUUAAAAUGCCUACCAUGAGCUCUUUAAUUGAUUACGGAGUUACAAAGUGCCUUUAACAUUUUAGACUUCAAUAUAUAUCCUCCCAUCCAAUCUAAUAUCUAAUGCUCUAAUCUAGUGUCUAAUUCUACGACGAUCCCACACUACCUGCGGUGUAGAAAUCAUAACCUUGUAUACUAGGAUUGGCAUAUAUAGAAUUAGAUAUAAAGGUAACAUAGAUAAAGAAUCCCUAAACUUGUCAUAUACAAAAUCAAAUAAAGUAAGACUUAUAUUGAAAAUAAUAUACAAAAAUCGAUACUGUUUAUCAUUUCCUUGAAUUUUAACUUUCUUUAUGAAUGGAUAUUACAUCCGAAAUUGGGUUGUUAAAUUAAUGUCAUUUUAUUUUUAUUAAUGUUUUUUUAUAAAUUAUUAUCUAUCUAUGUUUUCGUGGAUAUGUACAUUUUUUUUAUUAGAUAUUAUUGAUGUAUUCUAUAUAUAUAUAUAAUAGAAUCUUUAUUUCUAUUGAGAAUAUGCUUAGAAUAAAAACUAAUACUUAGUCGUAUAUGAUGUGUCAAAUAUAAUGAGAUUUAAUGGUAGAUUUGUGAAGAAAAAAACUCUUAAAGAGGGUUAAUUUCAUCACUCCACAAUUCUAUGGAAUUGAAAUAACAAUAGAGGAAGCGUGGAAAUAGCGUCACUCUUGAAUAUAAUUUCGAAAAUCAUUGUUCUAAAGCAAUCUCUCUACUAUCAUUUACAUUGUAAUAAUCAAUAAACAUUUAUUUUUAUUUUACACUACAUUUUAUUCUUAUAUAUAUAUAUGGUGUUAAAGUAAUUUUGUUCUCUUGCUAUGUCGACUAAAAAUAAUAAAGAUUACAUCAAACAUACUUCAAAAUCAUUUUGAUACGCUUAAAAAUGUUCUUAUAAUUAAUAAUUUACCUAGACUUUUUCCAACCCCAUGCUAAAUGCCGCGUAAGAGUUAAUAACAUUGCUAACAUUCUAGCUAGUUAUGGUCCAAAAAUAUUAGAAGGAUUCAAGCACACGUCGAUGCAUAAUUAGUCCUCUAAACAAGUUGAUAUAGAGUAGCAAUCCCGCAAGGGACGCCAUAUUUAUGAAUAGACUUUUUUCAUAAAGUUAAUUAUAAUUUAGUUAAUAUUGUUUAAUAUAACUAAUAGUUAAUUCUUGUGAUCUUAUAAAAUAUAUAUUUAAUCCUUAUGUUUUUAAAUCUGUUAGUAAAUUAGCCUUUUCAUAAACUCAUUGUUGAUUUUAAUUAAUUCUCUUUUAAGAUAGAGAAAAGAGAUUUGGUAAGAUGGAAAACUUUGAUUAUUUGGAACACAUGCUAUUAAAUUGAUGAUGGCCAAUGCCUUCAAUACUAUAGGAACUAAUUAUUAAUUAGGUUUUCCAAGCUAAUAGACAGUUAUAAUUCAGUCUGGUUUCUUAAGACUUACUCUCAAUAUUAUUUUUUAAUUAAUAUCUAAUAUAAUCUAAUAAAUAUGUAAUUCCUUUUUUAAGGCAGUCUCGUGCCAAUUCAUAUCUCUCGGGGGUCGGAGCAAGCCAUGCACCUGAAUCUGUAAAACUUCCUUGAAGUAUUGUUUGAAUCUGAGACGGGCGAUUUAUGAGAAUUAAAAGACAAAUUAAUUUGAAAUAUCAAUAUAUAACAGUACUUGAAAAUAUAACUAUUAUUCUCAAUACUCAAUCAGCUCAGUAAAUGCAUAUAUAUUAUAUAAUAAUAUAUGUUAAUUAAGAUCACAUCUAUACAAGAUCCAGCUGAUUAUCACCGUAUGCCGUUGAUCAGCCUAUUAUUACCGGAGUUUGUCAAUAAUUAUAAGAUGCUUUUAUUAAUUCAAUCAACCAAAAUACCAUACCGUACAAUUUAUUUGUUUUUUUAUUUUAAAAAUAUGUUUUUAAAUUUAUUUUUAAAUUAUUUUAAUAUGAUGAUAUCAAAUUAUUUUUUAUAAAAUAAAAAAAAUAUUAUUUUAAUAUAUUAUACAUACAAAUACUAUUUUUAUAUUAGUUAUGAAGGUUGUGGUGGAGGCAAUGGAUAUUAGUGGCAAGGGCUAUUCAUCAAAAAGAAAAAUCACAAAGGCUACUGCUUCUUCUUUUUAUUUAUUUGCAUGUAUAUUAAUUAAUAUGUCUACCAUAAAGCUAUUUUAAUUGAUUAUGGGUAUAGAGGAGUUAGGAAGGGACCUUAACUUUUCUUCCUAUUUAAUCUAACCUAAUCAGCUCUAAUUUCAAACUAGUAUCCUAUCAUUGAGCUGCCAUAAUAGCUUUUAAAUAUCUGUUUGGGUUGUGGUAACGGUGGUGGUUGAAAGUGUUUUUUACUUAGAAAUACAUUAAAAUAAAAAAAUUUUAAAAAAAUUAUUUUGACAUCAACACAUCAAAAAGAUUUGAAAACAUUAAAACAAAUUAUUUUAAGCAAAAAAAAUUCAAAAUUUGUGGGAACGCGGUUUGCACGGCGUUCUCAAAUAUUGCCUUGAUAUCAAAAGUCUUAAACUAUGAGAUUUUUGGUAUUAUAACAGUGAUUGAUUUUUAAAGUGUUUUUUUAUUUAAAAAAAUAUAUAAAUAAUAUAUUUUUUUAAAAAAGUUCAACAUCAAUACAUUAAAAUAAUAUGAAAAUACCAAGAAAAAAAUGAAUUUAAAACAAUUAAUUAUGAUGAAAUUCAAAUGAAGAUAACAUUGAGGAUCUACAUUAUAAAUGGACAUUUGAAAGAAAGAAGAAAUAAUCAUCAUGAUGAAUUACCAACAGAAGGAUUUACAAUCAUAUAUAAGAAAAUGGAGACUUAAUAUUAGGUUUUUUAAAAUAAAAGGAUCGACUAAUUCUUUCAUUAAAGAGACAUGGAUGAGAUAAUAACUUCGUAUUUACCCUUGUUUAGCCUUAUUAAACACAUUCUAAAAUCAAUUACAAUUAAUUAAUCUUUCUUUUCAAACAAAUGGCAUUGUGCAUGAAAUCUACCUAGGAUUAAAACUAAACUCUCUAAAGACUUGUCUUUCAUUUGUAUCACAUGUAUAGAACAUAGAUAGAUUAAGAAUACACAAUAAAAAGAUUUUCCUACAUUAAUCUUUGUUUAGAAUUCAAAUCUAGAAUAAUAAUAAUUAAUGGCAAAGUCAAUAUUUGCAGCCUCCUACCCCCACCUCCUAAUCCAAAAGUCGUGUACGCUGUGUUGUAAAUCUACACACACACACAUAUAUAUCUAUCCCCAAUCUUUAAGUCUAUAUUGUAUUAGGUUUCAAUAGGAGGUGUAGAACCAGAGAAUAAAAUUAAAAAAAGAUUAAAAUUUUAAUUAUUUUAUUAUUUAGGUUAUAAAUAUAAAUAUUAUUAAGGGAAGGGGUGGAAAAACAAUUUUCUUUUAGGACCUGUCUGCUAUUGAAUACAAGGAAUUGUGUUUUUAUUUUGUUUGUUUUUAUAUUUUAAAAAUAUUAUAAUAGUUGUUAUUGUCUGAAAUAAUAUUAGUAUAUUAAAAUAAUUAAAAAUAUUAAAAUUUUAACAAAUAAUGUUUUAAUUGUAAUAUCAAACAUGCUUUUAAAUAUCAACUUGAAAUAAAGAAAAUGUUAAAUAAUUUUUCUUUCUAAUUUCAUGAUAUUAACAUAAUUAAAUUUGAAUUGUGCCUAAACAAAUCAAUUAAAUCACUAAAAAUCCUCCUUUAAACCAAGCUUCGACACAUGUUUUAUAGAUAAACCUACCAAGUAAGCCGAGUUUAACGAAUAUGGUCAAGCUUGAUAACGAGUACCAGGCAUGACAAGUCGUCUACAACGAUUUUUUCUCACCAGGGAUACCCACCUGGGCCACCUCUUUCCAUGAACCAAAAAAUGCCAAGACGAAAAACAACGAAAGUCCAAGUCAAAAUUGAAGACAAGUUCCAAGAAUCCCGAAAACCCACCAUCACCACAACAACCACCUUCUCCUCCUCAACCUCUUUGAGCCCUUGGUCUCUCCCCAUAACCACAACCCCACAAAAAACCACUAAAAAGAUCAAAACGUUUUUACAAAAAAUCCACAGAGCAAUUGAAUUCCUUAUGGAGGUGGAGGUGAAAUUGCGUCUGCUUGAUGCAGCAAAUCACAGCCUGUUAAAAGAAAUCCUUUCACCAUUUCACUUAAAAAAACUCAACCAAAAAAAUGUAUUUUAUGAUUCUGCUAAUGGCGUUCUUGCUUCUCAAAGGGCAGUGCUUCGCUUGCGUUCAUUCAAUGAUAACAACGAUGAAAUCACGCGAUGCGUUUUGUCACUCAAGGCAAAGGCAGUACUGAUUAAUGGGGUGAGUCGUGUCGAGGAGGAUGAGGAGGAAAUAGAGCCAUUGAUUGGAAAGCAAUGCGUGGAGGAAGCUAGCAAGUUGGGGUCGAUUGAGUCGAGGGUUAUUAAGAGGUGUAAAGACGAGUUUGGGAUUGAUGGGGAAGUGGGUUUUGUGUGUUUAGGCGGGUUCGAAAAUGUGAGAGAGGUUUAUGAUUGGAGAGGUUUGAAGUUGGAGGUUGAUGAGAGUAAGUUUAGUUUUGGAGUUUGUUACGAGGUUGAGUGUGAGAGCGAUGAUCCUGAAAGAGUUAAGAGAGAGCUUGAAGGGUUUUUGAAGGAGAAUGGGAUUGAUUACAAGUACUCUGAGAUGUCAAAGUUUGCGAUCUUUCGAGCUGGGAAAUUGCCUUAGUAAGUGAAAGAUUAAUUUUCGGACUUUGUGUUUUAUUUUUCUUUUUGAUGUCUGAAUGAUUUUUGAUGUGAAAAUUGCUUGUUGGUGAAUGAUUGUCAUUCAUUCUUAUUUUUUAUAUAUUGUUUUUGGUGCUUUAGAAAAUUGCACUCUUUACUUGUUCUGUUGUUAUUGAGUAGUGACUAAAUGAUUUUGGAUGUUUUGUGAGGCACUGUUGUUUGCUGAAUGAUGGUGUUUCUACUGUUAAUGUGAUCUAGCACUAUAGCUUUAUCCUGGAUAAUGUCAAAGCCUGGGAAAUGACAACGGUCAAGGAAACCAUUUAUAUGUUUUCUCUUUUAUUCUUUCAUGAAACCUGACCAAUUCUUUUGAAGCUAUAUGCCUAGUAACUGAUUGUUCGACAUUUGUUCAUCAUAUUCGUUGUCUGAGAUUCAGUUGCCAGUUGCGUAAUACAUCUUCUACAAAGUUCUAUUUUUUUCUUGUUUAAGCUGUGGUUGCGUUCUUUUUGUACGAUUGAUAAUUGAUUCUGUUUUGCAAUUGCUAACACUCAUUUUGAUCGCUUAGGUGGGCACUGUAAAUAAAUCUUCAAUUUAAUCUCAGCUGUUGAAUUUUGUUGGGAGCAUCCUAUUUACAGCAAAAUGCUUUUGUAACAACAGAUGAGAUGUAGUCACCAGAGAACUAUAGUGAUUUUUCUUUGUAUGCAGUUUUUUUGCUAUUGAAAACCAAUAUGUUUACGUAUCCUCGGAAUGAGUUGUGUCCAGAUGCUUGUGAGCUCAUCCAUAUUUACAACAACUAAGAAGUCUUCACAAACUACUAUACAAUUUGAUCAGCUGGUUUAGCUACUCACUUGCCUCAAAGGAAGUUGAUUUGCACUGUUCACUACUUUUACCAAGUCUGUUUGUCAAAAAUUCACUUCAGUUCUUACCUUGGGUUGUUUAGUUGUUCCUUGGGCUCUUGAAAGAGUUCAUUGAGUUUCUUAGCAUGCAUUCUUGAUUAACUGUUAUGAGGUAACCAGGCUAUGAGCUUACAAGUGUAACUAUUCUCUUGCAUUUGAUAGCUUUCCUCGUAAAGAAACUUGCAGAUUUUUCAUGUCUUUCACUUUGCAUCACAUCUUUCUUAAAUGGUGAGGUGAAGAAUUGCAGUAGCGAUGCAUAUUUUAUUUACUUGGUUAUGAGGCAAAAGAAAGGCAGUUUUUUUUCAUUCUGCUCUAGCCAUGUCUGCAAGUCCUCUGCAUGUCGUUAAUUAUGCCGUGCUUUCACUUAUAAAGGGACAACAAAUUCAUACCAUCGUUUGAAAAGUUCACGAUAUGGCAUGUUCUUUUGAGUGAACGAGGAUGUCAUUCUCAAACUGCAACUAUGAUUAAUCUGACAAUAAGAUUUCCGUUGGCAUUGCUAUGGUGAUUUUAUCCAUUCAUUCAUCCUUUUGCAGGUUAUCUCAGCACAUGCUUAUGUUGUGGAAGUGGUUCUAGCACUGGAACCCAGUUCGAAGACAAUUGUGAAGAGCACUAAAUUUUCUUCUCUUGAAUGCAUCUUGCUGUCCUGAUGCAGCUGCACUCUCCUGUAGGCAUCUAUCUGGGCAGUGAAUUCUAUUUUUCUUGGCAACGCUAGUUUGAACUCUAAAAGUAAAUUAUUUCUGUUCUGCAAGGCUGUUAUACUAUAACCUUGGAACAUUGCAGUUAUACUGUAACCUUGAGAUGUUUUCGUGUCCUACAAUUGUUCAUCCUUCACAUGCAGAUGAUCCUUUUUUAUUGUGAUCUUUUUUGUGUUGUCUGUAUGUUGGUGGUUAUCUGCUUGCCCCUAGAAGGAACUGAGUCGCAAGAUAGCACUAUUGUAUUCAUCUCCUGGAAUAUCCUCGAGAUUCAAGAAGGGUUUAUAAAACUUACAGGAUCAAUCACCAGAAAAUGCUUGAGUUUGAAGGUGGUUAUUGUGAAGUUUGGGCUCUUCAAAAAGAAUCGAGUCUCUACCAAAUAUUUUAAUAGAAUUCAACGCAAAACUAUGAGGAAAAGUUCGAAGAAAAUUCCAACGAGGGAAUUCGAUUCCUAAGCUAAACAUGAAAAAAAAGUAAUAAUAAAAAAAACACCCUUAAGGCACCAACAUGAAUCUUACAAAUAACCUGAUAAAACCCUACUAAAAACAUUUUGCCAAUCUAACAAUGGGACCAUAAUUUAGCCUUUCUUGCAAUGCUGUUGGAGAUUGAGAGGGAGUAUCAAGUUGAUACCUUGAGCUUGCUGCACUGGUCUCUCCUAAUUCUAAAUCUCGAUUUUGGUAAUGUCAAUAUUAAAAUUAAUUGAUGAAAACAUUUGUGUUCAUCAUUUGAAGGAGUAUCUGGCAUGUUAUUAAUGGAGUGAUUGAUGAAAGUCAAGGACACGUCAGCUAAAAAUAAUUAUUGAUAAAGAAAUUAGGUAUUUAAUUGCAUAGAAUAUAGUAUGUUUUUGCAUUAUCAAUUAUUUGCUAGAAAAUAUGGUCACAAUCUUAUAUAAAAAUAUAUAUCUAUAAAAAAUAUAUCAUUCAAUCAUAUUUUUUUUUUUGUUGUAGGGGCGUUUUCAUCAUUAAAUGCUAACUUAUCUUAACUUGAAAAAUAUGAUUAUAUUUUUUUAUUUUUUAAAAAUUAUUUUUAAUAUUAAUACAUUAAAAUAAUUUAAAGAUAAAAAAUAAAUAUAUUAAUUUGACUAAAUUGGCCUGCCAUGUACUGCAUUCUAAAAAAAAACUAUAAAAAACAAAGAAAAAAGAUGAAAAUAUCCAAAGAAACAAAUGAAUUAUCGAGGGGAAAAAAAGGGGAAUAUUCAUAAUCGUAAGCAGACUGGCUCGGCUCUACACCUAUGGCAUCCUCUUGACUCUCUCUCUCUAGCUACAAUCCUAAGGUCCCAGUCAACGCGGACGGCCAAAUAACCCCACUCAUAACAUUUCAGGAAAAAGCUCCCAAACAAACACAAAGCAAAGCAUCCUCUUUCCUUUCCUUUCCUUUCCUUUUUGAUCUCAUCUGCACAAAUACUUAAAACCCAAAUCUUCAUUUAAAUAAAUCUUUCAAUAAAUUCAAAUCUCCAAAGAUGUCAUCAGAGAUUGAGAUAGUAGAGGAAGAUGUGGUGGCCCAAUCCAACGAUCGAGAAUCAGCAGCUGUUAAUGGAGGCAAUAGUAAUAACGGGGUUGCUGUUGCUGGAGAAGACAGCUUGAGAAAUGAUGUUUACACAGCAGCUGCUUAUGGAGAUUUAGAGAAGCUUCAGAGAUUGGUUGAGAGUGAAGGAUGUUCUGUUUCUGUACCUGAUAACCUUGGUUAUUAUGCUUUACAGUGGGCUGCUUUGAAUAAUCGCACGGCUGCUGCUCAGUAUAUUAUCGAGGUUUGUUUCAAUUCUGGGUGGAUUUUGUUUUUUUGAUUGUUUUCUUGAAAUGGGUUCUUUUGUUUUUUGUGUUCUUCAAUGGAUUUGUUCUCCUUGCUUGUUUGAUUAGUUUUGACUGAUGGGUUUGAUUUUGAUGUAUUGAAGGGUUUAUUGAUGUUUUUAAGUGUUUAUUGUUAGUUCAUUUCUCGAUCAAAAGUGAUGAUUUUGAUCUGGGUAGUUAGAUUUUGUGGUCAAGUUUGUAUCUUUUAGUUUGAAUUUUUUGAACGAAGUUCAAGUUGUUUGGUUUAGGUUUGAUGCAUUGAUGGAGUUUUUAAGUGCUUUUGUGUAUUGAUAGUGGCCAGGUUUGCUUGUUGGUUCAUUUUUAUUUAUUUUUUUGGUAAAAAAGUGAUAAUUUGAUUUUGGGAACUUGAUAUUCUGGCAAAGUUUCUGUCUUUUAGUUUGUUUGUGUUGAUAGAAGAGAGUUCAAUUAAUGAUAUGUGAUGUAUCUGAUUUGGAUUUGAUGAUAUAAGAUGAUCGACUGAUUUGGUACUGGAUGUUUUUCUGAUUGCCAGCAUGGAGGAGAUGUAAAUGCGGUAGAUCAUACAGGCCAGACAGCAUUGCAUUGGACUGCAGUCCGGGGUGCAAUUCAAGUUGCUGAGCUGUUGCUACAAGAGGGUGCGGGGUAAAUGCCGCCGAUAUGUAUGGCUAUCAGGUUAGUGUAAUCUUUGUUGUGCAAAUAUGCGUUCACUUUGUUUAAGGGAGAGAUAAGAUCUGUUUUAUCAAUUGUGUUUGAAGUUAUAUAUGUGUUGUGAAAUUAUUACCUGUUUUUUAAUUGGUACCUCUAGUGCCUGGUCAUGAAUGCUAAUGGCAUGACAACUCUCUGGUGCAUGUACUUCUACUGUUUUUUCUCUCAGUGGUUUAUCAUUCAGGAUAAACAUAUAUAGGAAGGAUGGAUAUCUAAAAAAUUUGGGACACCUUCAUGCAAUCUGUUUGCCUGUUAAUACACAGUGUUAAAUAAUGUCACAAUGAUUGUUUACAUAUUUUUCAUGGAAAACUGCCUAACUAGUUGUGUUGAUUCCCACCUUAAAGAUGUUUGUGAGGGUAUCUUCAGUUGUAACGAUAAAAGUCUUGGGCUAGCAACCAAGACGGUUGAAGUUUGAUUGGUUAUUUUAUGCACAAAUGAUAAAAAUAUAGGAUCAUUUGAGGAGCUCUUCACCUCCCCUUCAAGGGUACUCUUUUUUUUUUGUUGAAUAGUACUGAUUUCCCCCCUCUGAUUAACACUUGGAUAUGGUUAUAAGUAGGUCAGCUUAGUACUCUUUGGUUAAUUGAUUUUUACUAUAAUUGAAGAAGUAGGUUGAAUUGAGUUUUCAGAUCCCUUGGCUGCUGUCUCUUUCUUUGCCUUUUUUUUCAUUCUUCUUCAAGGGAUUCUGUAUCCAGGGCGCAAGAGUUUCAAUGCAAGAGAUCUUGUAUCAAUCAUGCAAAAAAUUUAUCGCUUGUUGCUGCUUGAACACAGUAUAACUGGAGUCGGUGGCUAUGCUUAGACAUUCUGUAAUAUGUAUAAGAGGACCUUUUCUCACAUGUAAACGGAAUCCAAAACAUUGAUCAUACAUAGAAAUGGUUUAGUUUGCAUAUUUCCCUUGAAGGAAGCUUAUCGUUCUAGUAAAGCUUCUAAGGUCAGCAUUGCAAAUCAGUAUUUGGACACACAAUUUGAUCAUUGGUUUCCAUUUUAAUAACUUCAUCCAUUUAAUAGGUUCUUUAGCGAUGGAAAACUUCCAGAUAUAUCAAGAGAAAAUACAUUUAAAAUGGGACGAAAUUUUCCAUAUUUAAGGGAGCAAUUCUACAGUAAUCCACUAAAUGGGAUCUGUCAAAGGGGUUUCAGAUUUUUCUGUUUGAAUGUUGAAGUGAUUGGAACUUGAACUUAAGAAGUAUAAUAAAACUAUUUUCAUCCCUGCAUUUUUUAGUCUUGAGUGUUUAAGGGUUCGGUGACCUUGUUGAUGCCGUCUCUAUUUAUAAACUCAGGUUGCUUGUUUACCUUCUAAAUAUUCCCUUAAAUUUGUGCUGCUCUAAGAAAGGCACCUAGUAAGUGAAUUGUUGCAAUUUAUUCCUACUAUUUGAAACAUUUUUAAAACUGAUGCUGAAACUCAAUAAAAUAAUGAAAGCAAAUCAGGUUUCAGCUUAAAAUUGAUAAAAAAAAAUGUGGCUCAAACUGGUUACAAUAUAGGAGCAUGAGAUUGGUUAUAACAGAUUGUUUAGGGGCCUGUUAUUGAUUGAAUGAGGGUUAGGUAAAGAAGAGAGCCAGGAAUGAAAUCCCUGAGCUGCAAUGCUGACUGAAAUAUAUAGGAGGUGAGCAAUAGUUUCUGUAACUGGCAUGACCUUUGGCUUAAAAUCCUAAAUUCAAAUUUUCAUAAUUCUGUCCUAGUUAAAAAUGUUACCGAUGCUUAAAACUCUGUGCUAUCAAAGCACAGGCAAUCAUAUUUUUGCCGUGCCUUUUUUUUUUUAGUUUUGAAGAUGCCCUCUCAAGAUUACCAAUAACUAUUCUCUAUCCAUUAACUUGGACUGUCGUAAUCAUGUUUGAUGUGAAAAUGAAAACGGAAGGUUUCUAGAUGCUGUGCUCUGGCUAUCCUGUCCUGAAUUGCUGGUUAUUAAUUCCUCUAACCAGUACUUAUCUGUGAAAUCUGAGGAUAGUGACACAUUGGUUGUUAAUUGGACAUCAAUGCAGACAACUCAUGUUGCAGCUCAAUAUGGUCAGACAGCUUUUCUCUAUCACAUUGUCUCAAAAUGGAAUGCUGACCCCGAUGUUCCUGACUUUGAUGGAAGAAGCCCUUUACACUGGUAUAUAAGAACUACUUCCCUUUUAUUGUUGAAAAGGUUAUUUUUUUCUUGAAACACUUUUUUUUUCUAAAAAUAUUUCAAUGUUUUCUUGCUUGGGCUACACCAUUGUGGUUUGUUCGGUAUAAUGUAACAGCUUGCUUAGCCUUUGUUUUGAGAAUAUCAGCUUAUGCUUUUGGUUUUGUUGACAAAUAUCUGUGGGUCACAUGCUUAAAAUCAACAAUUUAGCUUUCAUAUUAAAUGUUAAGCCAGUCACAAUUCCUUUAUCGGUCAUUAUUUUGUUGUAUUAAAUAGCUCCUGUAACAAGAAUUACGUGCCAUAGUUUCCUUUUUAUCAGUAAUUGGUAGUGUUUUGAUUUUUUUGUUCAUUUGUUUCUUUCUUGGAGUAUUUUAGGGCUGCUUAUAAAGGUUUUGCUGAUUCUAUACGCCUUCUAUUGUUUCUGGAUUCUUAUAGAGGACGCCAAGAUAGAGAGGGUAAAUCAGCUUCCCAAAUGUUUGAACUUCCGUUUUGUCAACAUAUAAAUAAUUAGUGAAAUAUACAUGUGUUAAUCUGUAUGGAUAAGUGUUUCUAUUCCCUUAACAUUUUUCACUUAUACAUUAGGAUGCACUCCUCUCCAUUGGGCUGCUAUUAGGGGUAACUUGGAGGCAUGCACAGUGCUAGUACAGGCUGGAAAGAAGGAGGACUUGAUGGUGACUGAUAACACUGGCCUUACUCCAGCGCAGCUUGCUUCUGACAAAAAUCAUCGACAAGUUGCUUUUUUCCUUGUAUGUGUCUGCCAACAAAAAAUAAUUUAAAUUGGUUAGCAAUGUUACUUUUUUGAGGGAUUUAUUGUUUUUUCCAUAUGUUCUUAUGUGAGGCUCAAGUGCUUUUUGUGGCUGGUGAUUUGCCAUUGAAAUGAUGUCUUCAAGACUGAAUUAAAAUAAUAUUGCCACAAGCAAGAAAGGAUAACAAUAAAAGAAGUGUAUGCUAGAACUGUUGCAAGAGGCACCUGGAACUUGGGAAGUCACAAAGACAACAUAAUGGUAGGAUUCCACAGAAAAAAGGAAGCUUGUAUCUGGUCUUGUUGGUUUUGGAUGUUGUGUUGCAUCUAGUUAUAUGAAGUGUGCUAUCUCAAAGCGUUUUUUUCUUUUUGGAUCCCCCCCACAUUCACUUAUUUGGCUCUCAUAUCGGUAAAGCCCUUCCUCCCCAAUGUGAACUAUAGUUGCCAAAUGGUGUGUGGUUCUAGGUUGAUAGUUGCUUGAUUUGAUUCUAUAAUUGUAAAAACCCUUUUCUGACAGAAACCCUUCCAUCUCAAUAAAGGUCUUCAAUCUCAUUUGAAAGUCUAUAUGCAGAGUCUGGUGUUCCUUCUAGGUGUAUCCAUUUGUAUGGCCAUCCUAUCUCAAUGCAAACAUGCAAUAGACCUUCUCUCUUGGACUGGUCUAACUGUUUGCAAGCCAGCUGAGAUUCCUAUAGGAUCAUUAGUUCUCAGUUGAUGAAGGAGAACUGCAGGAGGAUCUUUCAAUGUAUAGAUGUUUGGAUGGAAACCUAAUCUACCUGAAUGUGACUAGACCUGAUAUGCAUAGCAUAUGCUUUUUCUCCCAUUUAAUUUUCAUUUUCCUUCCAGGUGUGGCUUGGUGUUCUGUUUGCAUUUGAAUCUUUAAUUUUCCUAAGAAUUUUGAAAAUGCUGAUGAGUUUUCUGAUUAUUUUCCCAAGUUUCCUAGUGUUCUAUUCUAAUUUGAAAGUCUCUGAAGUUUUUCUUCAAGUUAUAUUUUCUGAUAGAAUCCCAUUCUGCAGGGAAAUGCUAGAAGGUUGCUUGACAAACAAUGUGAUGGGAACAACCGCCUGGGACGCCUCUCAAAGUUGGGGCUUGCACCUGUGUUGUGGUUCAUAAUUAUACUUCUCCUGUUGAUCUAUGUUCAUUCUGUCAUCCUGGGUAUCCUCCAUUAUCUUUUUGAUACAAUGUAUUUUUAUUCCUAUCAUCAAGACUAUCUACAAUGUCACUUUCUUACAUUUUCAUUUGAUAACUUUGGGUGCAGCUUCAAAUCUGCCAAAGUUAACAGCUGGCUUUGGCCUUCUUGCCUGGCUUGCUGUUUUCCUGGCUACUGCUGGACUAGUUAUGUUUUAUAGAUGUAGCAGGUAUGCUCUAUUGUGCAUUUCUAGUGACUUGUUGAAUAGUUGAAUAAAUCCAUGCUAGAAGUGUGCUAUCACUUCUCUUUUUUGUUGCGAAAGAAAUCAUUAAUAAGUAGAGAAAUAUGUGAAGGAAGAGAUGUAGUUCCUAUAUGCAUUUGAGGCCUCCAUCAAUGGCUCAGGGGGUUUUGCUAUCAUGCAAUGCUCAAAUUCAGAUAUUUAUGGAGUGAGUGAUUUGAUAUAUUGAGAUACAGUAGGAGCAUUGUUUGUGAAUUGAUUAAAGGGACCAUUUAAAUUAUGAGCAAAUGGAAAAAUUUCUUUGCAUGUCUAGCCGUGACUGUUUGUGGAUUGUUCCGUGUGAUAUAAAUCAUGCAAUGCCUUUAAUUUGUUUUAUUGGAGCAGCAUUCUGAGACAGUUCUAUCCUGUUGAAAUUUAUGGUCAGAAUGUUUCAAUAGACACGGAACCCUUUGGAGUCUUAGCAGAUCUGCUUCGGUUGGCUAUUGUCAUGUUGGUCUGUUGUCAUAAAGACACUUGUGUCUGUUGAGAAAAAAAAAAUUUUUUCUUUCUUUUUAAUUUUUGGGAAUUUUGUAUAUUCUAUUUUACCUUUUCCUUUCCCAAGAUAUGGUAAUCACCUAAAGUUAACUUUUUAAUGUGUUUUUUUGGUACAUAAUUAAUGCUUCUCUCUUUGCAUAUUAAUCUCCAAUCGAUUACAUACUUGCAUCCACACCUGUGCAUAUAUUACAGUUGAUGAUAAAACAUCUGAUUCUUUUUUGUUCGUUCUACAAUGUGAAUCUUUUGUGUACAUGAAAAUUUAUGAUUUAACACCUUACUUGAACACUGUAAUCUCAAUUGAUUUUGGCUUUCUUUUUUCUCGGUGUUAUUUCUUUGCAGGAAGGAUCCAGGUUACAUUAGAAUGAAUGUGCAUGAUCCACAGAAUAUGAAAGAUGAUGUACAUUUCAUCCCUUAUACGUUAAGCAUGUUUAUAUUAUUACUAUUCAUGGCUCUUUGGAAUGUAGAAAGAUAGGUUUCUAAUCAGUUCUUUCAUUGAAGGCAUACAGGGUUUCUAUUUUCUUUCUUUUUGGCGCAGGCCCUGUAUAUUCUCUGAUUACUUUUGUAUCUAUAUUGUCCCUUUAUUCUAGGAGCCACUUUUGAAGAUUGAGAUAAACAACCCUGCUUUGCUAGCUGGGAAUUGGUCUCAGCUCUGUGCAACAUGCAAGGUACUGAUUUUUGUCAGCCUAUAUGUAUCUUGCUCGAUGAGUGUUUUGUCUACCUUUUUCUGAUUAAUGCUUGCUUAAUAUCAAUCCAAUUUCAUAUAAUAAUCAGAUUGUCAGACCUCUUCGUGCAAAGCACUGUUCCACAUGUGAUCGAUGUGUUGAACAAUUUGAUCAUCAUUGCCCUUGGGUAUCUAACUGCAUUGGCAAGGUGCGUAGAUACAGUUUGAUGCCUUUUCUUUCAAUUCAUAUUUCUACUUGGUAUUUUACUAGCAAGGAAAAUAUAGUUGACAUCUUGCAUUCGAAAUAGAAUUCAGUUGAUUGCCCUGGCAAUUUGUUUGAUAACAUUCAGCCAUAUAAAUUGACCUUUGACAGUUUAUAGUCCAUGUGACUGUUUGGAAUGCAUGUCCGAGUGACAGACUUAAAUAGAUUGGCUUAAUACUCACAUUUAGUUUAUAUAAUAUGACUUGAGAUUUCCUUAGUGGGACCAUGCCAUUUACAUUUUCAUGGUUUACCUUGCACAGAUGAUCAAAAUCACUAUUAUUUUUCAAUGUAUUUACCUGUGUAAAAUAAUGUGAUGUGCUUCUGAUGCAGAAAAACAAAUGGGAAUUCUUUGCAUUUCUUGUUCUAGAAGUUUCAGCAAUGUUGAUAACUGGUGCAGUGACUCUCACAAGUAUGUGAAUGAUUAGCCUUUCAGAUUCAAGCUAUUUCUAAACAUAUUUCUCGCUCUUUUUUUGGGUGGGGGUUUUCUGAUUGAGAAUAAUUGCUGUAUGUAGGAGUUCUGACCGAUCCAUUUGCUCCGUCUUCACUGGGAGCAUGGGUAAACCAUGCUGGCUCUCAUCAUAUUGGUGCUAUAUCAUUUCUGAUUAUGGACUUCUUCCUCUUCUUUGGCGUGGCAGUAUUAACUGUUGUACAAGCUUCUCAGGUAACUCCUGUAAACAUUUGCUAGUGCUGAAUAUCAGAGUCUGUUGGUGUUAGGUGAUCUGUUCUGUAGCAGCUGUUACUGAACAGUUGAAUUCAUGAACUUGAGUUGCGCGCUUAUAUUUUCACUUGACGUGCUGUUGUGAUGCAUUUUAUAGUUGUCUAUCUUUAGACUUUAUGGAGUGGUAAGUGUAGUUUCUUGCUAUUGCUGUGUGCUUGUCCGAAGAAAAAAAGUAUUUUCUUUGGAGUUCACUUAAUUUGCUAUUAUAUACCAAGCGAUGGUCUUAGAUAGGAUAGCAUGCGUUAACUAAGAUUUACACAGCAAGAGGAUAUUAUAUGGUGUAUUUGUAAUCCAACUUUACUUGUUGUGAAUGUUUUAUGUGUUGGCAAGCUGUGCUUUGCAAUUUAACUCUAGUGUUUCGGGCUGUCACUUUUAACAGUUUAGAUGAAUAGUUCUGAAUCAUUUUUUCUCCUGUCACAGAUAUCUCGCAAUAUAACAACCAAUGAAAUGGCAAAUGCACUGCGGUAUAGCUACCUUAGGGGCCCAGGGGGGCGCUUCAGAAACCCAUAUGAUCGUGGCUGUAAAAAGAAUUGCUCGGAUUUCUUGAUCAAUGGUUACAAUGAAGAUGUGGAUUAUAAUGAAGAUUCUCCGCAUUCUGAGGGGAUUGGAAUGAUGCACAUGUCAAGGAAUUCAAACUUGCAAAAUGGGGAUGCUCAUUCUCAUCACAUGAAUGGCAAUGGCCAUGUGGCUAUCAAUGUGAAUUCAGAAAAUAAAAUCCAUCAGGGUCAUGUCCAUUCUUCCCAUUGCAGCCAUGAUCACCAAGGGAAGCCAAGAACAGAUAGCGCACCCUUGGGUUUGGGUGGUCUUGGUCUUGGAAAAAGCAGUGCCCGAACAGUUGAAGCUUCAUGAUGGUGUGAUACUAGCUGAAAUUGAUAUGUUUUGUAUCAUAAACGCAUAUGAUUUACCAUUUGUAAUUUGAUUGAUUGCUGCUCUUUUUUGCCCCCCAAAGGUGUUCAAUUUUUGUACAAAUUUGGCCUCUUAAAUAUUUGUAGCGGCUGUUAGUGAGUGUCAGAUCUAGCAUGUAAUCCUCUUGAAAGUUAAAAGACUUGGGCACAGUACUACAGAGAGAGAACUAUUGCUCAAGGUACCUCACCAUGUAACUCGCUGUUUUUACAUAUUGUUAACCCUUAACAAUCAUGCAAGCCCCUGUCAAUGUUUUCAAUUUUUAUAUUGCAGAUCUUCAUUUUCCAGAGCUUUUUUGGGGUUUUAUCCUAUCCGAAAAGCAGCAGUUCUGUAUGUACCACUAGCCAUAUAAUUUUUGUUACCUCUUUGACUUCAUGUGGUUCCCCACAAACAGUCCCCAGUUGGUGAGUAAUUUGAGGCAUCCUAUUCCCAUGGAUUUAGUCAAAACUGUUGAUGAUAUUUUGAAAUAAGCUUGCCAGAUACUACUUUCUUGAAUUAUUUGGAAGCGAAGAGUUUCAAACUUGCACUCCAUUUUACUUCCAUCCAAGGCAAAUUAUUUGCAUUGGAUUGGAUGGACAGUGUUGCUGACACUUCUCAUCAAAACAAGGUGUUAUUUUCGGAUUAGUUUAUAUACAUGGAUUAAUUUAUAUACUCACUUUUUUAUUUUAUUAAAAAUGGACUAUUCAUAUUGAGGUUAAGCAAACGUGAAAUCCUUUUUAUGUGAUGAAAUCCAAUUCUUUAUUCAAUAUUUGUAGAUAACAUAGGUAUAUUUGAUAAUAUUUUUCAAUAAUAAAUUUUCAAAAUAUAAAAAUAAUUAGUCCUAUAAUAGGAGAGUAUGUAGUUGAAGGUAGGGCAGGAGUGUAUUUCGUUUAAGGUAGGUGAGGUGCAAUUAGCUAAAAAAAAAAAAAACUUUGAAAUAACUUUGUUUUUUUUCGCUUAAAAGAAAAGUAAGAAGUUUGAUUAUUCGACUUGAAUUAAAUCCUAAAGCAGCUAAUUAAUCCACCUAGACGGAGUUAAUUCCACCAAAGUCGAGUUAAGUCUUGCAAGGAACUUCCUAAUCAUUCAAUCCACCACCUGUGAGUUAAAAAUAACGAGAUUCCCGUCUAAUACAAGCAAUCAAUCAAGGCUUUUAUGGAAGUUGUCUCAUGUUUCUCAAGAAUAAUGAUGAAAGUGCAACCACUACUUUAAAAAUAAAUUCUUUGUCAAUGAAUCUGCCAUUGCUUCUCCUCCUCCCUUCAAAUAAAUGGAAAUUUAUACAGAGGAAAGAACAUUGCCGUCUAUCCCAUUAUGUUGCUCUCAUAAAAUACCCUUUCGUGCACUUAAGCUUGGUAUCAUUAGCGCACUUUUAUGAUUAAUUAUUUCAUAGUUAUCCCUAACUAAUAAAUUCUAUAAAAUACUCCUAUCCACAGCAUCCUUCCUCUCGUCGUCGUCUCCCGGCCAGCCGGCCCCACAGUUGAGUGUCUCAGGUGGAUAACAUAAAUAAAUCUAUGGGCGAAACAGUGGGCCGUGACUGCCCUCUUCGAAAAUAUCUCGAUACAUUUAUUAGCAUUGCCGUAGAGAUUAGUGAAAGUCACGGAUUCAAAGAUAAGAAUAGUCCCUCGAUUUUGCACUAAAUACUAACUCAGUUCAUGUUAUGAUAAUUCAACUUUUUACCUAUUAAUUGCUUACGUUGACUCGUUAACUGAGUUCUAGAUUUACUAAAGAAAUUCACCUACUAGAUAUACGAGAAUGGAGAUUUUUUGACGAGUGGAUUCAUGAAAAAAAUUGAUACUUGGUUUCCAUUCAGUUCAUUGAAAUUUUUGAGAUGUAAGUUGGAGUGAAAUACUCAAUUAAAUUAAAUAUGUGAUUUAUCUAAUGAUACAAUGAUUCAAAUUUUGUGCAUGUUUAAGAGGGUGUUUGGAAGUGUGGUAGCUGUUGCUUUUCAAAUAGUUUUUCAUGCCGAAAAGCAUGUCAAUAAUAUUUUUUUAUUUUUUAAAAAUUAUUUUUGAUAUCAGCACAUCAAAACGAUCUAGAAAAUACAAACCAUAUUAUCUUAAAUAAACGAGUCUAGAAUAGAGUUUACUAUCAAGUAUGUCUUCUUCAUCAUUUCUUAGAAGCACAAGUAUGCAAAGAAGGAGAAAAGAAGAGUAAACAUUAAUUAAAUACCAACCUUGUGUAUUUAUUCUUGAUCGAGUCUCAAAUAUAAUGAUUUAUCAAUUAAAUCUUUAAAUGCUUCCCGCAUUAAUGAAGGGUCUUUUUGUCAAUUUUUGCAAGCAUUUCUUAGAAUAUUAACAAAAGAACCUGAUUUGAAUAUUGUCUGGAAAGUGUGGGACGAAAUUGAUAAAAUUUAGUUUGGGACUAAAUUUAGAUUAAGUACAUAGGUCACGGACGAAAUUGAGGUUUCCAAAAAAAGUUAAAUGUAUAGUAGGGAUACGAGAUACGAUUUGUGUACGUACAGUACAGAAAAGAAGAAGGAAAAAGUUAAUAAUAAAAAUAAUUGCACUACCCAUUAUUUCUCUUCUCCCGCCGGAUAAAGCAGAAAGGACGCAAAGUGGGACCCAUCAAAGCCAAACACUUAUCACCUCAUCAACCACCAAUUUCCACGUGUCUUUCAUCGAACGGUUCCAGCCCCAGUUCCUUCACCCCUCACUCUAACUCUCCUCCCUACUGUUUUUUGCUUUCAGGUUCGGUGCUCUAUCUCUCUCUAAAAUCCUCUCUUUCCCUCUCCAAAGCUAGACCCUUUUAGUUCAGAAAAUCGGUUUUGUUAUUUGAUCACUUUCACUUGAUCACAUCAAAGUUUGGCUUUUCUAAGGUUGUUUCUUUCUACUAACUUUGAUGAUGUUUUGUUUCCUUAACUGUAACUUUGAUGAUCAUUAACUGAUAUUAAAGGGGCACGAUCAUGUAAAGUUUUGGUUUUUGUUGGUGUAAAUCUUGAUUUUGUAGCAUAAAUCUUUGUACUUUUCUUCAGAACGUGAUACAGUGAAGCGGGUUAUCAUUUGAUUGUGAUUGAAGUUGUGAUUUUUGUUGGAAAUGAAUAUUUACAUGUGCCCCCUUUUGUUGUUCUGGGAAGUUGGAUUGGUUUGAUUUUUUUGAAUUGAGAGAUGAGACUUGCUUAUUUAUAACGGAUGAUUUCUCUGUCAAUUCAUUUCAAGGUUGCCUGUGGAAUAAGAAAAAAAAUUAAGAAUUUUAUCUGUGAUCACCCUCUUUGCUUUUGGAAAUUGAAGUUGGCCCGUAUUUCUUAAUUUAUAAUGUUGUUUUGGCUUACUUUGAUUCCAGUUGUUUCUUAAAAGAGCUGAUGAUUUGUGUUUUGAGGUUCUGAAGUACGCGCAUGGCACGCCUACCUAGGAAAGCUGAACUUCUGGUGUUUUCUUAAGUUGAUACAAGGAAUUUUAUCUUUGUUGUUUUUAAUCCAUAAGGUUUCUUUGUCUCAACUGGGGAAAUGUUAAUAGUGCACUAGAGUUUGCAUUGUAUUCUAUAUGAACUAUAUGAUGGACCAACUUCAGUAGUGUUAUCAUGUUGUCACCCUAGAUUAUGGUAGAUGGUUAACUUUUAUAGCUUUCUUAUUUUCCUUGCUAUACUAGUCAAAGAAAUUCUAAUGUGAUACGUUUUUUUAACCAUACAGGAUAUAUUAGGCAUAUUGCCCUAUGCUUUGGCUUUGAAAUGGGAAACAACACCGAUCUUCUGCUUGUUUGAUGACAUCAAUAGAUAACCAGCGAGAUCAAAAGUCAAUGGGUGGAAUUUGUUCAAGGAAGAGAGACCAGCAGGUUUGUGAGGGUAGAGUACGAAGAGGGGUUUCUAGAAACUAUUGUAAAAGUUCAAGUUCAAAAUGGCUGGGGACCACAUUUUCUCGACCCAAUGCUGAUCUUCAGCCAGGAUGCAGUUUCCCAUCUCUCCUGGAAUCAUGCAUCUACAGAAUACGCGAGGUUACUUUAUUUCUUAGCCUUGUGUUGCCGUAGGAUUGUUCUUUUUGACAGUUCGCUCAAACUUUUAUUCUCGAUUGUAACAGGACAUCAGCAGAUAUAAAUCAUUUUCUAUGCUGCCAAGGGAUAUAAGUCAGCAAAUCUUUAAUGAAUUGGUAAUCUCACAUUGUCUUACAGCUGCUUCUCUUGAAGCUUUUAGAGACUGUGCUCUUCAGGUAAUUUCUCAAUGUAUUUCAAAUAGAAACACUUUUAUAUUGUUGAGCAUGGGCCAAUUAUCAGUUUUUCAUGCAGGAUGGAACUAAUUAGUUUGCCUUUUUUUGUUAACAGGAUGUCCUUUUGGGUGAAUAUCCUGGAGUUAUGGAUAGUUGGAUGGAUGUCAUCUCUUCACAGGGUUCAUCUUUGCUUUCUGUUGACCUUUCUGAUUCUGAUGUCACAGAUGCUGGGUUGGGUCUCCUCAAGGACUGUUCAAACCUCCAAGCAAUUGCUCUAAAUUAUUGCAACAACAUUUCUGACCAUGGUCUGAAACACUUAAGUGGUACAUCUCAAUCGACUCCCUUAUUUUAGCUAUGUUGGUGCAAAAUCUGAUUUCAUUCUUUUUAACUCUUAUUGCGAUAGUAAUAAUUGUUACAUGGGGCAUGGUUUGUUGCUAAGUUGAUGACUGUUUUUAUUUUCUGCCAUGUGCUUUAUGGAAAUAACCUUCUUAAUUAUACAUGCUGCCAUAACCCAAGUCUGUGUGUGUAAAAUCAAUGUGUUGCAGAUUCUAUGUUCUGGGUAAAUUUAACCUGCUAUGUUAUAUGAAAUAUAGUAGUGGUUACUUUCAAAUAUAAAGCUGAUUCUUUAGCACAAUUGGACCACCAAAGAUUAAUGGAAUGAUCUUUUUAUGUUUAGGGUUUACAUUAACCAUAUGAAGUUGAAAUUUGGAGUUCAAAGGAAGAUGCUUAUUUUGUUUGGAAAAUUUAAUAGGUCAAGUCAUUUAUAGUUGUUGUUUUUAAUCUGUUUAAUUUUGAUUAGUAAUUGACGAUCUGCAUGCAUUCAUUCUUAGUGAAACCAUGCUGAAUGUUAUGAGGAUAACAAAAUCGUGUCUCUGGUAAAAAAUGUCGAGUAAGUUAUCUUGCAAUGCUGCAUGUUGCUUUGGUUGGUCAUGAGUUGACGGUACUUAUUUUGCAUAGCAUUCAAUGGAAAAGGUCAACUUCCCAAGAAAGAUUUAAUAUGCACUCGGAAAUAAGUCAUACUUGGAGGAAUUUUUGGAGCAUUUUGAAGAGAUCUGUUUGUUUAUUUAUUUAUAAUAGAUCUCACAGAUUUUAUUUUGCCAUGUGCCCAUCUAGAAAAAAAUGGCUCAAGUAAGCUCUGAGCUGCAAUUGGUAUGAUCUGAAAAAAAAAAAAAAAUUGACUAUCUGAAUGUUACUUGCCUAAUGUGCCAUUUGUAGCAUGUGUAGCACGUGAACAGAUGUUUUCCAAUUUGAUGUCUGAAAUUGAUGGCUGUUCUCUAUACCAUUCACCAUAUUGUUUAAAUUUUUCUCUUGCAUGUCCAAGUAAUUACCUAUUUAAUAAUCAUUCUGGCACUCCACUAAUAAACACCAAUCAUUUGCUGGGUAUUCUUAAGGUCUUACAAAUGUUACAUCCUUGAGUUUGAAAAAGAGCUGCUCUGUAACUGCUGAAGGAAUGCGUGCCUUUUCUACCUUACUCAACUUGGAAAAUUUAGAUAUGGAGAGGUGUUCUGGGAUUCAUGGUGGACUAGUUCAUCUUAAAGGUUUGUCUUUUUGUUUGAUAAAUGCUUCAGGUUUCUUUGGUGUAUUCUUCAGAGAACGUUGCAAUUUUGCUUUAAAUUGCAUGCUUCCUAGAGGUGUGAACAGAGUAGUUCAGCCUACUUAUGACUUCAUAGAGUUUCAAUGUUAGCCUUUAUGCCUAGCACUUCUAUAUCCUACACGUGGGAUUUGGUUGCAAAUCAGCUGAUCUGGCUCUCACUCUUCAAUGCUGCUUUUUUUCUUUUCUUUUCACAGGAUUAAAAAAACUUGAGUCCCUUAAUAUCAGUUGUUGUAAGUGCAUCACAGAUAUGGACGUGAAGGCUAUAUCAGGUACUUGUUUAUUUACUUUCUUGUUUAAUUUUGCCUGUAGGGGUACCUUUAUAUGUCUGUUUUUGUGAACAUGCUUAUCUUUCCAAAUACCUGUUUCUUUGACUGUAAUUUGAGGGUACUUGAAUUGAAUGACUCGUGAAUGCACUGUUUGCCAUCCUUGGCUGGCAGGAAUACCAAUGGCCCAGCUUCAGUUUUUAGCACUAAAGAUGGGAUUGUUAAAGAGUAUUAAAAAAGUAGGUCUUCAUUGACCACAUUUAAGAUAAAAAAGAAAAAGAAAAAGAAAAGAAAGAAAGGAUGCAGGCUUAAGAAUGUUUACUGGAUGAUGAUCAAAAUUUGUUGUGAUUUCCUUUUCCAGAUUUUGGUUGAUAUCUAAAGUCUCAUUUUUCUCAUGUUCCAGGUCUUACUAACUUGAAGGAGUUACAGAUUUCUAAUAGUAAUGUUACUGACGUUGGAGUCUCUUAUUUAAGAGGUACUUUGCUUCUCAGUUUUCUUCUAAUAACAUGGCUGCUUUGCUUCUCGUGGUCCAUUUGCUUUGUUCAAUUGUAAACAAUUUUCAUAAGAGAUACGGGCAGUAUAAAUUGCAGAAGUGCGUAGCACAAGAAAAAACAGAAAGCCACUAACAAAUAGCUGUUUUUAAUGGUACAUUUCCAGAGUCAGAGAAAAUCGCAGAGCCUAUUUUUGACCUCUUAGUUCAUAUGCUUUGGAAGAGAUUCAAAUAUAUUAAUACUUAGACGCAAUCUUUAGACUAGAUUGAGCUUGAGAUAUCACCAUACCAACUUAUAUUGCAAACACCGUAACUGACUAUAGGAACACCUGUGGUGCGCAUGUAAACAAUUCCAGAUAUCAGGUUCCACUGAGUUCUCAAUACAAAAAAGAAAGAAAGAGGUUCCACUAUGUUUCUUUUCUGUUCUUUUUCAUAAACAAAGAUUUACUAUUUUUCCCAAAGGGAUGCAAUCCAUAUACCCCACAUGGUGUUGCAUAAUGCGGAAUGAUAUUUUUAUGAUCUGUGAAAUGUGAAAGGGGAAUGUGGCUUGACAUCUGCUUAUACCAGUGAAUUUUCUCCCAUCUCCCCCAUCUCACCCCCAUGCCCCAAAUUUUAUGAUUAUAUAGUUGCUUUGCUUUUAAGGUUGGAUGGCUAUUAACAAAGGGUGAUCACCUAAAGGCCUUUCCAUAUAUGAAAUUUUAUUGUAUGGACUAUUUCUUCAGCUAGUAUCUGUUAUUACUAAAUUAAAUUGCUUUGGCUCCCAAAUAUCUGAAAUGGUCUACAAUGAUCCCACUAAUCUGGCAAACGUGUGCCUUUUUAGCUAAUGGUCAUUGCACACUGUUUCCAAUGUUUAGGGUAGAUAUGUAACAACAUUUGUUUGUUAUUGGCAGGCUUGCAGAAGCUUAUUUUGUUGAACUUGGAGGGGUGCAAUAUUACCACUGCAUGUUUAGAUUCCAUUUCAGGUUUACUCAUUGUUUAGUUAUUGGGUUUUCAACCAAUACUUAAUAUAUUGCUGCUUACUAAUGGGAAAUCAAGUAGGUGUUUCUCUGAACUUGUCUUUGCAGCUCUUGCAACCCUUGGCUACUUGAAUUUAAACAGAUGUCAUCUACCUGAUGAUGGAUGUGAUAAGUUCUCUGGUGAGUGAAUUAAGUUUACUUGUGACCUUACUAUGUCCUUCAUAAGUUUAGUGGAGCAUAUUUAUUUAAUCUUGAUUUUACGGCAUAAACAUGUACAGGAUUGAAAAACUUGAAGGUGUUGAGCUUGGCAUUCAACGAUGUAACAGAUGCAUGUUUGGUGCAUCUAAAAGGUUUGCAAUGCCUCCCUCCCUCCCUCCCUCUCCCCUCACAGAAGAUACAGUGAAUCUCUUUAUAGUUGUACAUUUCUUUGAUGUUGUCUCUUAAGAUUUAUAUGAUUUCAUUUAUUCAUGGUCAUACAACAGACCAAUUAUGUUUCAGUCACCUAUUUUUUCUUUGUUCUUGCUCUUUCUCCCAUAAAAUGAUGGUUCUUGCACUUAUCAUCUUCUCUGAUUUCACUUCUAUCAAGGCUUGAAAAAUUUGGAGAGCUUGAACUUGGAUUCUUGUAGGAUUGGUGAUGAAGGCAUUGCUAAUUUGGCAGGUAUGCUGUUCUAUCUUGAAUAUUUUGGCUGCUUAAUAAUGUCAGCGGGUGUGCCACCUUUCCACGGUGACUCUUGCUACCCAGGGCAAAAGAAACUCCUGAUGAGAUAAAAGAGCAUCUGUUUUAACCAGCUAUCCUGCAUUUGGCCUUCUCAAGCAUUUUCUUAUUAUGAAUGCUAAGUUACUUCUUUGUUUGGUUGUCAUGUCGUUCUAGGAUUAGUUUCAAUUCUGGACUGCUUGUCUGUGCAUUACAGGAAGUUAUGACCUAGAUAGUGCAGAGUAGAUUUAUUAACUUUCUAUAGCACAUUGGAUUUAUAGACUGAAAAAACUAGGGGGUUUUAAAUUGAUAUGUAAUAAAAUCAACUGUUACUUUGAUUACCCCCCCCCCCUCUCCCCUUUCUGGGGGGAGGGGGGUACUCAUUUUAAUUGAAUCUGUGAGAUCAGAUAUCAUUCUGUUUCUAGAACUCUAUUCUGUGAAUGGGAAAGUUAAAACUGUUUCCUGACUAGCAAAAGUUAGGUAGUUCCUAGCUCCUGUAACUGACAGUCCAUGGAAUGAAAUUCCUUGCUAGCAUUGGUUGAAAUCUAUGAGAGUAUGCCUAGCAACCAGGUAAUUCAUCUCCAUUUGAACAGGGAAUAAAAAAGAUUUUUAUAGGCUGCCCUAAUUAGCUUAGGAUCAGGGCUUACAUCAGAUGAGGAUUUGUAGUUCAAGAUACUUUGCUGUAAGAUGUGCACAGAUCCCUGGAAACUCAAUUCAUGAGGAGCAGAGAUAGCAUCCUCGUUAGAUCUCACAAAUUUUGAAAUCUUUGUAUAUCUUUUGGUAGUUAGAGAGGAAAAAGAACCCAGGGUUACAUAAACCAUUUUGUUUUAUGUUAUUUCAGAUGGUCAUAGCUUUGUUCUUGGUGUCUAAUAGCUGUCGGUGCUGCUUUCCCCAUUCAAGAAUCUCCAUCUGCUCUAAGGGUGUUUAUAACCAUGCAUCUUGAUAACUGAGAGCUUGUACUAGUUGUAUUUUGGAAAAUAUAGAAUAUGCUGGCUACUUUCUAAAGCAAUUACUCAGCUUAUUGCUGAUGUUCCAAAGGAACCAUUCAUUGUUCAUUGUUGUGUAGCAAUGGCAACUACAUGCAACUAGUGCUGUGUUUUUAUUGGCUCUUUAAUUUGUGAGCUUGUUGCAUUUCUGGGAAAAGAAUUUGUCGCGACAAUGGUGCUCAAAUGAUUUUUGAUUGAGGGGCAAACAGGUCUAUGCUGUACUUGUGUUAAAGCAUGCUUCUGAUAUCUGCUGGGUUCUCUCUUCAGGCCUUCCACUUAAAAGUUUGGAGUUGUCUGAUACUAUAGUUGGAAGUAGCGGGCUGCGGCAUCUUUCUGGUUCGGAUUCUAUCCACUUACUAUCGAUCAUUUGUCUUGUGUGGCUCAUGAUACUUCGUCCCAUUCUGGUUUUAGCUGCAGAAUAUUCUGGAACUUCAAUUCCACCUUUUUUCUCUCUCCAGAACCAUUUCUUCCUUUUCUUAAUUCUCUUUUGGUGCUUGCAUCUCACCAUGAUUAAUUCUCCCUUGCAUGUUAUUUGUUUCUCUAACUUUCAAGAGAUUUUAAUGACUAGAUGAUUGUGGUUUACAGUGCUUUCAAAGAGAAUAUAAUCUAGUUUUUUAUUAGGUCUUGAAUUGAAAAUAUAGAUGAAGUGGGGAGUUGAAAAGCAUGCUCAUGUGUAAUGCAUAUGCAUGUUUACGCUGCUUUAUAUUUUAGAUGUCCACUUAUUUGACAAAAAAAACUUAAGCUUACCUUGCUUGAAGAUUCCGUGCUUGGAACAUAUGAUACACCAUGGCUAUAUUUGAAAGUGUCAUUUAUUGGCAUGGUUGGUAGUGUAUGAAGCUGAGUGCAGGUCCAUAUUCAAGAGCACUGGAAUAUUUCUACAGACCAUCUUUGUUUCUCCUUUUUUAUUCUUUUUUUUUUUAAUCUUUUCUCCUUUCAGUUGGAUUCCGAAGAUUCACUCGCUGGUACUCAUGCUUUGUUAAUUCUGUUGAGGCAUUGAAAACGGGACCCUAAAUUCAUUUGUAGUUUUUUCACAUAAAAAUGUUUAGAAAAAUGUGGGCUAGCUGAAACACUAGAAAAGCAAAUGCACGUUUAGCAUUAAAUUUGCUUGUUUGGUGAUCCUUCCUUUAGUAGGCUUAUUUAAUUAUCCCUUUCUUAUGUUAGGAUUUGAUUUUGGAGAUGAAAUUGAUGGGGGUUUGUUGCAUUAACCAUUAUUUGUGUUCUGUCUGAUGUGAAUACAGCUUUUUACCCCAUGCAUCUCUCUGUGUAUUUAUCAAAUGGAAGGGCUGUCUUACAAUUUUGUCCCAUUGUUUUAGGAAUAACUCAUCUGGAGAACUUAAAUCUAUCAUUCACCUUAGUAACAGACGGUGGUUUAAGGAAGUUAUCUGGACUGACAUCUCUUAGAUCACUCAACUUGGAUGCUCGCCAAAUUACAGAUGCUGGACUUACAGCUCUUACGAGUAAGCAUUAACCCACAUCUGAUUUGCCUAUGAAUAUGAAUGCAAGUAUUCGGUUAUGCAACAAUUAGAAACCUUAUGGUAUUCUUGUUCUGAGUCAUGUUUUGUUGAAAUAAUGUGGUUCUCGUGUCUUUGAGUUAAUGCAUUUGUAGAUUUCAGCAUUUGGUGGAGUUAAUGCCGGGAACCACCAAAACAAUGGAUAAGCGAACUUAAUUACAUUUAUGAGCUCUUUCACAGUGUUAUUGGGAUAAAUCUGUUGGAAGCUUAAACUCGGAUGAGAAACUAGGAAUUCGGAAAUGAAGAUUUUUUAUUUUUUUUGAGGUUACCUUCGAAUUUGAAGCAUAAGUUUCCAAAUAGUAAACUGAUGCAAAAUACUGAAAAAAACCCUAAUCUAGAAACCACAGAAAGAGAGAACUUUGAAUCCAGAAGACAAGUCUUCAAAAUCAUACAGGAUAAUCUUCCAUUUCUCUGUUUAAUCAUGUUUUGCCCUUGCUAAUGCUUUUGUUGAUGCAGGUCUGACUGGAUUGACACGUCUGGAUCUUUUUGGUGCUCGCAUUACAGAUUCUGGAACAAACUGUUUGAAAUGUAUGGAUAUACUUUAUCAUUGCAUAAGUUGUUUCAAUCCCAAGUUGCUUCCCUUUGUGCUAUUGAAAUUUGUGGAUACAAGUAAUUUGACUCCAGACUGUCCACAAUCAUUUUUUUGGCAUAAAAUUCCAAACUUCACCAGGAGUAUUUUCGUGCUCUGAUUCUGCCAAAUGUUCUUACUCGAAAUAUUUUUAUGCCAAGCAGACUUCAAAAAUCUCAAAUCACUUGAAAUCUGUGGUGGAGGACUAACUGAUGCUGGGGUGAAGAAUAUCAAAGAUCUUGUACACCUGACAGUUCUGAACCUGUCACAGAAUACCAAUCUGACAGACAAGACCUUGGAGUUGAUUUCUGGUAUCAUCUGUUUUUUUUUGCUCAUAAGUUUAUUCUUUACUGCAUAGCACCUGGCAAAUAAAAUCAUGUCAUUAUAGAUGAUGCACAAGGAUACGUGUGCUUGUAGAGUUUGGUUUUGUCAUGUUUCUUUGUUUUGAUAGUAUGAUGAAAGUAUGAGACAACUUGUGCCAUGUUUCUUGUUAUUUGCACUCAAUUGAGAAAUUGGAUUUGACUAAAAUUUCUUUCUCAUCUGACACUUGUUCACUAUCUUCCUUGUGAACACAGGGUUGACAGAAUUGGUAUCACUGAAUGUUUCAAAUUCUCUCAUAACCAACGAAGGAUUAUGCUAUUUGAAGCCUUUGAAGAAUUUACGUGCAUUAUCUUUGGAAUCCUGCAAGGUAACUGCAUCUGAAAUCAAGAAGCUUCAGUCAACUGAACUCCCUAAUCUGGCAAGCUUUCGGCCAGAAUAGCGAGAGCCUGGUUAUGUAACACCAUGUAUAUAGACUGUUAUCAACCUGAUAGCAUUGUGUACAGUUUAAUUGUUGUAUAAAGUAGGCCGGUAAGAAAUAGAAAAUUGUUGGACCGGCAAUGGGCAUUGGGGGCGGAACUUGCAAUGCAUUUGCAGAAAGCUGAAGUUACAUGUAAAUAUUGCUUGCUGGCUGCUACAGAAUGAAUCUGUAUAUAAGUUGUCUAUGUUGGCUGCGAACAACUACUAUCUGCCCUGCUUUGGAAACUCCAUUUUGCAGUGUGCAAGUCCCAGUUAAUGGUAUUAAUUAACCGUGCUGGAAAUAAUAUAAUGUUUACUUUUGGAAUUAUUCUUGCCAUUUUUUUUGGUGCCCAUCCAACGGCGGUGUGCUUAACAGUAGAACGAUUAUUUUUCUUUUCGUGGUUCCAGAUAUUUUUCUGAUUUAUCAUGCAGGAAUUGUGGAUGUGCUUGCUGUUCUUUCCCCGUCCAUCCCAUUUGGUGGAAGAUAGAUUCUCAAAAUCGUGAUUAAGAAAAUAGGAUAUCCAACGCCACACCUUAAGGCUUCUCCAAAUUUGUACUAUUAAAUGCACCGCGCAUGGGGUGGCCUAAUUUGUUUUCACAUCCAACUCCGUAUCGGUUAGAUCUUCGGUUGUCUUUUCCGUAUCGUGAGUACUUGGAUUUUCACAAUCUUGUACCGGUAGUGUUAGUUUCAAUCGGGAUCGGUUCUCUGGGUGAUAUGUAGGGGUUUGAGUUGGACAUAAUUUUGGAUGUGGCGGUACACCUAACUAGCCGGUUCUUAACGAGAUGUUAUGGAGCAGCUAGUCUUCUUGCCUUGGUUAAAACUGUGGUUCAUACUGCAACUUACCCCUGUAGAAGUCUCGUCGGAGCAACAGUCUCACCUGACCUAACCACUGGCCAUCACCAAAGAGGCCCGCUAAAGGAUCUGUAAGAUAAGAAUUUUGGCGUUGCAAUAAGAAAUUAUUGCACCGAAUCUGCCUCUUAUGAGUUACACGCCAUGAGUGAAUCUGUCAUCAUUUUACAAUGGGUUCCACCUAGUUUACACGAAUGGGUGCUUUAUGCUAAUGUGGGGUUAUCUAAUAUUUCAUCUGAACAAGACACCAUCUUAGAUUCUUCAGAUACACUGUACCAAGGAUGUCACCUUUUUGACCUAGUUAAUGCUGUCCUGUGGUUUCCACUGGACUGGAUUUACUUACGUUUCCAGCCAACAAGUGUUUCAUGGAUUAGAAUAAUAGGAGCUCCAAGUUUUGCUCACAUGUUAUGAUCUUAGUGAGUUCUGAUGGUCUAUAUAAUUAUGAUCAAGUUAAAUCCAACUAGAGAUGCCAUAUUCUACAUGAUGUAGUCGUGAAAUGCUUCAGAAUGAAUUUGGGCUUUCCAAUGCUAUGACUUUAGGAUCAUUCGUGACUUUUUUUUGCGAAACAAGUAUCUUACAGAUAUAUGUACACUUCAAUGCUCAAACUAGUAAAAUAUUGGAGGAAAAAAAAUAAUAUGCUAAAACAUAAAUGAAAUUAUAAUGAGUGUACCUAUAUGUUGUGUUUUUACUUUAUUGAAUGACUUAUAGUUCUUGGAAUUGGUGAAUACUAGAUGAAAGUUUUAAGAAUUGUUGAAUGGUUAAUUGUGAUGCAUGAGAUUGCUGGGCUUAAUGACCAGGUGUAUUUAUACACCUAGUCCUUGAACUUAGCGGAGAAGAAAAACAAUUUUCUAAAAAGCUAGUUUGUGCCAAGCUUGUCAUUUGUCAAAAUAUUGGUGGCAAUAUUUUUCUAAAUGUUGUGUCAUGCAUACAUUGGUAGAGAUGUUGGUAAGUGACAGUGUUAGAAAAUAACCACUAGCAUAGAAAAAACAAUGCUUAUACAUCAUAGAAAUGUAUUGCAUGCAUAAAAAAAAUGUGUUGCAUAUUCCGAGAACUUAAAUAAAGCAUAAAGGUGUGUGCCAGGCAAGGAUAGUUGGCUUGGUAAGUGAUGAAAAGGAGAAGAAGGGAGGGGGGGGCUCCUACCUUUGGGGCUUGUACCAAUGGUUGAGUUUUUGUUUUUUUGUUUUUUUUUUAAGUAUGCACAAUCAUUUUCUCCCUAGUCUUUUAAACAAUUAUAUUCGAUAGACUUAACCAAUAAAAAAAUAGGAGUAAAGAAAAUACUUGUUGUAUAAAUAUUAACUUUUGUGGCUUUUGUUAACAUGUUCGCAUGAUAAUUCUUUGUAAUUUUUAACAUUUCUAUAAAAGAGAGUUUACUUGUAGAAGAGAUGAGGGUUUGAUAAUUUUGUUUUUUUUUUUCUGCUCAUAGCAUAUAAUAUUAUUAUUUAGAAAAUAAAUAAUGCUUUAAUAUUAUGUUAAACCAUUGUGCAAGGAGACGUAAUAUAGGGGUGCAAAGAUUUCAAUGAAGAUCUUGCCGUGGAGGUUUUUGUUAGAGACAUUUGAAACAAGUUUGAAGACAUAAAUAAUUUGUUUGGAGACUUGAAGAUCUCGAUGAAGAUCUAGUUGUGGAGAUUUUCGUUGUAGAUGUUGUAACCCAUUUUUGGGUCUUCACCUAAAAAAUUCAAAAAAAAUUCAAAAACAUAUAUUAUCAAAAAAUAUAACAGUGAAAAAAAAAAUGCCAGAACGCCUUAAAAAUGUUCAAAAAUUGAUUGAGGAUGUUCAAAAAAAUAAAAAUAAAAAUUUGACAGUAUAUCAUUGACUGAUGCGAGCCCCGAUGAUAAAGAAAAUUCAAUUUGAGGAAGAAAAAUGCAAAAUUAGAAGUUUAUGGACUCAAUUAAAUUUUAUUGAAGGUUUAAUUGAAUUUAUAGAGGUUUUAAUUGCAAAAACAAUUGAUUUUGGAGUUAUUUUGGGCUUUAAUUGGAAGAAAUUAAUUUUCUAGGGUCAAAUUAUAAUUUUUGAAAGUUAAUUUGGUCAAGUCAGUGGCUUAAUUGCAUAAAUAUUGAAGUUUAAUGGCCAAUUAGGGACUAACUUGAAGACAUCCGAGACCAAGGACGAAAUUGUAAAACGCGCGCAAAUUGAGGGCCUUCUUUGAAAUCUGACGCGUUUGGCGCCUUUUUCUUUUAAAUGAAACGGCGCGUUUUGACCAAAACGGCGCCGUUUCAUUCACUGUUGCAAAAAAAAAAAAAAAAAAAAAGCCCAAAACGGUGCCGUUUUGACGGCACUGUAGGUCUUCUUCUUCCCCUGGACGCGCGAGGCAGGGGAAGAAGAAGAUUUUUCUUCUCUCUUUUCGCCUAACUUCUUUCCCUGUUUUUACGCAAUAAGACGCCCACUUGCCUCCUUUUUAUCCGUUGAACGGAUAGUGGAGGGGCGGCCAACAGUGGCCGCCCCACCACACCACAAUUGUCCCCCCUGUUUUUGCCUAUAAAAACAGGGGAGGACCGAAGAAAAAAGAAAGAAAAAAAAAAGAGGGGGAGAAGGAGAAGGAGAAGGAGAAGGAGAAGGAUUGCACGACAUAAAGAGCGUAGAGAGAGACGAGAGAAACAAAAAGAAAAAGAAGAAAGAGAAUCGGCAGAGAAGAGAACAAAAACAGAGGAGAGAGAGAGAAGGAAAACCACCGGCCACCGUGCCUCCGUCGCCAGCAGCACCGCCUCGACGCCACCGCAGGUACGCCAUCUCGUUGCCCCGCCUCUGCCACGCUUUGUUUAUGAUCUGCUGCACCUUCAUGCAGAACGUGAAUUAAUUCACGUUCUGCAAAUAACCCGUUUGGGCCUGGGCUGGGCCGUCGGCCCAGCCCAUGUAAAUAGGCUUGGUCGGCUCGGCCCAUGCAUUUGGGUCGGGUCUGGCCCAUUUUUUAUUUUUUAUUUUUUAUUUUUUUUUGUUAUAAUUUAUAUAUAUAUAUAUAUAUUUUUUUUAAAAGCACAUUUUCUUCUAUCAUUUUGCUUAAUAUCGUUUGUAUUUUACAUUUUAAAAAUAUAAAUCCGGUAUUAAAAUACCCCGUUUUCGUCAUGAGUGAAUCUUUUAAUAUCCGGGGUAUGACAUUAUACGUAAUACAUAUUCCGGAUAUUUAAUUUAAUUUUUUUUAAUAGAACUUGGGAUAUGACAUUACAUGUAAUGCGUAUUCCGAAUAAUAAUAUUAAAAACCACAAACAUGACCUUAGAUGUUAUCAGACAUUAAAACAAUGCAGCCUACCUUAGGUAGGGCGUAGUUGGGGUGCUAAUACCUUCCCUUUACGCAACCAGUCUCCGUACCCGAUCUCUAAAGAACAGUUAAGGUUCCUAGUAACCAUAAUACUAGGUGGUGACUCCCAGUCCAUUUUUUUUUCACAUAUAGAGACAAGAAUUCCUUGUCUCUCCUUAUUUUCCAGGAAUAAAUAUUCCGAUUUUUCCUUGAGGGUGGACGAUCGUCGCGCCGCCGCACACGUGCGACAAUAGACAUGGGAAAACACUACUGCUUUUAUUAAAAAAAAUCAAAAUAUAGUGGAUGUAUAAUUUCUAAAAAUUAUUUAAUCUCAAGUAAUGUAUCAUGUGGAUUUUUCCCUGUUUGUUCAUGUUAAAAUUCCUUCUUCACAAAUUGUUAAAAGUAUCCCUUGGAGAUUAAUCUUUCAAUCUUCUUUUUUAGGACAUAACAUUCCUUAGUAUCAUGGCUAUAGUCAUGGUGCAAGUGAUAGAACUAUUAAAGUUCUUUAUGUUUGUGUCAUUCUUUAUUGGAGGUGGGUAUGACAAAAAAUUCUUUCUCUGAAUGGAAAUAAACACCUUAACACAUGUAGUUGUGAAAAGUUGGGUCAAAAGCUUAGGAGAUGUCAAGUGACUACGAAAAGGUCUCUUAGUGCUUCUUUUGAAUGCCCUAAUAGGAAAUCAAUGGUGGUGUGAAGUUUUCUUUUUUCUAGAAACGAGGGUGUCCAUGUCUGAUCACACUUUUCUUUCUUACUCGAAUAUAGUUCUUCAUUGCACAUUUUAAGUUAAGGAGAGUCAUGUUAAGGAGAGUAUAUAAGCGUUCUCAUAAAUAUUAGUUAUGAACUCCAUUGAUUAGGGCUUCAACAAUAACGAGUUCAAGUGUGUCUUCAACAUUUAGUGUUUUCACAUCAAAUAUCUUAAGAUAUGCUUUAGUGUUUUCAUUUUCUCCUUAACGAUGACAAAUAGCUCAAUUAUGUUUUUUUUAGUUGAAAUACUAGUUUUGAAAUAAGUGAUGAGCUUAAUGUAAAGAUUAUGAUGGUCAAGGAUGAAGCUAGGAUCGAGAAGAUUUAUGAAAUGUCAUUGGAAGAGUUUUGCAUAUAGCAUCACUUUUUUACAUUACAAGAUUUAGGAUGUUUUUGACAUUUUAUAUGAGCUCUCUAAGAUCUAUAAGAUCAUCAAGUUAUUUAAGUUGGCUUCAUGGAAACACGAUAUUUUGAGAGAUGAGUAACACUCGAUAACAUAGUAAAGAGUUUUCCACUUGGUGGUGGUGAUGUUUAUUAGUUUAUUUAGUUAUUAAUCUCAUCUUGCGUCUAGAUUUUUUUUCGAACAAGGAGCAUGCGAGCGAAAUUCAGAAGAAGAUUGAUAUCGAUAACCAAGCUUGUGGCUAGGGUAUAUUGAGGAGUGCUUUUUAUAGCGACAACGACUCAUUUGUAGAGUUAGAUUAUCGUGCCUAAUUUGCAUGUUGUUUUAUAGUUCCUUGUUAGAUAUGGAGUUGUCUUUAUGCAAUUGAUGUAUGUAAUGAAGCCAUAUGUUGUAUUUCAUGUUGAUGGAAUGAAAGAAUGUGAAUCUCUCCUUAUAUAGAACAACAUUAUAUAACACUUGCGCUUGAUUAGAGAAUUGAUAAGAGGAUUUGAAGGGGUUCUUGUAGUGGGGAGAUUGAUUAUUCUUCCUUGUCUAGAGUUUCUUCAGCCAUGAAAUUUUUUUUUAGUAAAGCUAGUUUUUUUUUAAGAUCCCUAAAGACGAUAUCAUUGAUUAAGUUGUGAAAUACUUUGACUGGAUUUAAGCUUUCUAGGAUUGUGAUUUUAGGUUGGUCUGUGAGUUUUUUAAUAAAAAAAUUCCCACGUGGACAUAUAGGACAUCGACACUUAAAUCAGUAAAGUAUAAAAAAAGAAAAUAAUAUAAUAGAAAAUAAAUGAAACUAUAGGGAGUAUAUUUGUAAGUUGUCUGUUUCUAUUUAUGAUUUUGUUGAAUGAUUGCUUGUAAUUUUAAAAAUUACUAGGUGAUUGAUGAUGAUUAUAGAAAUUGAUGGGUGGUUAAUAAAAGUUUUAAUAAUCGUUGAAUAUUUAAUGAUGACGUAAGAAAUUGUUCUGCCUGAUUUAUACCCUGUUCAUGAACUUCCCUCGUGGUUAAGAUGGAGGUAACUUUUUUUAUAAGAAGUUGUGCCUAGCAUGCAUUGGUGGAGAUGCAUUGUACGCAUAAAAGAGAUUGUGUUGCAUAGUUCUAGGAAUAAAAAAUAAAAACAUAGAGAUGUGUGUGUAGGGCAGGAAUAGCCUGGCUUGGUAAGUAAAGAAAAAAAGACAGGGAAAGAAUGGAGGGAAAAACUUCAGCCAUCUAGGCUAGCCCAAAUGGCUUUUAAAAUAAAUUUUAAGAAUCCGUACACCAUCACCACACAAAUGCACUAGCUGCAAUGAGCAAAAAACAGUUCAUGCACAUGAAGCAAGGAAUGAUUUUCUUUUUAUCAAGAAAAAGAAUAGAUGAACGAUUUUCUUCCAAACAAGGUGUGUAAGAAAACAUAGUAAUUGACAGUAAACUCAAUCGAGUUCAAAAGCAGACUUGUUUCCUUGAAAACUAUCUAGGCAUGACAGUUGACAGUUACAAAAGCUAAAUCAAACCCACGAUUAUAAACCAAUGGGGCAAACAAGCAAUGCAUUAUUGCUGGCUCCUUGACAAAUGAAUAGCAAAUACCAUCUCCUGUUGACUGUCGGUAUAACAAUUGAGUCUAGGCAGAGAUUAAGAAAAAGAAGAGAAAUCCCCGCAGCUUUAUCUUGUCCCCGCCAGGGUAAACAAAUGGCAGUACCGGUUUCUGAUAAUAUUAUGCAACGCAUUUCCAGUGCUACAAAUACAUCUCUGAUGUUUCUAAAAACACAAGGCUGAAACUGAACUUUAAGGGGAGGAUACCUGCAGAACAUGCAACCAAGGUUAUUUUGGAGCAAAAAAAGGCAUUUAACUUCAGAUGGAAACAGAGAAAUAAAUUCAUUAAGAAAGAUUAAAAUAUGAUGCGAGAAGCAUGCAUUAAUAAGGUGACAGAGACGAUGCAAAGCCUAUCACUGGUCUGAACAGUGUUCAUAACAUGAUGAUGUGAAACAAGAAAUCAUAUUGGAUUCUUGAGAGCCAUUUUCAUCAUCACAAACGAUGAUGUCCCUUCCUGAGAACGAACUCUUUAAGAAGUUGGAUCUACCGACUCUAGGAAGCGCGCACUUUCCGAACUGAUUAAUGCCCAACAUGAAGCUACUUGUGAAGUGGUCGUCAACAGAUACGUGAAAAGAGAGAAAGGGUCACACUUUAGGUACAUCUAAUUAUAUACAUUAUCUGCUAAUAUGAACUUUCCAUAUAGCAUUAUGGUAGCUAGCAGACAAGGUGUGACGGAGCUUUUUCCAUCUUAUGCAAAAGAGCUUGAUAAUGAGGGAGUUCUUGGCAUGCGUGGACAUACCUAAGCCAAAAAUCACCUAUUCAGUAUAAAGUAUUACAGUUUUGUUGUAUGCAACUCAUAAAACCUCCAAGGCAUGAUAUAUUUCAGGCACCCCACGUCGAAGUAAUGGUUCUAGCCGGAAUGUGGGAACCCCAUUCCGCCACAUCUUAGCUUCAUGCAUCUCAUUCCAUGCUUGUACUAUCUCAUCAUUUCUAAACCCUAAACCUGCAAUGGUGAAUAUUGAGCAUAUAUAUUUGUCAGCAUCUCAGAUAUAAUUUCUUCUUAAACAAAAUUUCUAACAAGUAAUUACAAGUUAUACCUUCCAGAGCACUAUCAUUUGAAACAUGGUUCUUUAUCAUAACAGCAAUAUCCGUGGAGGAAACUCCAGCAAGAUGAAACUUCUCGACGGCAGCUUCCAAACAUUCUUGCCAGACUGGUAGGUCUAAUUUGAAUUCCAUGAGUGAUCGCUCAUAUAAUAUGGUGCCCCAUAGGAGGUUAAUCUGGGACAUCAUGUUCCUAGCCUGCUCAGUAGCUUCUUGAUCCGUGGACACAUCUUUCAAUAGCGUGUCCCAACCAGUUUUCUGGGACUGCGAUUUGGAAAGGUUCAGGUGUUGAGCUACAAAUGCUUCCCACAUUUCCAUGCCCCUUUCCAUGUUGUCCUCGGCCAUGUUAUAGAGCUGCAAAAUCUCUUCAGAAGGCCAUGUUCCCAAGUCAACAUUGUUUCCAAUUGCAUAAUACCAGGAAAGUUUUGCCCGUUCAAACUGCUGCUGCGCUUGAGCUAGAAGACCUUCAUAGAAGUCUGGUUUGAUUCUCAAUGCUUCUUCAUAUCUCUGCCCCGCUUUUAUAUAUUCUUUUUGUGCCCAAUCAUAUGAAGUUCUAAUCUUUCUAAGUAUUGAUUCUCUUGAAGCAUCUUCUAGGAAACCAAGCCUCUUCCUUGCCCUGGACAUUUGAACGUUUCCCCAGUUGAACAGUGCCAAAGCUGCCAUCUCUUGGAACUUCGUUGCUGCUGUGUUGAAAAGCUCUUGCGCUUCUACACUCGUAACUGUCUCCUCCAUAGCCUCUGAAUAUACCUUCAUACCGAGUUCAUGAAGACCCAAAUAAGCAUCUGAGUCAAACCCAGCAUGGUUCUUGAACAGCUUAGCAAACUCUACUAUCCAUUCAUCAAUGAAAGACGAUCUGUUUUCAGACAGCUUGCCAUUUUCCAUGUUCCCAUUCUCAGUGGCAAGCUUUUGUUUGACAUCCAGUUUGUGCACCUCCUCCUGCCCAAGCCUAUCAAAGGAUGGAUCUCUCUUAGGAUUGACUUUGACCAGAUACAGCCGGAUAGAAACCUGGGACUCUGCUGAUGCUUCUGCCCACCUCAAUUCUUCAUCAGUGGUUAUUGUAACCAAAUCACCUUCAUUGUCCCUGUAUUUGAUAUGAAUCUCUUCUGAGCCUGGAAACCGAUCAGCUAUAACUUCCCUAAGUUGCAGGAGUUUGCAAUUAAGAGGCAACUGAACCCAUCUUAUGUCCUCCCCGAAAACUAAUUUUAUGGUCUUCUUAGGUGUUUCUGUUUUGCUCCUGAUUUUCUCCUCCACAACCACCUUAUCCUCGGCCAUCUUCUCCUCAAGUUGGCUAUCAACUUGCUUGUAUUUGAUUUCAUUGCCAGCAUUCUUUUCCUCAAAUUCACCCUCGGCCAUCUUUUCCUCAAUUUCAUCUGCAGUAUUAUUUUCUAUGUUUUUGACCUUCUUCUUCCUCGUCUUCUGUUUCACUAGUUUAGGUGACGCAACAGGGGAUUCAACAUAUUCUGGAGGCAGUUCAAUUACUGUGUCGUUCACUGUUAGCCCCUUCUGCUCAAUUGUUUUUUUCACUCUUUCUGAAAUCUCUGAUGCCAUGAAAUUAUUUGGUUCCAUUUUCAAAACCGUACUGACAUCUCUCAAAGCCAAAUCCAGCCUAUUCAAAGCCUCAUAACACCUUGCUCUCUUCAACAGUGCCUUACUAUACUUUGGUGUGACCUCUAACGACAAAUUACACUCAUGAAUUGCCCUGGGGUAUUUACUCAGACCCAUCUGCAUAUAACAUGCAGCCAUAUUACUCCGAAGAUUGGAUACAUCUAUAUGAUUCCUUGGAAGCAACUUGAUGGCCUUUUCAUAUUUCAACAUGGCACCUUCAUGGUCUCUCUUCUGAAACAUCUUGUUCCCUUCCUCCUUCAAUUCUUGUGACAUGGAAAUGAAGAUUGCAAUGUCCUUAUCAAGAGCUUUAGGGCUAUCAUUCCCACCCUUAGGUUGCUUCAUAUCAUUCUCACUGGAUUGUCUUAUUACCUGUUUCUUAUUCUGUCCACUCUCCUUUGCCAUUGCGAAUCCAACAAUCCAAAAUCCAAGAAUUACAACUCAAUCAACUGUAUUAUAAUAACCCAAACCAAAACCUCAAAGUCCAACCCAAUCCAAUCAAACAGUUCACAAACUAACAACCAACCUCACCAACAAGUUAAACAAUUCAAACCCAACAACCACUUUUGUGCGAAAAGCUUCAAAAUUACAAGAAUAAGAUAGGCUACAACUUCAAAGCAUUAACUAAACAGAUCUUCACAACCCAAUCCAAGAAUAUACUAACAUACAACAGACCGCAUACACAAGCAAACCAAAACCAAGCUCUAACACAGCAGAACCGACAAAUCAAAUUCAAAUUAUCCUCCAAAAAUGUCCCAAUUUCCACAAACUAACCUUAAAAAUCUAAAUUUCUUGAAUCUCAAAUGGAUUCUUUUCUUUCCAAGCACACAAUGACUUCAAAACCAGAAAAUCAAAUUACACAAACGCAAUGCACUUUGUCCAUCUCUCCAAACCAGGAAAAAAUAUUUCUCCUCCAGCCAAAAAACAAAUCCAAAAUUCAGAGAGGGAAAAAACCAAAACAAAAAGAAAAGAAACCUUAUUUCAGCUAAAGACAGCAACUUGACAUUUUGCUUGAACAACAGAAAUAAAAAACUUAUAUGGGAAUUGAAUUCUUGAAAGAAAGCUUGUAAUGGAGAUUUCCUUUUCUUUUCUUUUUUCUUUUUUUAAGGAAAUUGCAGAGAGAAGGUUGAAGAAAGCUUGUAAGCGUGUGCUAAAACAAAGAUGAGAAACAGAAAAGAAACCGACCAUAGUUACGUUGGUAACGUGUAAGAUCUUCACAAGCUCAACGUAAACGCCCAAAAAAAAAAAAAAAAAGAUCACAUAUUUUAAUUUUUUAUUUAGUUUUCGAAGCUUUUAAUGUACUUUUGUUUAAUAUAAGCUUUGGAGCUUUCGACGUGAUUUUGUUUUGUUUUUGGUCAAUAACAAUGAGAAUAUUUGGAUCACAUUGUUACUCCUCAAUAUGUAAAGGUGGAUCAAGGCAAGCUCAAGACCAUGUUUAAUUGGCCUCAAGCUACGAACAUUUUGAAGUUGCGUGGUUUCAUAGGUUCCGCAGGUUAUUAUAGGGAAUUUGUUCGCGACUAUGGAAUACUAGCUCGUCCUCUCACCAAUUUAUUGAAGAAGGGAAACAUUUGAUUGGACGGAUGAAGUGGAGACUACAUUUCAUGUUCUCAAACAAGCUAUGACUUCCACUCUUAUCCUUGUCAUGUCUAAUUUUAAUGAGCCUUUUGUUAUCGAAUCUGAUGCUUCAGUUACUGGUAUUGGGGCGAUUUUAAAUCAACAAAGUAGGCCUUCGUUGGAGGCCGAUUCUUGGAGUACGACGAGGAACAGCAACGACAUCUCUAUUUAUGUACGAAAAGAAAAAUGCCCCAUAACCAUUCCUAUUGUAUAAAGUAGUUUUGUCAGUAGAUUGUACAAGCUUUGUCUUUCCAAUCUACACGAAACUACUUUGAUUGGGGUUUAAAUGAAAGGAUAAUGUAUUUAAUACGACACUUUUAAGUAAUAAACUACUGCAGGAAACGCAAGAUUUCAGUCUGGUGUUCUUCAUAUUCGAACAAUAAGACUCAAGAGAAACUGCAAUUUGCAACAUUAAGCUUCCAGAAAUAUUCCAGGACCCGAAAACAUGAGAGGCCAGGCCGUCGUCUCUGGCUUUGCAAAUGAAUGAUUAAUUGAAUGGAACAAGGCCUCGUUAUGUUAAUUAACAUAAGCUAUGGCCAUGGUACAGUUUCUUGGCAAAUGUACCAAAGGAUAAAGAAACAAUUUGGGAUAUAACAAGCAAAUAUAUGGGAAUGCAAUACAGUGGAUUUGUUUGUUGAAUUACUUGCUUAAACGUAGAUGAGAGAAAAAUUUAGUUUCAAUGUUGGAAAGCAAGGAUGUACAGGAAAUUUUUAUGGUGCUCGAGGUAGUUAAUGGUAUUUUAUUAGUUAUUUUAUUGUUUAUUUUAAAUAAAAAGAUAAAUAUAAGGAGAGAGAAAAUUAAAUUCAUGAUCCUUCAAAAACAAUAAAAAUAUUUCUAUAAUUUCUCUCUCAUAAUUGUAUUUAAUUAUUAUUUUUAAAGUGAAUUCUAGAAAAUAACUACCAGGAUAUUGUUAUUCUCUAAGCAUCAUUAAAUCUCUUGGACGUAAUAUUCCACUGUUAAAAAAAAAAUUUAAUAAAUUAAAGAGUUUGAUAAAAAUGAUGAGUUAGUCCUCAUGUUUUAUAAACUAUCUAUUUGAUUUCUAUAUUCUUAAGUCCAUUUAUAACUUAACUCUCUGAUUAAUUUCAUGCUCUUAUCCAAUUUAUUAUGUUUUUUCUCUUUUUAAAAAAUUGAAAAAAAAGAGAGGAGAGAAGGUAAGUUGAAAAAACUUGAUCAGGAGAGAAUUAAUUUUGAAACAAAAUUUUAUUAAAUUGAGGAUGAUAAAUUGUAAUCAAGAUACCACAUGAUUAUUUUUAUAAUAAAAGGAUUAAUUAAAUAAUUUGCAUGAAGUAUGAUAAUUAUUAAAUUAUAGUAGUAACUCAGCAAAUUAUGAAAUUAUAAUAUGAUUAUAACCCAAAAUAAACCCAUUAGAAAAAAGCCCAAUCAUCACGAGCCCACUACAAUAAUGAGACCACAGACCGGCAGUAUGACACGUCAUAUUAUAUUACGUGGCAAACUUUCAUUGGCCAAUCAACGCAACCACAGCGCUGCUUCCUCCUCUUCAAUUCUCAACACAAAACCCAAAAUCUGCAUUUUUUUGGAAGUUCUUAGAUUAUUAGGUAUACAAAUAAAAGAAAGAAAAAUAAAACACUCAAAAGGAGUUUGAAAGAUGAGAUUUUUAUGGUUAACAGUGGUGUUAUACACUGUAUGCAACCAUGUUUUAGCUGAUCAGAUCUAUCCUAAUCAUGCAGGUAAUCAAAGAUUUCUGCUUUCAUUGUAAAUUUGUUAGCUUCAUCUAUAUAAGAGUAACGGGUCUUUGAGAUUUUAUUGUUUUUGACAUGGGUUUUUCUUGUUUCUAUUUGGUUUCUCAAUUUGAGGGUGAGUUUUUGAAGAACUUGGUUUGUUAUGAUUAAUCAAUGGGUAAUGAGUUUCGUGAGCUGUUUUAUUGUUCAUGCAAUGUUUUUUAUUUAAAGCUUAUUAUGUUUUUGUGUUGAAGACGUUGGAGUGUUUUUUUAAGGGUUUCUUUUUUUAGGGAGAGAAUUCAGAGGGGUUAGUAAUAGUUUGAAAUAUGCUAGGAAGCUGAAUUGGCUUGACCUUUUUUAUUGUUUAGUUGUUUUAGAUCAAAGUAUGCGGUGCUUAACUGUGUGUGAGCCUUUGAAAGGAACAAAUAGAUGAACAACUAAAUGGUGGGCUGUAAUGUAGCCACCACUGAUGUUGGCAGUGAUCAAUCAUUUACAAAGGUGGUUUGUGUUUUACAUGUUAAGCAAGUCAGUCAAAUCAAUGUUAUUAAGCUGCAUCCUUCUCCUGUUUGUUUUGUUUUGUAUGUGCUUUGACUUUCUACUAAUUAACAGGUGGUACGUUCAGUCGUAGUUCUCGUGAACCAAAAUAUCAGAUUGAAUUUCAUUCAGAAGAGUCUCCUUUUCAUCCCGUAAGUAAGCUUAGGAUUAUUGGCAUCUAUUUACUUCCGGCCUGCAUAUAUCUUUGUAUUAUGCUAGUCUGUUCAUUGCCAUGGUCAUCCACAAGCAUGCAUGCUAUAUUUUGAAAAUGCCUCCUUAACAGUGCUCUCACCACAUGUUCUUGUACUGCUUAAAAUUACAAUACGAUGGUAGCCUGGGACUUGGGGAUGGUGCUUCACUGUACUUUUGGCUUGAAAAAAUGAAAAUCUAUCAUUAGCAUAAGUCUUGGAAGAUGAAUGCUUCUCAAAAAGUUUGCAUGCAAAGAGAGUUGGUAUUAUUUGAUAGUCAAGGAGAGUUUCCUAGUUCAUUUUCUGCAGCAGAUGGGUAUUGGGUAUUGAGGGAUUGAAAAGUGACACAGCGACAUGACGUUGCAAGAUGCUUAACUCUGUUGUAAUAUUAAAUAGCUGCAGGUUCUGUCUGUGUAAUCUAUUUUAAGCCAGUUUCUAAAUGCUCAGACCAGGACUGAUGUAUCAACUUUCUUCCUUUUUAGCCUCUCCACAUCCCAUGAGGCGGUUAGUUUUUUAUUAUUAUUAUUAUUGUUUUGUGAAAAGCAUUUCCCUGAAGCAACCUAAUGACAACUUGUUGGGUUUCUGAUGUGAUAGACCAUAAUUUGUUUCCCUUCUAGUUCCCUCUAUGUUGAAUAUGACUUCUUUAUCUUAAUUGCAGAAAAAAAGUGUGUUUUUGUUUUAAUCCAACAUUCUUGCAGGAUGAUGACCAGGAGUCAAUGGUCAUGCCCAACAAAAAUGGUGAGAAUUACUUAUGCUUCUUGCCCAAGGUGGUGAAAGCUAAGAGUGAAAUGCCACUUACUCUGCUGAAUGUAAGCAGCUUGAUUGUGGAAACUGAGAAACGGGUUAAAUUGAAGACACCUGAUGAGCUGCUUGAAGUACUGAAAGGCUCAUGCUUUGUCAGAGUCAGUAUCUAUUACCAAAAACCUUCUUGUACAUGUUCAUGCUAAAUAAUACUCUUAUAUUUGUUGAUCAAAAUUGCUACAGAUUUGCUGCUAGUUGUGCUUUUUUGUUUUCCAAUAUCAAGAUUUUUUGAAUAAAUUUGUAUCAGUCUCAAGACAUUUGUCUUAUACUGUUGUAUCUUAAUGCAGCAAGAGGGUUGGUGGUCCUACGAGUUAUGCUAUCAGAAGAAGUUGAGGCAAUUCCAUGUGGAGGACGAGAAAGAAAAGGUAGCCACUUGAGCAUGUAUGAGUUGUUCUCAUGUUUGGUUUUUCAAUUUCUUUUGUUUUGCUUUCAGGUUUGAUGUUUUCUUGCUUUUAUAAGUGGAAGCAUGCUAUUGAGGGCAAAAUUUAUUCAUUUUCAAUUUUGUGAUUUUUUGUGGCUGAUGGGUUAAUAACUUUGAAGUUUAAGUGGAUUGGAUGUCUUAUAUAGAUAUUUCUUUGUGGCUUGUUGUAGUAAUAGCAAUUGUACCAGCCAGUUGCUUUAUCAUUAUUGUAUUGAAAAUUUUGGUUUAUUUUCCAAUUAUAGACCGGCAGCAUAGCGGCUUCUCUUUGUAUAUUGCACACCUGCAACAUGUAUUCUAUUACCUUAACGAUACAUGUAUUUCCCAUUACAGGCUGUCCAAGAAUUUAUCUUGGGUGUGUAUGAUGAAGAAGCCACAGCUGCAUUCAACCAGAAUCUUUCUGACAUUUCUACAUUGAAAGAUCCUCGUUCAAAAGAUGCAUCUCAAAGGUAUGAUUGUGAACCGUUGCAACAAAGUUUGUGUGAGAGAGACUUCAAAUGUGGUUAAAGUAAAGCAAAGAAAAGGUAGUAAUCACCACAUUUCUUUUCUGUUUGUUGUGUUUGAGCAGGUAUCAUGCUCAUCAGUAUACAAAUGGAACUAUAUGCGAUCUUACAAAUGAGCCCCGAGAAACUGAGGUAUGGUAAAGGAGUAGCAUUUUGGAAUCUUUGACUCUCUCUCUCUCUCUCUCAUGUGGUGUCCAUGUUUUCCUUGUGUGCAGGUGAGAUUCGUUUGCUCAGAGCCCAGAGCUAUGAUUAGUUCAAUCACUGAGCUAUCCACUUGCAAGUAUGCACUUACAGUACACUCUCCAUUGCUUUGCAAGCACCCGUAAGUCUCUCUCUCUCUGAGGUCAAAAUCACAGAUGCUAAAGAUCAGAUGUGAUAAAAUCAUGCAACCUUUAAAUUGCUUACAGUUCAAAUGCUGCUAACGAAUAAAAUAUACAAUGGCAUGUUUCAGCCUUCCUGAUCAACCUUUCUCUAAUAAAAGUGUGUUGCUAGUUGUUUAAGUUAUAAUUUAUAAAAGAAAAUUUGUCUCAAGUUUUAGACUAAACUUGAUGGUCUAGGGCAAUGAAUUGUCCUGCUCGGGUACUAAACUUGAUGGCCUAGGGCAAUGAACUGUCCUGCUCGGGUAGAAAAACAAGCCAAUCAUAUUGCGAUGGCAAAAAAUCAUCUCUUGUUAUGUUAAUUGUUAGCUGAAAAAGGGCCAUGUUGCUACUACACAAAAUGGGGUAUUUAUCUAUCUUCUGUUCAUUGCAAAAUGAAGCUCAAAAUUUUGAUAUGAAUGACACAGAUGGAGAAUCUACAGUUUUUAAGUUCCUUGAAAAUUCACAACGUAAAAUGGAAAAUACUCUCUCAUACAAAGUAGUAAUAUAUCUAUAUUCAAUCUGUUUUUACUUGUUUCUUGUGUAAAAAUGCACUUAUUUUAUCUGUUGAGUUGAUGAUUGGACUUGUUUUGAACAUGAAGUUCACUUCUAUCUGGCUUCAAAUGGACCAUAAGUUUCCUUAGGAAACAUACCAUUUUCUCCCACUGAAUCUUGUGUGUUUACUUGCAUGCACAAUGCAUUGCAUCCACUUUUGAUUUGCAGAUUGUUUCAAGAAGAGAGACCAGUGUGGCACACCAUUAAUUGCAAUCUUCUUCCCAAGGAUUACAAGGAAGCUAAACCAGAUAAGGUCGAAGCCGAUGAUAAGCAGAUCUUUAUGGUACCUGACAUUGAUUCAUCUAAUCAUGAUUCGGAUGAAUAAGCAACGCAUUGCAGAGGGACCUUUGUCAAUACAAAUCAAAUUAAACGAGCUAAUGGAGUGUAUUCUUCAUGUUUUAUAUGGGUCUUCCCUUGCAAGUACAAAACAGUCAAUCAAUCGCUCUCAUGCCAUCUGCCCAAUGACCGGCUUUUUCUGGACUCAGAAAACAUACAGCAAAUAGUGCUUGACAGUGUUAUUGUAACUUUGGAAAAAUCGAAGUCGCUGAAACUAAUGGGAGAACGUAUGUAAAUUCUAUGAAAAAAGACAUUCCUUAACGGUCUUGCCUAAAUUUUCUUCCUUUUCUUUCAUGGAUGGUUCAUUUGUUGCUUUCUAACAUGUCAAGUUAUGCUCUGGCAUUUAAUGUCGUUUAUGAUGUUGGUUCUGAGAUAAAAAGUUUGCUUCCUGCAAGAAGGUAAAAUAAGAUUCGAGGAAUGUAAUUUGGACCAUCCCUCUCUAUUUGAUUCUUUAUUAAGUAUUUCGUCCUUUCCAUAUCGUGUAUUUUCACCACAAAACAAAAUAUUAUAUCAGUGACAAAAAUGAUAACUCCACCUCCAAGAAUUCUAUUAAAAUUUGAAGAUUUAUGCUCCUCUCCCAUUGCUAUGAAUCCUUUAAUAAAUCCUGAAAACCAACAAUAGAUGAACGAAAACAAAAAUAUACUCGAGAAACAAAUAAUCAAGUAAAAACAGCAAGUGUUUUUCAUUUGGUGUAAAUUUCACUCAUUAAUGAAUAUCGUUUGCUCUUCUAUCAAAAAUAAUAAUAAAAAUUUUGUAUGGAAAUUUCAAAUAUUAUUGCUCUGUUUCUCGUAAUAGCUAUCUAACAAUUAACAUAAGAAACCUGAGAUUAGCCUAGGAUUUUAUUCGACUCUUUAUGCAUUCGGCUCAAUCAUUGACAAGAUCGCAUUCCUAAGAAUACAAUAGCCCGGAUUAAAUUGAAUAUAUUCGGGGAGACGAUGGCAUUUCAGAAAUAAAUAAUUUUUUUUUAAAAAACAGGGGAGUUAAUAUGAAUUUCUUCCCUUUGUCGGGGCAACCUUUCGUCUCAGAGAAAUCUAUAAAACAAGAAGACUUCUUGUGCCUGUGUGGCAUCCAUCUCCAAAGUGCAUUCAUUUGAACCAGGAGGUAGGAUAAAAAAAUUCAAAAUGAAAAGGAUAGAUGCCUUUACCACAACUCUCAAGAUGGAUGCUGCACAGUCUACUGCAAUUACGUUUGCUUUCUGUAAUGCUGGUCAGUACAACGAUGCAACUUAUGCUAGUUCAACCCCUAACUCCUAAAGGCUCCCCAUUCUAUCAUUAUAAUUGCAAUUAACAUCAUUCACAUUAUAUUCACAGAUAUGCUUCGUUUCAUUGUUCCAGUCAGCUUUCCUCUUAGUGGGACAACUGGGAAGACGAAGCUUUUCCAUUGCCACCCCCUGAAUCCAGCAAAGCGAGGUACUCAUUUAUGGAAUCGCCUUCCUGUGUCACAUCAAUGUUAUAAUCUGACAAUGCAUCGCCUCUUGUGAGUUCAUCAGCAAUUUCAUCCUCCAUCUCCAAGUCCCGCUGUUCGGCUGAAGGACCUUCAUUACUAUUAUCAAUGCCCAAAGUAUCUGGACUAAGAUUCUCCACAGCAGGGUUGGUAGGAGUUGAACCAGGAGCACAAGCAUUAUCGUUAGCAUUUAAGUCAGUACUUGCAUUAUUGUUCCCAGAGAAAUCAUGAGCAUUGGAGCUGUCAUCAGCUGCAGCUGUGGUGUCUGCUUGGGGAUGCGUGAGCAGUUGAUGCAUGACUUGCUCUAAAGAGCCACCAGCUUGGACAGCAGCAAACACUGCAGAAUGCAGGCAAAAAAACUGUCAGUAGCCAGUAAAGUAAUCCAAAUGCCUAAAAUUAGUGGCGCCACAAGGCAUAGGUGUGUGUAUGAGUACCUCUAGAUCUUUCAAAGCCCAUGGACACAAGCUGUUCAACUGUGGCAUCAGUGGCUCGUUGCUGUCUUUUCCUUUUUCUUGAUUCUAUAGCACGCUGCAGGUCUAUCAAAGUUAGUAAUGGUAAAAAGUUUAAAAUGAAAUUCAGACAAAAAUAUUUGAACUUUCAGGACCUGGAGUUCAGUAUUAGCUUCUGGGUUUGUCAAGUCAUCCAAUGCCUCCUGAGUACCAUUCUCAUUUUUCCGAAGAGCUUCAGCAGCAAGCUCCUUCUCAAAUCUGCCAAGUUGAGGAGCUCUUAGCUUUUAUCAGGGAUGAUAAAUGCUAAAUGGAUGAAAUAGGCAACUAUGAUUGAGCUAGUAAGUGCCAACCUCAUAUUUACAGAAUGUGAUUGAAAACAUUGAAGAACUGGAUAGUCUAUAUGUCAAAAUAUUCACGAAGUAAAUAGAAAUUUCUCAUCCAACUGAAUAUUAAGGUCAGUUACCAAGAAUGUGCAUGGGAAUUUGUAAAACAAAUGUUAAAAGAGUACCAAAGGUACAAGCUCAAACAUCAGAACUCCUAAAGUAAAAACCACGUUUCCUCAGUCACACCAUUAACAAAAGUAUUCCAGUGCUUGCUUACCCUAUGGAGACCAACUCUGUCAGUUUCUGGAGAUCCACAGCUUUCUUUAAGGGUGUAACUCCAUACCGUUUCUGCUCCCUGGAAAUCAGCAGAGAAAUGAAGGUUACAAACAGAGGGAAAUUCCAUAUAAAACAGAGAUCAAUUUUAUGAUACUUGCUUGAUUUCUUUUCUUCGACGAAUGUCAUCUUCCCGUUUCUUUUCUCUCUUUUCCCUUUCCAGUACAAGAAAAUUAAUGGCACUCUGAACAUCCUGAUUGCUCAUUCUCAAUGCUCUUUUUGCAUCUUGUUCCCCAAAUCCAAUGCUCAUGACAACUGAUAAGGCUUCAUCUGGCACUUGUAGCUGGAAUCCACAACAGGAGAUUGUAUUCAGAAUGAAUAAAAAUGGAAGGUAGCUAUAUAACUUUACAGGAAAUGAAAGAGUGAGAUGAAAAAGAAGAUCAAAGACAAAGUAAAUGAAGAGUCCAGAAUUACUCACUACUGAUAAUAAUUCUGAAACAGUAUAAGCAAUAUACAAGUGUUCAAUUUUGAGAUUCAUAAAUUUGAUUGUUAAUGUUUAGACAAAAGCAAUAGGCAAAGUUCAGGCCACUUCAAGCACAAAGUCUAAAAAUUAGAUUUUAUUUGCAGACGCAUAGGUUUCAAUUUUGGUACAAGGUUGCAAACAACAUACAGCAUUAGCAUAGAAAGUGAAAAAAUCAGAUAACAUUCAAUACCAUCAUCCACUAUUCUGGAAAUUAUCAACCAAGAUGAGAUAAAGUAGUGAAAUUAAUAUGUUUACCCAAACAAUUUCAUGUUUAUAUACACACUCAUAGGGAAAAAAACUUGUUUGACCUUGAAGAAUUUUGCUUGUGCAGAGGUCAAGAACUUCCUAGAUUUGUCAAACUGGCCACUGUGAUAUGCCACCACUCCUUCCAACAAUUCCAAUCGCAAAUAUCUAACAAAGAAGUAACAGAGCGGGAUUAGCUUCAAAGUGCCAACCAAGACUUUCUAUCCAGCUAUCAGUAAACAUGCUGAAAGUUUACAAUAGAUACUCACAAUGCAAGCUCUGAAGAACAACCAGCUUGAAGCAGUCUGAAUCGGGAGGAGUCCUUUCCGUGAGCACGUUCAAGUCCUUCUCUAGCCUUUUCGAGGCGUAAUCCUGCCACUGAGAGCCAGGCAAUAUCUUGGAGCAUGAAGUAACACCACACCAUGUCUAUUUGCAGUAUUGGGAUAUUGUCGACAAGCUGGAAGCAACACAUAGCCAAAAGGAAAAAAAGAAAAGGACACGAUAUUAAUCACUUAAGCAUAAAAGAUACGAGAAACGAGAUAUAGCAUUAACGAUCUUAGUUAAAGAAAAAGAAUAGCUCACUCACUUCAAUAGACUUGGGAUUGCAUAGAGAGAAAGCCUCCUGCAACAAAGAAAUCAUUUCAUAUGUAUGAGAAAAAGUUUUAAAAUGAACUAAGCCAUAUAGAAGCAAUGCAAUGCCAACAGCAAUAGACAAGCAGAGGAAAUAUGGCAAAUACAGGGAAUUGUGAUCAGCUAAUUAAAGAAAAACUAUAAAAAAGUAUAGGAUGUCGAUCCAAAAGUUAUACCGUUGAGGGCGCCCUCAGAAAUUGAAAUCAAAAUAUAUCUUAACAGAAGCACCACUAACUUCAAAAUAAUUGAUGAGAUCAUAGAAGCUAAGUAUGCAAAUCAAUUGAAAUGAAUUAACCAUUUAAAUAAAUGCAAAAACAAACCUCUCCCAUAGUAAGAACUUCAAGUGCAUCACUAAACAUUUGCUUUCUGAGAAAUCGCUUUCCACUUGUAUGAAGCAUCAGACCUGUCAUUAUUGCCCUGCCAAAUAGUGGCUCAGAUCUCACAUCUUAUAAAGAUGGAUGAUAGACCCUUAAACUCCUAACUAAGGGAAUUAGUUUGUCAGGUAUUAAAACAAUCUAGAAAAGUUCAGAAUUUACUAAAGUAUCUUACUGUCUAUCGGUCUCAGAAAAGUGCACUUUCUUCCCACUCUGAUCUUCGAGUUCGAUAUCGAAGUCUUCUAUUGGUAAUGCACCAUCUGCAUGUCUCUUGGACAAUGCAGUGACUGCUGCCCUGCCAAGUUAAAUGAAACCAACAAGUGAAAUGCAACAAUUAGCGAUGAUAGUCAAGCAAGCAAAUAAUAAAGACCCGUAAAAUAAUACAUAAAGAGACCAAAUUCCUUACAAACAUCUUAAGAAACUUAACACUUCAACUUUAUUCACUAAAUUCAAAUAAGAAAAAACCUAUAGAAAACUCACAAACCCAUCACCAGCAACCAUCCAAUUAAGUCAAUAACAAGUCAAUAUUACAAACAAAUUAAAACACACACACACACAUAUAUAAAUAAUCAAAGAUGAUAAUUGUGACUGAAAGAAACAAGAAAAAUAAAACUCACUUGAUACGAGCAAGUCUACGGUUUCUUUCAUCAUCAGCCAACAACUCAUUCUUUAAAGUUUUACCCUCUUCCACAGAGACACGACAAGCAAGAAUUUUAGAGUUAUUUUUAAUACCCAAUUGAGAAAGACUGUUUUUUUCCUCACUGGUACAGUCUUUCAAGACUUUGCCAGCAAAAAUUAGAUUGAUCGACUCAGUGCCCAUGUUUGAUCUCUUUGCAAUCUCCUCUCUCAACAUGAGCACUGUCCAAUUCUCUGGUUCUACCUCUAACACUCCAGCCCAUGUUCCUGCUACCUUCAGUUUUGCCAUUGAAGGAGAAGACAUUGUGUUUUGUCUUGUGGGCUUUGUGACUGUCUGUGUGAGGAGGGAAUAAAAGUUAGUUUCUUUCGGGUUUUUACAAGGUUGAGUGACUAUGAAAGUUUUGUUCUUUUUUGUUUUUGUUUGGCUUUUGUGUAAUUUCCUUCCCUGGAGAAGACGCUGUUUCGGGUUUUCUGAUUGGUUUGGCAAUUGUGUUCUGCUUUCUGUGCCGUGAUGGAUUGGCAUGGUAUUCAUUCGUUUGGAUAGGUGUUAAUUGUUAUUUUUUAAAAUAUAUUUUAUAUGAAAAUAUUUUAAAAUAAUAUAUUUUUUUAAAUAGUUUUUAAUAUUAAUAUAUCAAAAUAAUUUAAAAAAAUAAUAAAUUUAAUUUUAAAUUAAAUUUCAUUGAAACUUUGAUGAUAACGUAGCCCAAACGAGUUUAAGAACAUAUUUAAAAGUGUAAUAAAGAUUGUUUUUAAAAAUUUUUUACUUUGAAAUGUAUUAAAAUAAUAUUUUUUAUUUUAAAAAUUUAUUUUUAAUAUUAGCAUAUCAAAACAAUUACAAAUAUUAAAAAAAAUUAAUUUGAAACAAAAAAAAUAAAAUAAUUUUUAUAAAAAUUCUUUUAAAAAACAUAAAUAAACAGUAUUUAAGUUAAGAAUGGGACCUAUGAUUAAUUUACAUUUAAGUUCUUGAUCUUUAGUGUAUUUAAAUAUGGUAUAUGCUUAUUUUAGGAUAGCUUAAUUUAGUACUAUCCAAGUAAAUAUAAUUUUUCGGAUUAUUAGCACUUUAUUUUAUCCAUGAGAGGGCAAUUUUAGUUAUUUGUUAUAUACUAUAGUGGAUGAUAGAGUCAUAUUGAAAGGAUAAUGAUAGGUGCACGUCAUGGAUGAACACACACACUGGUUACGUGUUAGUUUAUCACUCAAAUAAUUAACUAUUAAAUAAAAUCUCAAAACUUCUUUCUUCAGUGAGAAGGGGUGUAUCUAUGAAGUCAAAAGCUCCAGAAUAUGUAAAAGGAUUCCGAUGAAUUUGCUUUUUUUACCGACAGCUCCGCCGAUAUUUUCACUAUUUUAUUUUUUUGUUUGUCGUUAUAAUACCUAAGCUAACAAUUACCAUCACCAUCGCUAUUGUUGCCGCCGCCGCCGCGCCGAGCAUGUGAAAGAUUUACAUACCCAAAGAUGAACAAUUUUUUUUUAAUGGGAGGAAGAAGAUCAUCAUUCGACACCCAAGCUGCAUCGUCUGAAAUAAUUAUCAAUCACUACUUUUUACAGCUUCAUCGUUGGGGUGCUCUGAACUGGACCCUAAUUAUAUAUCAUCAUGGCAUCUCAGCUUGAGGAAGAUCAUGGAAUAUUUGUCUGAUGUUUUUGUAUCAGAUCAUCCUCGUUGUGUUUUCAUUGACAGAGGUAAAGCUCCAACCUUGUGGCCUUGGUAGAAUAUAAUUUCUCCUCGUAUCAUCUAAUUGAAAAAGGUGUUCAUCACUAAGCCUUGCAAUCUUUUUCAAGGAAAGAGCUCGAAUUUGGAAGAGGCUCUUCAAGGCAAACCUUCAAAAUCUACAACAUAUGUGGUUUGAUUCAAAGCUGACCUAGCUAUAGCGUGGGCCCACUGCAUUGAAAGUCCUAGUACCAUAUCCUAAAGCCUGGUUUCUAGGUUGGGUUGAAGGUCCAGAAUGCCUUUCCAAAUCCGGCCUGGACCAAAAAUAUCCUAUUUUUGCCAAUUGAUCGAUAAUAUUUCAUGUCUGCUUGAAAUUGAAAGCGUGGUAGAUAGUGAUUUUUUUAUUUUUUUAAAUUUAUUUUUAUAUUAAAAUGAUUAAAAAAAUUAAUUUCUUGGCAAAAAGCAUUUUUUCCGCCAAACGCCACCAAAGGAUCUUUGAAUCUGGGUUGUUGAUACUUCUGUGAUGAGUAUUGUGUUGGGCUGUGCUGCAUUAUAUAUUAGAAGUAAUGUUAGUAAAAAAAACUCAUAAUUGAUUGUUAUGCAUUUAAAUAAUAAAUCUCACUAUAAAAAUAUUGUAUUUUUACUUAAGAAAAUAGUCCAUCCAAUAAAUAAAUAAAUAAAACAUGUAACAUGAUGUUGUUACAUGUUUAAAGUGACACUCUCUUUAAAGUUCAAGCAACCACUUGUCUUUGAUCAUUAAAGUGUAACAGCUUUCAGGAACUCAAUAUCAGAAAAAAAAAAAAAAAAACAAAAAAAACGAGGACCUCUUUAGUUUUUACGGACUGCAGAUUCCACGAAGGAGCGCAUGCAGAGAUCAAAUGGGGUUGACUACAAGAAAUGAAGAGUGACAGAACCAUUUGCUUCGACUCCAUUGAUCACAAGUUGCUGCUUUCGAUGGCUUGUCUUCCAUUUGCUUCGACUCCAUUGAUCAAAAUUUGUUGCUUUCGAUGGUUUUAAUUUCUUCUUUUUUACAGAUUGAUACAUGGAGUGUGCUAAGGCCAUUGAAGGUGGUAACUGGGAUGUUGCAGAUUCACUUUCGGCAGAAAUUCGAUCUCCAGCUCCUAAAGAAGAGAGCAUAUCGACAAGGAAAGUUGUCAAUUAAUACUGUGCCGAGGCUCUUGCCCGGCGUGCGUGUCUGUAUAUGGAGUUCGUCCUCCAUGGAUCCUUUACCCUUGCUACCUCCAUGCGAUCCAUCCGAUUUUUACAUAUAUUAUCGUUUCGACCGGUUUGCUGAAAUCACUAGAUAUUUCGUUGCUGAUGCCUUGAGUUCGGGAAAUAAAGGACUCCACAUUAUUGACUUCUCCUCCAUCAUGUUCGAUCCUGGGCGGUGGAUUUAUUAAUUAAUUGAAGAGCUCGAAGGGCAAUAUGCACGGUGGCCUGCAAUCAGUCAUAAUCAAAUAAAGGUUUUUAUCCCAUUAGUAUUAGCUCAAACAUGUAAUUAACAUAUAUACAAGUGAUCCUUGCAUUUUUAACCUUUCAAAGUGGAUGAAAUCUGGAAAAAGAAAAAAGAAAAAACCAUGCCUCUCUUCUCCAUAGAUAUGAGGGUAACGUGGGAGGGUGAUGGUGGAAGAAGAGGUCUGCCUGGUUGCUUGCGACGUGGAAUGCAACCACCAUAGUUAAGGCUCAAGAGUGAGGACUGUCACGCUGUCUAUGUCUACAAAUGCAGCAUCCAAUUAAUGCUUUUUAGAUCAAAGUUAAAUAUCUUUAAUUAUUACAGAUUAUCAAAAUAAAAUGGUGUUGACACUUUUAUCUGAGAUGACUACAGCAGCUAGCGUAAAAUCUCAUCUCCCAUGAAAGAAAGAAAUGUUUGCUCACAGUGGAGGCCGGUGGUGGAAACAACUUGUUCCUUUAUUUUGCACUUAAGUUCAAAUUUUAUUGUACGCGCUUGUUAUUUUUGCAAUGCCUUACAUGUUUAUUGGAUUUGCAGGAUGUUCAGUGAAUCGUAGAAUUAAUUAUGAUGCACGCAAGUUGGUCCGGACACCCACGUAAAUUAAAAAAAAAACAAAAAAAAAAAAAAAGAAAUAUUUGCUCACAGUGCGUAUUACACUUCAAGUCACUAGUAGAAAUCAGGAGAUUUACACGAAUGUCAUUUAUAUGAUAACAGGUCAUCACAUCAUGCAUUGAGCACAGAUAAUAAGAAAGUUGUUAAUAAAAAAAAAAAAAAAAAAAAAAACUUUUGGACUUUCACGUGAUGAUUGGGAUUUUGCAUGAUACUGAAUUUAAUACAAUUGAUUAAAAAUCCCGUUGUCGGCCACUGCUCUCGUUAACCAACACUUACCUACCCUUGUAUGUUGUGGCCCUUGCGUUUUACCAGCUCCUUCAAACGAUUUAUUAGCCUCAUCCAUAAUCCCGAAAGAAAUUAAAAGAAAAUAUUUUUUAAGAAAAUCAAAUUGUUUUUUAACUAGAUCUACCAGAAUUAAUUGAAUCAACUUACUUUGUUUAACUUAAGUAUAAUAAUACCACUGCAUAUAAUACUUAGAUUGAGUGAUUUACCCAGCCUAUAAAUGUGUAUCCGUACGUGGAGUUACCACUAACCCUUCAUUGUUAAUGAAAGAAAGGGCCUCCGCAUGCACCGAAAUAUUGGUGCCUGAAGUCAAAAGUGAUAGGCACCAGUUUAGUGAAAAGGCUACAUCAUUAUUUAUUUUUAUGUUUUAAAAUUAUUUUUUAAAAAAAUUAUUUUUUAUUUUAUUUUUUUUAUUUUAAAUUAAUAUUUUUUAUGUUUUCAUAUCAUUUUAAUAUGUUGAUAUUAAAAAUAUAUUUUUUUAAAAAAAUAAUAUAUAUAUAUAUAUAUAUAUUAUUUUGAUGCAUUUCUAAAUGGAAAACACUUUAAAAAACAAUUUCUACCAUACUAUUAAACACAGAUACUCCACCACAAAGAAGAGAGAGCAACACCAUAGUGAGUGACACAUUUUAUAAGGUGUUUGUAUGAUAGAGCAUGUGAGAUGUUUACUCUUAUUAGAAGAGAGAUUGCUAACUGUUGUCUUAUUAAUAGACAGUGGUUGUAAUUUUAAUAUUUCAUAGUGAAAUCUUUCUAUACUUGUAUGUGGACGUAGCCUAAUUAAGUGAACCAUGUAAAUUUUUAUGUGUUUUAUUUCUCAUUUUACUCUGUUCUAUAUAGCUGCAUAUUGUUGCUUCUAUAUGUCGUAACCUUAAAAAUAGUAUUAGAUUCAUUUGGUUAAACUCUUGUUCACAUGUGAUAUUGUUAACACAUAUGGAAAGUCAAUAGAUAUUGUCUAGGAAGUUAUAUCUAAGAAUAUUAGAUUUUAAACUGGUUCAUUGUGACCUCUCCAUUCUUUUUAUGGAAACUUACUUAGUGAAAGUAGUGUUCACACGAUACUAUUUUAAUAUACGUUAUAGUUUUUAAGUGAAAUAGUGAUAGUUGAACAAAUUAUAAUGAGUAAAAUGACAACAAAAUAUGAGAUUAAGAGUUUUAAUAGGAGCAAUGUCUCACAAUGACAUAUAAGAAUGAAGGCAAUUUUAAGAAGAAAAAAAAUUGCUUGACAAUAAUUGGAGAAAGGCCCAAAGAGAUCAUUGAUAAUGCUGAGUGGAUUGAAAUGGAUAUCAAUGUUAUUACUAAUAUCCAUUUAGUAUUAGCCAAUAAUGUAUUAUCAAGUCCGGUGAAGAAGAAAACAAAAAAAAAAUUAGAUACUCUGAUAAAGUUAUAUGAGUCUAAGUCUCUAUACAAAAUGAUUUUAUUAAAAAUAAGACUUUAUACCCUUUAAAGGAAAGAAAUCACAUUGGUGAUUAACCACAUCAACACAAUAAGAACUUCAUUUUCUUAACUCACUAUGUUUGGUCAACAAAUAAAGAAAAAUAAACAUAAAAAACUUCUACUUCAAAAUCUUUCUGAUUUGCAUGAUCAACUCAUUAUCAAUUUGUGUGAUGAAUAAAUACGGUCUAAUAAGCUUUGUCCAAAGAGAUUGAGCUUUAAAUAAGACUAUUUAUAUCCCCUCCAAUCUUUCAUUGAAACUUACUUAGUGAAAGUAUUGUUCACGCACUGAAUGUUAUUUUUGUAUACAUUACAGUUUGUAAGUACAAAAAUUAUAGUUGAACAAAUUACAGUAAACAAAAUAAAAGCAAAAUAUAAAUUGAGAUGUUCAAUUAGAAUAAUUUCUCACUAUAAAAGAUGAGAGUGAAGGAAAAUUUAAGAAAAGAUAAUUGUUUGGUAGCAAUUAGAGAUAAAGCCAUGGAGAUCACUGAUAUUGCCAAGUAGAUCAAAGUUGAUAGCAAUGUUAUUGCUGAUACACAUUUAGCAUUAACCAAUGAAGUAUUAUCAAAUGUAUAAGAGAAGAAAACUACAAAAGAGAUAUGCGAGACUCUGAUAAAGUUAUAUGAAUCCAAAUGUUUACAUAAUAAGAUUUUCUUAAAAAUGAGACUUUAUACCUUUUAAAUGAUAGAAACCAUGUCGAUGACUAGCCACAUCAAUAUAUAAGAACAUGCAGAGCUUCUACUUCAAAGUCCUUUUAAUUUGUAUGAUUAAUUCAUUAUCAACUUGACCAAUAACAUCUCAUGACUAUCUAGUCUUUGAUGAUGUUGCAAUUAUCUUUGAAGAAAAAAAUAGGUGUAAGAACAAAUGAGAUAGAAUUAAUACUUCACAAAAAGUAAAGGCAUUAUUGAUGUCAAAAGAAAGAUCAAUAAAGUGUGGCUCCAAUAGGAGUCAAAGACAAGGAAAUUCCAAACCAAAAAGUAAGAAUACCAUGAAAUGCUACAACCAUGGCAAAAAAUGCACUCUUGGUAUGUAAAAUGUAUAAAAAAUACCUUGAAGUCAUCAAAACCUUAUGGAUGUGUUACAAACACUUUGAAUGAUGGGGAAAUUUUAUAUAGCAAAGCAGUAAUAAUCUCUAUAAACAAAAAUAAGCUCACAUAGAUUUGUUUAAUGGAUUAGAGAGCAACAUGACACAUGAAUAAUAAAGUAGUUUGUUAUUAUAAUAACAAUAACAACAAUAAUAACAACGAUGAUAAUACUAAUAAUGUUAGUGAUAGUGAUAGUGAUUAUGAUAAUAAUAAUAAUACUAAUACUAAUAAUAAUAACAAUGAUGAUGAUGGUAUUACUUAUUAAUAAUAAUAGUGAUAACUAUAAUUAUACUAAUAAUAGUAGCAAUGAUAAUAAUAAAGAUGAUAAUAACAACAAUAAUAAUGAUAAUUCAUCAUUCGAUGUUAGAUUUGUUGGGGAUUGAGUUUCAUUAUUUUUUCAUGAAUGAUAUUUCUAGUCUAAUAACCUGAGUUAUAAGUUUGAAAAGUUUAUGCAACUCAACAUCCUCUUUUAUUUUUUAUCUUAUUGUUUUUUUUUUUGAUUUCAUCAUUAAAUAUAAGUUUUUUUUUUAAAAUAAAACUGGUCAUUUAGAUUUUUUUUGAAUUUAUUAAAUAAAUCAAUUCAUAUUUAUCAGUUAGCUAUUAUAUACUUUUAUUGGAAACUCGCCUUAUGCAAAGAUUCAAGUCAAGGAAUUUUAAAAUUUAUCUUUUUUUUCAAGUUUAAUAGUAUUGUAAAAAAAAAAAAAAAUCUCAGCACUCUUAGUUUUUUUUUCUUAAAUAAUUCUGCUUUCGGUAGAGCGCGGGAAAGUAAACUAGUCUAAUUUAAUCAACAUGCACCCCUCUUAAUUUUGGGCCCUCAUGAUCUUAAAGCCCUGUAUUUAGUGUUCAUCUGUCUUCUGUCUCAUUGUAACUGUAGCCGAGACCCUGGUUGGUAGAUUUGGUGCUAAUUCAAUGGUCCUAAGUUUUAAUGCAUUAGGUUUGAAUUAAACUUCUCGAGUUUUAGUAGGUUUCCGACAAAUUUCAUCAAUGAUGGUAGUAAGUACUAACUGGUUUUCAUUUAAUUCUCCAUCAAUUAGUUUGUAUUGUACCUUAAUGAUUAUAUUAAUGAAAUUAAAAUUAAAUUUAAUGCUGCAUAAUUUGUUUGAAGGAAAAUGUUUUUCUUUUUCAUAUUUUAGUUCAAUUAAAAAAAAUAAUUUGCUUCAGGAAUAUUUGAAAAUAUAAUAUUCAAGAUAUUUUUCACUCAAAAAUAUAUUAAAAUAAUAUUUUUUAUAUAACAUUAGUCUAUCAAAAAUAAUUUAAAAAUAUAAAAAAAUAAUUUCAAAUAUUUUUUUUUUAUUUUUUUUAAAUUCCGCUUGAGCCGUGUUUCCAGAAAGCGCCUUCCUUUAAACAUAAAACUAGAGCAGCUUAGAAAUUUUUGUUUUUCCAUAGCUUGGUCUUAAAUUAUUAAGCAAGGACAAAGCAAUCGGAUUAGGUAACCACUGGAAGUCUGCAAAUCUAGUUGCUGAUAGGUAAGGGCAAAUUUAUGAACCAUUUUUCUUGUUAGGAUUACAGGUAAAAUAUUGUAUUCUUGAACGGAGGAUUCUGGUAUAAUUACCAUUUUUCUUGAUAGGUAAGCUUUUAAAGUGUUUUUGGCCAUGGCAAUUGACAUUCUAGAGAGUUUCAAAGUUCAUGUCCGCUGCCUGUUCCUAGAGGGCAUCCCAAAAUUAAUGAUGUUCUUAACCACUAAUUAUUGAGACACAAAUUAAGGCUGGUUUUUUUGACGAAGCUCAACCUCCACAUUACUGUCAUUGUCAAUUUCAACUGCCAUCCAAAUUUCAUAAAAAGACAACACUUUCCUUCCCCACUAACCCGAUUCAUUUACUUGGCCUUCUUAUCUGUUUAUAUAUGUGUAUCUCAAGGACCACUCUUCACAUGCAGGCAUAUCUCAUAUAGCACCACCACACCUUGCAUUUUUGCAUCAUGUAACACAGCCAAAACUUUGUUAUCUUCGGCUAUGGACUGGUUCUCUUGGUUGUCAAAAAGCAGCCUCGAGCCCUCACUGAUCUAUGAGUAUGGUCUUGCCUUUGCUCGUAAUGAGCUCCAAGAAGAGGACUUGACGUACUUGAACCAUGAGUUUCUUCAAAGUAUGGGUAUUUCAGUAGCCAAGCAUAGGCUAGAAAUACUCAAGCUUGCCAGGAAGGAUGUUGCGGGAGGUCCACAUGGCCUCUCUAAGUUCAUUAUGGCAAUCAACAAGACCAAGAAGAGCAUCCAGAAGUGUAUCAGUAAGUUGGUUUUUCAUCGGGAUUCUGCAGCAUUUAAGGCUGAACUAGAGCCAGAGCUAGCUAGAUAUCAAGGACAGUGGAGAAGAGGAGCAUUGACAAGGAAGUACAGGAGUGAGAAGGAGUUGAUCAAAGUAGAGCAGCCUCAAAUACUCAAAAUCAGGAGACAAGCAAAAUCUGGUCCUUUGGAUACUAGGAUGCAAGAGAAUUUGAUGCAUGCCAAUAGAUGCUUGAAGCUGUCUGGUCCUCUGGAUGGGAAAGUGCAGGAGAGAUUGGUGUUUGCUUACAGGAGCCCAAAAUUAUAUGGGACUCCAGACGGAAGGGUGCCGCAAAGUUUGAUGAUGACUAAUAGGAGCCCGCAAGUACGUAGCCCCUUGGAUGCAAGAUCCAUAAGCCCAAAAGUUCAUUGUGAUUACAGCAAGGAAAGGAGAGAAUUGAACGGUGAUUUUGACGAUCAGUCACUUUGGUCUGCACUAUUUCAAGACAUGAAACCCACUUAAUCGAAUGAUUGUUUUCUUGGUGUGUCUUCCUUCUUCUUUUUUUUGUUCCCAAUGUGGAAACAAACUCUUGUAUGUUUAUGUGCUUUUGCUUGCAUCUCUUUUUCAGAUUGAUUUGGAGGUUUACCUUCAGACAUCAAAACAUAGUAUGGCAUUCUUCGGUUUUUUUCAAUAAUUUGGUAUUCAUUUGGCACAGUUGCUUCCACCAAGUCAUUCUUCAGCUCUAAUCCUGCUUGUCUCUUUUUUGCGUUGGAGCUGAAAUAUUUAAGUUGAAGGACAAAAGUUUAGAUAGGUUAGAGAUAUUGUCCUAUUCUGGUCAGUUUGGCCACCCAAUCAAUUGCUCUACCCAGCAGUUCUAGCUAUUUUUCAAACCCAACAAUGAACAAAAUUAUGCAUGAGAGCUCUGUUUUUUUUUUUUUUUAGAGCUCUGUUUUUUAAAUCUGUGAGUGACGGGUCUAGACAAAACAGUCCUUGUACAUUUCACAGCCCUGGUGGGUUAAAGAUACGGCAUAGGGGUCUCCUCACUUCUAAGCAUGCUCCACGAGGCAUGGUUUAAUGUCCAAGGAAAUCCAAAGUUGGUCUUUCCUCCUGGUAAAGCUAGGACGAAGCGUACCCAAACCCAAGGCCAACUCUUAGCGUUUUUUCUGAUUGGCCUAGGACAAGCUAUGCCCGAAUCCAAGAUCAUCUCUUAGCCUUCUCUUAAUUAAACUCGAUCACUUUUACAUCUUUACUUGAUGAUCCCCUACAUUAUGCAUAGGAUUUGUUUUGCAGGAGAACUUGACUCUCAUGUCAAACUGUUCUCUAACAAUUUCAAAGCUCGUCAACUAGUCUUGAAAAAGCUUAGCAUCGUUUACUCCAGACUUUGUCGCUAAGCAAUCAAGAUUGUAUGAGAAUCAAACACAUUCAACUGCCACUUCUUCUGCAACCGCGGCUGAGGAAACUUUAGCCAUUUGAAUACUACAAAUGGUCCCUAUACCUGCCAACUAUUUGCAUAUGUAAAUGAUGCAUCGAAAUUGAUCUUAAUCUAGCUUUUUUUUUAGGAAGGACCCAUCUGCUCUGUAUUUGAUGAGCUGCCAUGGUUGGAGGCCUUGGUUCAGGGCCAGAAUGGGAGAAGUUCUGUAUUUACUCUGCUUGUUUUAUUGCUUGGGCUGCUGCCUUUUCUGGCAACAAAUUCCUCUUGUUGAAAACAAACUAAUUUCUCGCCUUCCAUAUAGCUCAACAGAACUUCUAACUGCUACUCUGGCCUGCAAUAUUCAAGCUGCAUCUCAUCAAAGAAUCAAUGGUGUCUUGUCCCAUUUGGUGUUAAAGACCUUUUCUUACCUGAUUCUAAACUCUACUACUUCAAAUCAAGUACAAUGACCAAGUUGGGCGCCUUGGGUGUAAAUUUAGAGCUUCUAUCAAAUCCAAUCCUAUCGUAGACGGAAAGCAUAUCGAUAGAGGAACUUAUUGGUUGCUGAAAAAAAAUGAAAAGAAUGAUUUCUUCUUCACAAAUUUGCUAUGUCCAUUCAAGGAAAAGAAAAAGAAAAGGAAACGCUUGUAUAAAGAGCACAACACAAGUUUUCAGACAUAACUUGUACUAAUACGAUAAGAUUGAAUUCAGUCUUGAAUUUGAAAAGUAGAAACACCACACAUGCUAAAAAUAUCUACACAAAAGGUUUCGGACCUCUAACCAGGAUGGCAUAUGAAGAUUGUCCACAAAAAAGUAGUAGCAAUUAUUAAUGCUUUGUUUAAAGAAAUAAAACCAUGCUUGUCUCCAGUUGGGGUUUAUGUACAAAAUUGCAGCUGUUACCAACAGCAUCACGAUGUAUGUCACAACAAAGCUCACAUAGAAAACAUAUGUAUCCAUGAAGCCACUUUCUUCUAUAUCAUCCGUUGAAGUCCUUAUUGGUAAUGGCGAAGCUUCUUCUUCUGGGGUGCAAUUUCUUGAGAGUGGUGGUCCACAAAGGAGAGGAUUUCCCUCAUAGCUACUCUUGUUGAAUGUUGAAAAUUGUGGAACCAUAUCAGGUGUUCUACCAGAUAGGUUAUUGUGGGCUACACUAAAAACUUCCAGAGAAUGCAAUUGUACAAGUCCAGGAGGGAUAGCCCCAGUCAAGCUGUUAUUGGAAAGAUCCAAGCUCUCAACUUCCCUUAAAUUUGAAAAAGUUUGUGGGAUAGGACCUAUCAAAAAAUUAUUUGACAGGUUCAGUACAUGGAUAUGAUUAAGGUUUCCAAUUUCCGGAGGAAUCUCACCUGUCAAAUUGUUGCAAGAGAGAUCCAUUCCAGACAUGAUGGGCAAAAUGCUUAUCGGGUAAGAAUAGGAUACACUCUUUGUUGUAAUCUCUAAAGGCUCUCGAAUCAAAUACCUAUCAGGAUAUAUUCUAAGAUAGCUGUACCAAAUACUGCUUCUAAAUCUUAGACAAGGGAGGAUAUGACCAGAAAACUUAUUAUGAGAAAGAUCAAUGAAACUCAAUUUGUCCAACUGACACAACUGGAUGGGUAUUCUGCCUUCAAGUUUAUUAUAACCUAAGAGAAGAAAGCUCAUGUGGGAAAACUUACCAAUCCAUUCCGAAAUGUUGCCAGUCAAUUGAUUAUGGCUAAGAUCCAAUGUAAUUAGCUCAAAGGAGUUAUGAAAUGCAUCCUCCAAAGACCCCUGUAAUUUAUUUUGUGACAAAUAAACAUGAACUAGUGGCAAAGAGCUAAAACAAAAUGGCAGCUUUCCAGAGAUGUUGUUUUCCGAGAGAUCCAAAACUUGAAGAGAAGACAUAUUGCCAAACGAAGAGGGAAUGCUACCGUUGAAGUGGUUUUUAGACACGGAUAAAAAUGUCAAACUUGGGAAAUAUGCUCCAAUUUCAGUUGGGAUGUAGCUGUCCAAGUGAUUGUCAGAAAUAUCUAAUUGUGACAAACUCACAUGGGGAUGAAUUGGCAACUGGAAAGGUCCUGAAAGAGAAUUGUUGACCAGGAAAAGUUCAUGUAGGUUUGUGUUGUUCUCUAGCAACCAAUUUGGAACCCCUCCCCUCAUUUUCAUGUUAGAAAAAUAAAUUUCCUGCAAGUUUGUGUUGAUAGAAGAGGAAUUUGGGAAAGGGCAAUGCUCCACCAUAUGCUUGACCAGAUAAAUGAAGUCUCUCUAGUUGGAACUUUGGGAUCAAAUUGUGCUCCUCUAGCUCUGCACAGAUUUCAUUAUUAUAACCAAAGAAGAAUUUGAGUUCCGAAUGGUUGAAAAAUGACCUCAAUGAGAUGGGGAUUUGAAAGCGAUUGUCCGAAAGUCUUAAUUCUCGGAUGGAUGUCAGAGUUGUAAGAGGAGACGAGGAAAUAUCACCCACAAACUUAUUGGAAGAGAGAUCUAUUUGUUUCAGGGAUGUCAAAUUUGCCAAACAAUUAGGCAAGACACCGCUGAGAUUAUUAUUUCUGAUAUCAAGACUUUGAAGAUGCUUCAACUCGCAUAGACCUGAGAAUUAUCAAUUUACAAAAUAUUUAACAUGAGAAAAAUAACAGAGAGAGAGAUCAGAAAGGACCAUCAGACUUACCCUCGGCUAUAGGUAUGUUGCCACUGAGUCUACAACCAUUCAACUUUAAACUCUUCAGAGUGGUAAUCCUUCCUAUUGUUUGCAGAAAGCUAUUAUCGAGAGUAGAGGAACUCAAAUCCAACUUUUGCAAAUUCUUGAGAGAAGGCAAGGCUACGAUAAAACAAACCGACAAGAAGUGAUUAGUAUAUUUUGAAGAGGAUAAAAUAAGGGAUACCAAUUAGGAGAAGCUCAAGUCUCUAUAGCCAAAUUAGACAUCAGUGCAUAUUGCAACUCGCCUUGAGCUAAUAUUGUUCCUUCGAAAUUAUUGUUCCCCAGAUCAAGUGUCUUGAGGUUUGGGAGUUUUGCCAAUGAUUGCAGUAAUGGAAGUGAAAUUCUUCUUCCAUUUGCGGUGAUAUUAAGUAAACAAACUCUGCUUAGAUUUCCGAAACCUCUAAUACCUGCAAGAGAGAAGAGAAACAAAACAAGUUUCACACCUUACGAGCAAAUCAAAAUCGUCCUUACUGCAUGUAAUCUUGGGUAAAAAGUUAGGUGGGUCGAUCGAUCCGUGAAGCCACCAUCGUUCAUGUGGAAUAUUUAAGUAAUACCUUCUGAGAACACAAACUCGUCAAUCUCAUUUCCGCUGAGAUACAGCUUCCUCAAGUUGCUCAAAGCUUCCAAUUCUAGGUUGCAGGAAAACAGAACUGAUUAGGUCACAGCAAAGCCUUGCAACUCAUUUUUUGAAAUGGAAUAACGUGUGAGCAAUAAUUGGUUUAUAAACCUUUCAUAUUGAAUGUUCCUUUCAGAUGGUUCUUUGUCAGAUCGAGAUUCUUGAGAGAUGAAAGACCCUUGAAGGAUGAUAAGAUACUGUUAUCAAAGCGAUUACCUCCCAAAUCAAGAUACUCCAAAUUGCUCAGUGUCAGCACUUCAUCCUCACCACCUGUAAGAAAUAAUUGUACAAGGUUUGAUGUAAAAAUAGCGAAACAGUGAAAAGAUAAUGCAUAACUCAAAAAUCUUUCGUACCAUGAAGGGAUUUAAACCCUUCAAUGUGAUUGCUCUCAAUACGCAGAUUCCUUAAGUUUGUCAGAUUAUUCAAUCCUGGCAAUACGUAGAACAUAAAUGAAUGCUAUAUAUAAUUGCUUUGGAAUCAUGAUUGUGUUUGAGACACUUAGUUUAAAAACUGAGAUGAGAAGAGCCAGGCUCACCUUCCACGCUAAUUGUUCCUUCGAUUUCAUUAUUGUGUAGAAAUAAAUAUUUCAAAGAUGAAAGACCACUUAAGGAUGAAAAGAUGCUGCUGUUGAAUUUGUUUUGCCCUAACUGGAGUAUCUCCAAAUUGCCAAGGACUGAUAGUCUUUCAAAACCUGCAUGAGAGUGCAUGGUUAGCGUUUAAGCAUUAAAGUUAUAAAACUUGUAUCAAUUUCUAAAAUUGCAGCUAAGAGGCAAACCUUCAUUCUCAACACAUCCUGCAAUACGAUUUCCAUACAAGUAAAGAGCGUUCAGCUCUGGGAAUGGAAGAAACAAAGACGCAUUCAGGAGCCAGUCUCCCAGCUCCCAACCCCUUGAGAAAGAAAGGUCUAUUUCGACAACUCGAAGUGUGCUGGAGUUGCAGUGGACUUGUUUCCAUUCGCAGCAGUACUUAGAAUAUCUUCGCCAGGAGAGCAGGAAUCCGCCAUUUGGGUAACUAAAGGCAUCUUUGAUUUGCAAGAGAGCAAGUCUUUCUUCCUCCAAGCAACCAUGGCACCGCCACCCUUGUAUUAAAACCACCAAAUUUAUAAUCAUUAUCACUGCUAAACACAGCCUGUUCAACUCCAUUCGAAGAACUUUGCUAUUAGUAAAUUCUCAGAAAAAAAAUACAAAAUACACCUCUGUCGCCAUAGAAAGUAACUGUCAGAGGUUCUCUUAUAGGAUAGGAUAGCGCAAAGCUUACGUUUUUACAAGACCACGGUGUAGAGAAAUUAACGAGAAUCACUCCGCGUAAUGUUCAACAGAUUUUCUUUUUAUUGUUUAUUUUUUAUUUUUACUUUCAAGUACGUAUGCAUAAGAUCUACUUUGUUUGACUUCUCAUUUAUUGGUUUCAGACUUGGCAGCGUUUUCUUUAAGAAAAAGAGGAGAAAUUAGAUAUAUGCCCUGUUACUGCUGCAUUUACUGUGGUGCGUGCCUCAACUGGACUGUACAUAGUUCAAUUAAUUACAAAAAUUGAAACAAAAGGGACAAGAUUUUAACACUCAAAAAAAAAACAGCUUUUUCUAUUGUUCAUCGGACAUGGAAUACUAUAGUUUUAUCCUUGAAAUUUUUAUUAUUUGUUUUCUAUGUUUUGAAUGUUUCUUGUUUCAUUUGUAAACUUUAUUUGUUUUUAAUAAAAAGAAAGUCAUUGAAAAAAAUAAAAAGAAAUGAUUGAUUAGCUAUAUUUUAGCCAUAAAAAAAAAUUAAUUUUGAUGUUAAUAAGUUCGUAUUGAAUAAAACAAUUUAAUAGAGAUAAUAGUGUUUUUAUUUUAAAAUUACAACAAUAAUGCUUCUCAUAAAAAAAAAAUAUACAUGAUUUCAUCAAAAUAAAAAUAAAAUGUUUGAAUAAAAAAAUUAGAUUUUGAUUAAAAAUAUGUUUUUUUUUCUUUUUUAGUUAAAAUAAAUGUUGUUUUUCUGAAUAUUUCCUUGAUUGUUGUUUCUUUUUAUUUAAUAAACUAUACCGCUAAUAAAAGAUUAUUUUGUUGUAAAAAAAUCAUUCCAAUAAAAAAAAUAAAAUUGACAAAGAGUUCCGGUGUUUCUUUGUGGAGGGCCCAAACCCCCUGUGCAAAGUAAAACCUGGAGCAUCCUUUUCUUAUCUAUGAUUGAAGCUCUACGCCUUGACUCCAAGUCAUCAUCAGGUCAAGCGAUGAAUGAAUGCAGCUACCUUCUUCUUCUUCGUCAUAGCGUGUAAUUUUCCACAACCACUAACAAGACUGACAGCCACUGCAUUAUUCUCGGCCGUAGGGAACACGUCGCUUGCGAUGACCAGUUCAUCUGUCUCUUGUAAAAAGUAAAGAGUAUAGCUUGUUGGCAAAUUGGUCUCUCUGUUAUAUUAUAAAUUUCAUGAUACUUAACCUGCUAAUUUCAAAUCCCAUACCUCUAAGUUUUAGAAUAGUGUGUUAUUAUUUGGGUUGUUGUUUUUUAUUUGAAAAUAUAUUAAAUAAUAUUAUUUUUUAAUAUUAAUAUAUCAAAACGAUUUAAAAUUAAAAAAAAACUUGAAAUCAAGAAAAAAUAAAAUAAAAAUAUAUUUAAAAAAACUUUUAAAAUUAAUGCAAAAACAAAAGCCACGGUCACAGCUUUUUUAAAAUUUUAUUAUGAAUGGGUUCAAGUUUGACUAAACUAAUGUUUCAUACCGUCCAAUAACAAAUCUAACACUAAUAUAAUGGGAUUUCAAAGUGAACAGAUCAAACUAGGUUUCACAUCUAUGAAAAAUAACCUACUAAGAAAAUUCACAAAAACUAUAAAUAAAUAAACAAAUAACUGAUUAGUUUCUGCUGACUGGAUCAUGUUUAGACUACUAGGAACAAGCUUUCUUCAUAAGAGUGGAAAUCUGAAAUCUUAAAGUGUGUAUUUAACCAUUUGAAUCUCCCACGAUUUGUCCGGAGCUUCUGGAGCUAGUCCCACCAUGAACUCUGCUGUUUCUUUCAUUCCUAGCUCCAUAUACAGUUGAGUGGCAGAGAUAAUUGUAUAAUAGCUAUAGAUUUUAAAAUUACGAAAAUGGUGAGAAUUGCACACAUUCUUCUAGUGGUAUAUAUAGGUAGCAUUAUGUUUAAUUUGAAUUCAAAAAACAGAUAGAAUCUAUUCUGUUUCGAUUAAGAUAAAAAAUUGAAAGAAAUAUAAGCUAGCAUAAAUUUCAAAAUAACAACUGGCAAAUAAGUCUCGGAAGCAAAAUAUUCUGGAGAUUUAACAUUGUCCCAUGAAUUUCAGCUUGUCAAUCACCCACAUGUCUGCAAAUUCCACACAUCUGCAACGGAAAUCUCCAAAUUGCACUAGAGAAUUGCACCAUUAAGGUGUUUGUGACGUCAUAAUAUUAAACUCUAUUUUUCUUGCAAAUUAUAGCUGCUACUGUGCCCUACAACGUUCACCAAAGCACUCAACAAAAAAUCAAUCAUUGUUGUCUUGUCCAUGCCUCUGGGUCCUGGAACUCGUUUCUCUUUCAAACAUCAGAAAGUAAGUAGUUUUAACAAAUCCUCAAUUCUAAGGAAGGUGGGGACUAUAUGACUAGUAAAGGAACUAAUCUACAAAGCAUAAAUAAAAAGAAAUGAUUCGUUCUGUUGCAACUUUGCUCGGUAGAAACGUUAUAAAAAAAAAAAAAACAAGCAGAGCUUCGCUGCAAGUACAAAGUGUUUUGAACAUUUAUUUACUCCGUUUAUUAAGACAAAUUUAUUGAUCAAUCAUGAUUUUGAAAUGUAGACAUUAAACAGAAUACAUACAAAGCCAAUACCAUUUUACACACAAGGCUGAAAUCCUUUGAACCUGGCUGACACCAGAGAGGUAAGUAAGAAUGAUUCCCUUGAAGGAGUAGCAUAUACUCUUUGUUUUAAAAUCUAAAGAUGUCUGAAGAGAAGGGUCUUCCAUGGGGAUGGGACUAUCGAUUCAGGUGCUGAAGCGAUUCCAGAAGGAUUUGAAAUUGCUUCAUGUUCCCUCUGCCAAUUACUGCUAGAAUUUAGGCAUGGAAGAAUAUGACCAUAUAAAUUAUUAUAAGACAGAUCAAUCAAACUCAAUUCCUCUAACUUGCACGACUGGAUUGGGAUUUCAUCUUCUAGAUUAUUAUAAUUGGUUUCUUUUUUAUUUUUUUUUAAGAACCAACAUAUUUAUUAUAAAAAUUUCCUAUACAUUUUGUCACUAGCAUAUCAAAUAUCCACUUCGUUAUCAAUUUUGCCAUUAAAAUCUUGAACAAGAAUUUAGAAACAAGAAAAUUUAAAAUCUUAUAUGAAUGGAAUUGUUGAUUUGUAGGAUAAUUUAAUUUGAUAUCUCGAAGAGCAUGAUUAUUUUCACUUUUGCUAUUUGAUAACAAUAUCAAAGAAGGGAGACAUGAUAGCUGAGAAGGAUUAGAAUGGUGAAGGUUUUGAAAAAAAAAUGAAGGAAAGAGUGAAAUUAAUUGAAAUCUUGAUUUUCAUUUAACUAUAUUAUUUAAAUUAAUUUGAAUCUUGAUUUUUAUUUAAAUAUAUUAUUAACAAAAAAAAAAAAGACGAUGUUGCUAAGUUAGAAUUGACACUGGUAGGAUUUGAGAGUUUCUUGAUAAAAAACCUUCUCAAGUUUCACCUGACCCACAAUCCAAGAUUUGCUCCAGAUCAACCUUGGAUAGGGUUCAAAAACCAUGGUGAAAAGUAAAAGGAACGUAACAGAGAGACGAGAGUCAUGUGUGUUACCAGCCAUUGAAUUAAUAUUGAUGUAAAGCAAAAACUUGGGAAUUUCCUCGAAGAAUCAAUGGGACAAUAAGCCAAAUAAAGAAGACUUUAUUACAUAUGGAAAAUCAUGUGAUGACGACGACCAAUUCCAUCUAAACCACAGGAUCGAUAGCGUGGAAUUGAAUUCCAGUGCCAUACAAGUGGGCUGUUUAUUACAAUUCAUGAACGAACACUUUCUCAACUUUUUCAUUGUAAAAGACAACAGUAAAUUAAAUCGAUCUGCUACUACAGCAACAACAAUCAUAAGAUCAUUAAGUAGCAGCUUAUACAAAGCCAGUGGUAUACAAUUUAAUUCAUCAAGUAUUUCAAAUGGGUUAAGCAGGUUCUCUGUAGUAGUGAUAAAGCUGAUCUUCAUGGUUUUAUUACCAGGGUGGUGGUGCCGUUUGGAGGAAGAGAGAAUUGCUCCACCGGAAUAAUUGACAAACAGAUCCGGUGCUUCCUUAUGGAUGGCCCAAACCCCCUGUGCAAAGUCAAUCCUGGAGCAUCCUUUUCUUAUCUAUGAUUGAAGCUCUACGCCUUGACUCCAAGUCAGCUGAGGAAAUCUAAACCAUCUUUUUUUCAGCAGUCUUCUUAGAUGGUUUUACUGGGUUCUUGAUACACAUGACGAAGAACACGCAAUCAUCCGUUUAUAAACGCCACGAUAGUAAAAUGUGUUUCCCAUUGGAGGAAAAAACCUUGCGGGCACAUCGUGGCUGGCAAUUUUGACCACUAUUAACAGCUUUCUUUUCUUUUUGUCUUAGCAGGUGGCCCAUCGAGCCAUCAUCAGGUCAAGCGAUGAAUGAAUGCAGCAACCUUCUUCUUCGUCAUAGCGUGUAAUUUUCCACAACCACUAACAACACUGACAGCCACUGCAUUAUUCUCGCCCGUAGGGAACACGUCGCGCGCGAUGACCAGUUCAUCUGUCUUUUGUAAAAUGUAGGAGUAAAAUGCAAGAUUUUUCAAGGUGUUCUUCAGCGGUCCCUAGAUCUUGGGGUCAGGGUUUCAUCAAUCAACCUGUGGGUUCUAUUAUUAUAGCUUGUUGGGAAAUUAGUCUCUCUGUUUUUUUUUUUUAAAAAAAUGCAAAAACAAAUAUAUUUUUAAUAGCUGCGGUUAAUGUUUUUUAAAAUUUUUAUUAUAAAUCGUUGCAAGUUUGACAGAUCUAAUGUUUCAAACCGUCCAAUAACAAAUCUAACACUAAUAUAAUGGGACUAUAUGACUAGGAACUAAUCUACAAAGCAUAAAUGAAAAGAAAUGAUUCGUUCUGUUGCAACUUUCCUCGGUAGAAACGUUAUAUAUAUAUAUAAAAAACAGAGCUUCGCUGCAAGGACAAAGUUGCAGUCUUGUUAAAUUGAAAAUGUUUUAUUGCUUUUUUAUUAUUUGAUAAGUUAAUGUUAAAAAUUUUAAAAAAUAUUUUAAUAUAUUUUUAAGUAAAAAAAUUUACACCAUGAUAUCAUACAUUUAUUUUAUAUUAAAAUACAAUAUUAAUUAACUAAUUAUUAUUAAAUUCAAUUUGACUCAAGAUCAUACUAUUUUAAUUUUUAUUGUUUUUUAUUAUUUGAUAAAUUAACAUUAAAAAUAUAAAAAAAUAAAAUAUUUUAAAAAACAACCCUAUAGAAGAUUUGUAGAACGAACUUUGAAAGAUAUAUUAAAAAGAAAAGUGAAAAACCAUUUUGUAAAACCUAUGACCAAGCCAAUGAAAUAAGUGGCAAGAUGCUGGUUUUUCAAAUAUUUCAUUAGUUUCCAAUUUUUUAUUCGAUUUUUUUUGGAAUAUUUUCAACAUUCCUUCUUAUAAAAAUCUUCACUGCAACUUUUGGGGAGUGACAAGACUCUAUGAAUUUUCUACUACCAUUAACAAGACUGACACUGUUGGCACUGUUAAAGUUUAUCAUGUAUAUUCUCCCCUUUGUACCCAUCAUAUUUAUUACUUAUUAUUAAAUUAAGUGGGUUCAAUGUGAGUUCGGAGAAUUGGAGGGGAUAGUCACCACCCUCUAUAAAUUUUUUGAUUGAGAGAACUUUAAUUGUCACAUAAAUAAUUUUAUUUAUAUACCCUUUUUGAAAAACUUAUUAAAACUUUUCCCCUAGAUCUAUGAUCUAUUUCUAGUUUGCCCUUAUAUGUGUUUAAAUUGGUAAAAAAAUAUAAUCAUAGAGGGGUAAAAAUCUCAGCAAGAUCCAUCCUAAAUUUCUGCAAUUCUAAAAUUAUUUAAAAACAUAAAUAAGCCAUAAAUGGGUUGUAAUUUUUGCCAAAUGAUAUGGAUUUUUAAUUUUUGGAAUAUAAUAAAUCUAGAAAAGAGGACAAUUUCAAGAAGGGCUAUUUAUUAUAAACAUGAAGGGCUAAACUAAACUAACACUAAACUAUGAGGGUUUCCUUAAGCUGUUAAAGAAAUUAACGGGGGACAAUUUUCCCCAUCAAGUGUAUUGAGGCAAUCACAGAUUUCAAACCCAGCCUGUGAUUGGCCUAAAUUAGCUUUAAUUUUUUUUAUAAAUUAAAAUGAUAUUAUUUUAAUUAAAAAAAAAUUAUCAGUGAAUUUUAACUGGCUCAACAACUAGUUAAAUCACCCGGAAUUUAAUUUCCCCUGUUUAUUUAAAAUCCUUCCAACCUCAUACCAGCCUAGUCUCAAGUCGCGCGGUGGGGCCGUAUUUCAGAACUACGGAGGAAACGCUAACAGCCUAGCACUUUCCACGAAGAAUAUGAAUUUGGAAAAUAAGCCGAAAGAGAGGGCUUUGUCUAUGGCCGGUGGAAAAUUAUGACAUUUGAUUGUGAUAUUGCAAAUUGCAGUCCAACGAUCUUAUUUAUAAAGAGGCUCUGACCGUUGUUUUUCGAUACAUAAUUUCAUCGAGGAGUCCAAAUGGGUUUAAACAGGUUCUCUUCUUUAGCAGGGACACUGAUGAUUUAUGCUAUGGUUUUGUCAGAAAGCUGGUGGUCAUGUCACGGCUGUUUAGACCAAGAGAGAAGUGCUCUCUUGCGGAUUAAAACCUCCUUUAAUUACCCAAGCGGCACAUUCCUUCAAUCUUGGGGAAAAGUGGCCGACUGUUGUUCUUGGAAAGGCGUUGACUGCAAUUUCAAUACAGGACGAGUUUUCGAACUUAUUCUUUCAUUCAUAAGGGAAGAGGGAUUGGGAGAUUUGUACCUAAAUGUCUCUUUGUUUCUUCCCUUCCAAGAACUGCAAUCUCUUGAUUUAAGGGGAAAUUUUAUAGUUGGCUGUGUUGAGAAUGAAGGUUUAUCUCUUGUUUGCGUGCUACUGCAAUUUCAACAGGGAAAAAAAGAAGAAGAAUAGAUUCUAUAUUUUUCAAGCUACUGAUUGAAAUGCCCAUGCAGGUUUUGAAAGACUAUCCGGACUUGACAGCUUGGAGGAUCUCGAUUUAGGCGGAAACAAAUUCGACAACAACAUCCUUUCAUCCCUUGGUGGGCUUUCCUCUUUGAGAACCCUGUCUCUAUCUGGUAACCAACUCAAAGGAGCAAUUAGUGUUGAUGGUAAUUAAGCUUGAUCACUUCUCUCCUUUUCUUUCUCAAAUAAAGCCAUGUUAAUUACUGCCUUUUUUUUUAAUUGUUGUACUUGGUACAAUUAUAUUUGGCCAGAACUGAAUAAUCUAACAAGCUUGCGGUGGUUGGAUUUUGGUGGCAAUGAAAUUGAAAGCUUUAAAUCCAUUCAUGGUAUGAAAGAGUUGUGAGUUGAUUGAGCAUUUGUUUUCACACAUAAGUACUCCAUUAUCCUUUCAGGAUAAAUGAAAGCUUAUGGUAUUUUUAUAGGUACUGGUGACGAAUUACUGAGGUUAAGAAAUCUGGUAUCCCUUGGUUUGAAUGGUAAUCGCUUCAAUGACUUAUCAUCCUUCAAGGGUCUUUCAUCUCUCAAAUCUCUGGAUAUAGCGUACAACCAACUGAAAGGAUCAUUCAAUGUGACUAGUAACCUCACCUUUUUCGAUUCCUAGAAACCAAUCUGUGAUUUUAAUUUGCUGUGAUGUAAUAUUAAAUUUUUGUUUUUCGACAACCUAGAGCUGGAUGCUUUGAUGAACUUAGAGAGCCUGGAUCUAGCCGGAAACGAGAUUGACAAAUUUGUGUUAUCCAAAGGUAUUGAUUGCUUUCCACACUGAUUGAUGGUAACUUUACCUCUUGAUCAACCUAAAAUCUCAUUAAUUGAAUUGUAUUUUCGAGGAUGAUUUUGCCCAACAAUAAAAGCUCAGAAGGUCUUAAAACUUGUUUUACUUCUGCUGUCCCCUGCAGAUACUAGAGGUUUUGGAAAUGUAAGCCUCAUUUCAUUAUCUAAUAGCACCUCAAAUGGAAGAGCUCUUCCAUUUACAUUACUGCAAUCAUUGACGAAAUUCCCAAACCUCAGGACCCUUUAUUUGGCUGAGAAUAAUCUUGAAGGAAGUUUCGGAACAACAUUAGAUAAAGGUAAUUUGUGGUAUUGAUGCCUAAAAGCGAUCCUGAAUAUCUGUUAAUUGUUCUUUUUUUCUUUGUAAACGUGCUUUAAAUCAUAUUUUCCUAGUUAUAGGAAUUUAAUUGAUUGUAGCGGGGACAUUAUAAUGGAGCUUCUUGUUGGUUUCAUCAUCUUGUUUCCUUAUCAUUAUCCGGCUCUUGAAUACUGAGCAUAAUUUCUUGUGGGUUUGAUUAUUGUAGACUUGGCAUCUCUCAAGAAUUUAGAAGUGUUGGAUUUGAGUUUAUCCACUGUCGAUAAUAGCUUUCUGCAAACAGUCGGGAAGAUUACUACUCUAAAGAGUUUAAGCUUGCAGGGCUGUCGACUCAAUGGCUCCAUCCCUAAAGCCCAAGGUAAGUCUGACCACCUUUCCCCUCCUUAGGCGUUCUGCUUCUUAUCUGACUAAAAUUUUUAUGAAUCAAUAAAUUCUCAGGCCUAUGUCAGCUAAAGCAUCUCCAAAAUCUAUAUAUCAACGGGAAUGAUCUCAGUGGUGCUCUACCUUGGUGUUUGGCAAAUUUGACAUCCCUUCAACAAUUAGAUUUGUCUUCCAAUAACUUUAUGGGAAACAUUUCCUUCUCUCCUCUUACAAGUCUCACAUCCAUCCGAGAGUUAUCACUUUCAGACAACCAUUUUCACAUCCCCGUCUCAUUGAGCUCAUUUCUCAACCAUUCACAACUCAAGUAUUUCGAUGGUAGGAAUAACGAAAUAUAUGUUGAAGAAUUAGAGGAGCAUAAUUUGACCCCAAAGUUCCAAUUAGAGCGUCUGUAUUUAUCUGGCAAUGGAUAUGGUGGAGCAUUUUCCUUUCCCAAAUUCCUUUUCCAUCAAUACAGCCUCCAAGAAAUUGAUUUUUCUAACCUGAAAUUGAGGGGAAGGUUUCCUUUUUGGUUGUUAGAGAACAACGCAAACCUAAAUGAACUCCAUUUGGUCAACAAUUCUCUUUCAGGGAAUUUUCUAUUGCCAAUUCAUCCUCAUCAGACUUUGUCUGAAUUAGAUAUUUCUAACAAUAACUUCGAAAGCCACAUUCCUAGAGAAAUAGGAUCAUAUUUUCCAAGUUUAACAUUUUUAUCCAUGUCUGAUAACCACUUCAGUGGUCGCGUUCCCUCUUCAUUUGACUUUCUGUUGUAUCUUCAAGUUUUGGACCUCUCAAAUAACAACAUCUCUGGAACCUUACCAUCUUUCUUUAACUCUUCAAACCUCCUGCAUGUUUAUCUGUCACGAAAUAUGCUACAAGGAUCCCUAGAACAUGCAUUUCAGAAAUCCUUUGAGCUAAUAACGUUGGAUCUUAGCCAUAAUCAUUUGACUGGUAGCAUUCCAAAAUGGAUUGGUGAGUUUUCCCAACUGAGCUUUCUUCUCUUGGGUUAUAAUAAUCUUGAUGGCAGUAUACCCACGCAAUUGUGCAAGUUGAACGAAUUAAGCUUCAUUGAUCUUUCUCAUAAUAAUUUUUCUGGUCAUAUUCUACCUUGCCUAAGAUUUAAAAGCAGUAUUUGGUUCAUCCACAAGAUAUCUUUGAGUUAAUCUUCGAGAACCAUUGGUUAUUGCAACAAAGAGUCUGUCUUAUUCUUAUCCGCCAAGUAUUUUGUACUACAUGACCGGAUUGGAUCUCUCCUGCAACAGUUUGUCAGGUGCGAUUCCUCCUGAAAUUGGGAAUCUCAACCACAUUCAUGUAUUGAACCUGUCCAACAAUCAUUUAAUAGGCCCAAUCCCACAAACUCUUUCAAAUUUGAGUGAAGUUGAGAGCUUGGACCUUUCCAAUAACAGCUUGAAUGGGGAAAUCCCUCCUCAACUUGUACAAUUGCAUUCUCUUGCCUAUUUUAGUGUAGCCAACAAUAACCUGUCUGGUAGGACUCCUGAGAUGGUUGCACAAUUCUCAACAUUCAAUAAGAGCAGCUACGAGGGAAAUCCCUUACUUUGUGGACCACCACUGCUUAACAGUUGCACCAAAGAAGUACCACCACCACCACCUGGGCCUUCUACUGAUGAGAAAGAAGAGCUUAGCGUCUUCAUUGAUGCACAAGUUUUCUGUGUGAGCUUUGUUGUGACGUACAUCAUGGUGCUGUUGGGAAUAGCUGCAGUUUUGUACAUAAACCCAGACUGGCGGCGAGCAUGGUUUUAUUUCAUUGAGAAGAGCAUCAACACUUGCUACUACUUUGUUGCGGACAAUCUUCUUAAGCCAUUCAGAAUCAGAGUUUGGAAGCCUUUGGUAUAAAUAAAUCUCAACUUUGCAUUGUUUCUACAUUUCAAAGGGAAGAUUUAGAUGGUCAAUCUUAUCUCAUCUCAGUAGUAUAAAUAAUGUCUGAAAAGCUGUGUUCUUUAUAGCAAUGUAAUGAAGAAAAUCAUUUCUUCACAAUUUUGCUUUCAGCAUUCAGCAAGUUCUUUCUCAUAUAUCUUCCUUCAAAUCGUAAGAACGAGUAAUGGAUAUUACCUAAGACAAACCCAAGGCAUGCAACUCAGUGUAGUUUAUUUGUAGGAGUAUCUGUUGAAUAAGGCAGAAAAUGGUAAAGUUUUCAUUUCCUCGUGUUAACUGGAAAUGUCAACUGGAAUAGAGUAGCUGUGGAAUUUAUUUUGUGUGAAUGCUCUGGAAUUGUUAGUUGGACUGAAGCUUUGAAACGAUUCGUAUGUACUUCAAAUUAGGUAGACUAAAGUUUUUUUUGUUAAAUAUGGUCCUUGUUCUUUCAAUUUUAAUUUUCAGCCCCAAUUGACUAAUUGAUCAUUAAGUUCCUCUCAAAACUAAAAACAUGCUUUGACCACGGUUAACAACUUUCUUUUCUUUUGUCUUAGCAGGUGGCCAAUCGAGCCAUCUUCAGGUCAAGCGAUGAAUGAAUGCAGCAACCUUUUUCUUCGUCAUAGCAUGUAAUUUUCCACAACCACUAACAAGACUAAUAAAAUUGAUCAUUAAGUUCCUCUCAAAACUCAAAACAUGCUUGAUUCGGCAAAUUAAAAGAAAUGUAAAUAGAAAAUAAUAUGGCAAGGAUGAAAUUGAAAAUAUUAAAAGUUUGAUGAUGGAAAAGAAUCAUUGUUCAAAAUAAACAACGCAAUCCAUAAUAACUAUUUUUUAAAAUAGUGAAUGUCACAUAUGUUUUAGUUGUAUAGUGAAUGUCACAUGUUUUAGUUGUUGUUAUUACUAUUACUAUUAUAUAUAUAUAAGGGAAGAUAUUUAUUGAAAUCCAAUUUUUUAGAAAUAUAAUUACAGAUAUGCACAUAUAAGGAUUAUAUAUGGAGCAUUUUACGAGAAACAAUAAAGAAAGAAAGUGUUUUUUGUAUUUUCAGAUUAUUUUGAUAUGCUGAUAUAAAAAAUAUAUAUCAUUAUAAUAAAUUUUUAAAUAAAAAAUAUUUUAAAAAAUAAUUAUUAAUACACUUUUAAAUACCAUCAUAAUUUACAGCAUUAUAACUUUGUUUGAGGAAGGGUAAAUAUUUAAAAAUAUUAGAUUGAAAGUCCAAAUAGGUUACUCAUCAUUGGGUUCAUGAUCCCCAAGCCACUCAUAUAUUUUCAAAGUUCAAGUUUUAAUAUCUAUUUAGUAUGGAUGCUGUGAUUUUAUUUUUGGUCUACCAGGGUGGUGGUGCCAUUUAUGUUUGGAGGAAGAGAGAAUUGCUCCAUUGGAAAUAAAAAAUUUCCUUUUACCUACCCCUUCCAAUCCCCAUGACGCAUUUAUGCACAAAUCUUCCAAUUCCCAACCCCUUGUUAACGAAAGAUCGAGCGUGUUGAUUCGUCUGGUAGUAUAAAGAGCAGCUUGUACAAAGCCAGUGGUAUACAAUUUAAUUCAUCAAGUAUUUCAAAUGGGUUAAGCAGGUUCUCUGUAGUAGUGAUAAAGCUGAUCUUCAUGGUUUUAUUACCAGGGUGGUGGUGUCAUUUGUGUUUGGAGGAAGAGAGAAUUGCUCCACUGGAAAUAAAAACACUUCCUUUUACCUACACCUUCCAAUCCCCAUGACGCAAUUAUGCACAAAUCUUCCAAUUCCACGCUAUCGAUCCUGUGGUUUGGAUGGAAUUGGUCGACGUCAUCACAUGAUUUUCCAUAUGUAAUAAAGUCUUCUUUAUUUGGCUUAUUGUCCCA
rnacentral:lncRNA from 1 species